rnacentral:lncRNA from 1 species
UUCGGAGGUCCUGGCAGCUUCCAUUUUGUAAAACUAGUUCAUUUUUCGAAUGAAUGAAGCGGAAUAGCUCGUUAUCUAUUUCUCAAAAAAAUAUUGGACAAGCCCUUGCAAGAAAGUCUUAUUUUAUAUACAAUAUGCACUUCAAGGUGGUUAAUCGGUUAGGCACAUAAUCGUUAAGCAAGUUCACUGCACCUAUUCGACCAAUACUACUUUAUAUAGUAUUUGCUAAAGAUAAACUAAUAUUUAAGGUACACAUAUCAACUGUUCCUAGAGCAACGUGGCAAGAAGAGUUUGUGGUUCGGUACACCGAAAUUCAAUUUGAAUUUUUAAUUGAUUCAUAUAUUUCCAGCUAUAAUUUAUUUCUAAAUGAAAUAAAUGAAGCGGGAAGCUCUAUCUAUCUCUUCCAAAAAAAAAAAAAAAAAAAAAAAAAAAAAAAAGUUCAGCAUCUUGCUGUGAUUUUCGAACGCGUUGCUAAGCAUGUAAAAUUUUGCUAUAAUCGAUAGAGAGAAUGCAGCAAUUCUUUAAUAAAGUAUACAAAAAUAUUUACUACCAACAAAUUUAGCAGAUUCAGUAUGAGCCAAAAGAUAAAAAAAAUAUAAUUUUAAUAUCUAAAAAAUAAAAACACUAACAUAAACGUUGAUUCUGCCCAAAAAAAAAAAAAAAAAAAAAAAAAAAAAAAAAAAAAAAAAACUUCUCUCUUCGAAACAAAAGAACACACAUCAGAUCUGAAUAGAAAACUUCCGCACGCUGAUAGUUGAUGUUCAACAAAAUGGUCAUUUAUCAAAACAAAACCAUCCUGGAUCUAACUUUAUCUGAAAUAAAACAGAGAAAAAAACAAGGUGAAUAUUUUUAGUUGUGGGGCCCCAGUUUCCUUUCUACUGCCGGCAACUGGAAAAGAGAGUUUUACUCCCUGAAACCUCCUCAUUCUCACUUUCCCCAGAUCCGGUCUCCUUUGGAUAAACCAUUCCGUGCAUUAACCGAAGUCCACAUCCAUUGCCUUACUCAAACAAGCUACAGCAACACAUAACUCUCAAAAACAUAAAAUAAAGAAAAAAAAGAGAAAGAGUAUGUAUCGUCAACACAAUCGUAUACGACCAUUAUUUGUAAUCAACUCCUAUUUUGUUAUCCUAAAAAUCUAAGUUUCGAAAAAUCAAAUAAAAUAUAACAAAAAAAAAAAAGGAGAAAAUUAAUUUGGAAAGAAUAAGAGAGCUCUAAUGAAACAGUCGUGCGAGAAAAAUAUGCAUGGACGCUAUUCUCCAGACGAAGACGGCGGCGGAUUCUGGCCGAGACCGGGCCAAGUCUGCGCCGAAUAGCGGGACGCCCCAGUCCCCGGAGCUGCACUUCCGGGGGGGCGAAGGUAACCCAGUUGCUGCUCUGUUUCCCCUGUGCCGUAGAGAAGAGGAAACGACGAAGACGAAGAAGCAGCGGAGGUCGAAGCGGCGGCAGCGACACCCGAAGGGGACGCUAACACAGAGGGAGCCACAGAUACGGAGCCCCCGAGCAUGGUCGACGAGGACGACGAAGCCAUGUUUGAUUGAGAGUAGAUUACUUGGUCCAAAAGCGCUGUGGGAGAAAGCCUCUGGUACUCCCCUGCUCCUUGGAGAAGCCGAGAGUACUCCAAGUAGUCUCCGGAGGGGUCGUUUUGGGGUGCGUAAAUGGUGGGGAAGGGCUGGGACUCUAAGAGGGUGGCGGGGGGGAAGGAUUCGGGGUAGUGGAGCUGCGGCAGCGGCGCAGGGCGAGGGGGUCGGAGGCUGACGUUCUCCGGGAAGUUGAGCUUGGCCCUGCUGCCGCGGAACCGGAGGGCCGCUUCGUCGUAGGCGCGCGCCGCGCCCUCGGCGGUGUCGAAGGUGCCGAGCCACACGCGCGCCGCCUUGUGCGGGUCGCGUAUCUCCGCCGCCCACUUCCCCCACGGCCGCUGCCGCACCCCGCGGUAGCGCCGCCGCGACUGUCCCGCCUCAUUUUCGGUGCUCGCGGAAGGGGAGGAGGCCUCUGCUGUUGAUGCUAUAGCAGGAUGGAGAAGGGCAAGGCCUUGUUGUUGUGGUGCAAUUUGAUCUCUUCCUAUGAAUAUUAAAAAAAAAAAAAGAAUAAAAUGUCGUAUGGAAUCUAUUAAGGGAAAAAAAAGAAAAAAGCUUAAGAAUACUUUGUAAAUACAUAAGUGUUAUCUUUUAGUAUAAUUAUGUUGUCUUCGUGAAAAUUAUGAGAAGUGUUAAACUAGUUGAUUCAUAUUUUUGAAGAUAACUCUAUAAUUUUAAUACUAAUUUUAAUGCUCCUUAUGCACGAAAUAAAAUAUGUCUGUAUUUCGAUUAUUUGAGAUUAUAUAUUAAAAAUAUAUAUAUAUAAAGCUAAUAUUAAAUGGAGGAAGAUUUCAUGGGGACCGCGAUGACGUUGAUUUUGUCCUUUUUUUUUUUUUUUUUUUUUUUUUUUUUUUUUUUNCGCCAAAUUCGGCGCCGCGUUCCCACCGUCCUCCCCCGCGACGACCUGCGCCAGCGCCGACACCAUCACCGACAUUUCCCUCGCCUGCCCGAACUCCGAAAGCAUGUACGGCGAUCCCACGUGCGCCUGCUGGUGGUGGUGGUGGUGGUGGUGGUGCUGCUGCUGCUGCUGCUGCUGCUGCUGCGGAACCAAUUCUUCGUCUCCGGCCCCCUGCGCGCCGGCCCUCGGCUGCGGCGGCGCCGCUAGCUUCGCAAGCUCGUGAAAUUCUCGUGGGUCCGCCACUUUGAAACACACAAAUCAAGUGAUCACCCCAAUUGCUCUCUCUUCAAAGCUUCAUUGCCCUUUGAAUUCUCGUUCCUCAACUCCUAUAUAUAGUUAUGGAGACUUUACAAAGCAACCAAAAAAAAAAGUAAAAAAAAGGAAAGGGCUUGUAUUAAGCAAACGAGUUCCAACGUAUAUGUAUAUAUGCGCCCGCCGCCUUUUGCAUAGAGGGGUGCAUAUCCCUGCCUUCUCUUUUAUUUUUUUUUUUGUUUUUCUUUUCGGCAGAGUAUUAAAUGGGUUUUUAUCGACAUCGGUUUAUUUUGGAAAUUUUUUUUAAAAAAAAUAUGCUUAUUUGGGACAAGGGGUUUUUCUUUUUUUUUUUUCUGGUAACUAAAUUAAAAAGAUAAAAAAAAAAGAGCGGCGUUUGACUAAAACUUGGGGUUCACACAGGGGGAUUUGACCAACUGGGCUUUUCGUCGGUGAUGGAGGGAGGAGUCGGUGGCGAGUUGGACUCGAGAUAACGAUUUAUGCCGACAUCGACGUUAGGUUCGUGUUUGGGCUCGUAAUUUGGACCGGAUAUUGUUGGGCCUCUGUACAUGUAACAAUUUACAAAGAACCCUCAACUAUAGGACUUUUUUUUAAAAGGCCCCUUCAACCUAGUAACUUUUUUAUUAACAUCUUCAUAACUUUUGUAUUUUUUUUUUUUUUUUAAGAAUUGAGCGAUUUUGGCUGUAAUGUCAUCAUAUUGAAAUAAUUCUAUUAUUUUUAAUAAAUAAAACUAAAUUAAUUAGCAUAUAUUGCAGAUAGACUUAUCAAAUUUACCAAAAGUUUAUAUUUAGAUAAUAAGAACAAUUAAUAAAAGGUUAAGAGAUAAGGUGUCAAUUAUAUAUUUGGUGUUGAGAGGACUCUCCUUAUAUAUUUACCAAAUUAGAAAUUUUUUGGUGAAUUAUGUCAUUUGACCAUUCAAAGAGAAAAAUUCAUUUGGUCCUUGAAAUAUUAACAUGUUAAUGAAAAAGGUUAUCUAAUAAUCCAUGGUUUUUGAAGAGUUGCACAGAUGCAGAUGAAUCUCGUUUGGUGGAGCUACUAUCCUGAUCCGUUUAGAAUGGGGCAAUAAGUAAAAACCAAAAGUAUAAUCCAUUUGGAACCCGCUCUAAUUUGCCAAAAAAAUAAAGUAGAAGCUCUUUUCUUUUUCUUUUUUUUUUUUUGAUCUGUUAAAAUUUGCUUUCAUUUCGAUCUGUAUCAAAUAGAGCAGUAAAUAUGGGUCAAAUUAAAAAUUAAAAUUAAGUUGUCUCCAAUUUAUUCUGAUCCGACAAGAAAUGAGAUGGGAGAUCGAGAAUCCUCUAUCCCUGAAUCCGCACCGUUUGUAUUUCUAGUUCGACAUGACAGAUUGAUGUACGUGAUUCUCAUGUUGCAUUUGAAUUCCUUUUUAUUUCUAGUUCCACGUGAUUCUUUGUGUUUGUGUUUCUUAAUUAAAUUCUUUAAAUUAAUUUAGAAAAUUUGCGAUCUUAUUUUUCCAACAACCUCUUUAUUUUUUAUUUUUUGUUAUUAAAAAGUAGGAAUAAAGAGAAGAAGGAAAGAUAUAAGAUAUUAGACAGGAAUCAAAGUAAGGAGGAGAAGUGCGAAAACACAACAUAGUUUUUUAUUAGAAUCAGAGCAAUCAUGUCCCAAGAUACAAGGCAAGGCUAAUUAAAUUAAAGCCAAAAAUAUGAAAAGGUUGAAGACAUAUAUGAACAUAUAUUAAGUUAAAAAAAAAUAAAUAAAGUAUGUGGCUUGCUAUUUUUUCCUACAAUCACACGUUCAUAAUUCAAAUCAAACUUGGGUUUGAAAUUGUGGGUCCCUGCAAUGUAUAGUCAUCAUUAGGGGUGUAAACGAGCCGAACACGAGCGAGCUGGGGUCGACUUAUGUUCGGCUCGUUUAUUAAACGAGCCGAAUACGAGCUGGCUCGUUAAAGUAUCGAGCUGAAAAAUUCAACUCAUGUUUGGCUCGUUUAUUAACAAGCCGAACACGAGUUGGCUCACGAGCUUGCCAAUGAACAAUAAAUUAAAAAAAAUUAGAUUAAAUAUAUAUAAAAAAUAAAUUUAUAAAAUUUUAUCCAUUAGACUUUGAUCUAAUAGUUAAAACUUUACAUAUAAAUGAGUCUUUUUAUAAUUAAGCUCGUAUUUAUAUUUUUAUUUUGCUAAAAUUUAAAUAAUAAAAAUAUAUAUUAUAUAUAAUUAUUUAUUUAUAUAUAAAAAUAUAAAUUAAAUAAAUUAUAUAAAUAUAAAAUAUAUGUUUUCGAGCUUUUAUCGAAUCGAACGCGAGCGAGUUGAUCCCAGCUCGUGUUCGGCUCGUUUAUUAAACGAGCUGAAAAAUCCAGCUCGUGUUCGGCUCGUUUACUAAACGAGCGAGCCGAUCUCAAGCUCAUUUCGAGCCGAACACGAGCUGGCUUGCGAACAGUGAGCUAUAUUGCCACCCCUAGUCUCAAAUAAGUAAAAUCAGAAGCUCCAAACAGGUGAUUCCGGGUGUUUCCGCCGGUCCCAUGCCUCCAGAAACCAAACAAGCCUUUCCAAACCUUUCCAACUACAAUCAAUCAAAAAGUGAAUAGCAUAUAAGGAGAUGAUCAACCUCUAAAUAACUAGCAACGCGUUGCAGAGUACAACAUGAAAAACCUGAACUAUUACAGAAAAAAAAGGAAAAACUUCAGAUACCACCCCUGUGAUUUCCAUUAUUUUUUUUUAUUAUCCAUUUUACUAAUUUUUUUUUCGUUAAAUCAGUGACAAAAUUAAAACUAAAGAGUAUUAAAGUGAAUAUUCGAUAAAUCUAGAUAAGGUAUCUGAAGUUUUUUAUAUAUAAUUUAACGAAAUAUUAACGGAGGAGCUGACGAAAAGAGAAAAAUGAAAUUACGGGAUACUAACUUGAUACACUUUAAACCACAGUACUAAAGUGAAAAAGUGCGAAACCACAUGGGUGGUAUUUGAAGUUUACCCCAAAGAAAAAAAGAACUCACUGCAGAGAGAAGUUGCCAAGUAGCACGGAAUUGUCAACUAACCAAGUUGAUGUUGCUGCUAGUAAGUUCCAAACAUUAAACUGUAUUAAAAAUAUCAAGUUUGCCCAAUUUGUUUAACAUAAAUAUAACAGCAAAAUUGCACUUAAAUCAUCAGAUGAUAUCAUGUUCAUCUCGAGUCUGCGGCGGCUUGAAUAAAAUUUACUUUCAUCAACUGUGGGUGCAAAUAGUUCUCUACACGAGCAAGAAAAAUCCUCAUUCAUCUCCCAAGCACCUUGGUAAAUGUUAUUACUACUUUCAAUCACGUUGUAGAGAUCAUCAGCAAGUAAUUCUCAAAGAUUCAAAGAACUCGAACUUCUUUGAGCACACCACAAUUGGACAUGUUUGGUUGAUCAUUACUGUAAAUGUUUAAGCUGCAGCAGCAAUAGUUUCCGACUUAUCAAUUCCUUCAAUAUUCGUGAUUCUCAACUUAGUCAAUUCCUGGCAACAAGUCAUGAGGAGGUAAGAUGAGAACUAUUUGCUUUCUUUGGUUAGUUAAAAAAUAGCAAUAACAUAAUUGCAAAGGUUAGUUACCUGACGAUGGCCCUUGGUUCGACGGUAGUUCUUUCUCCUUUUCUUCUUGAAUAUGAUUACUUUCGCAUCUAAAGCCUAGAGAAUCGUUUAAAUCGUCAUUAGAUAAAAAGUUGAGAAUAGGAAAAGGACUAAACUGCCAUUUAAGAAAAAUGGAGGGACUCCCAGAUAUAAUCUAAUAUUGAACAUUUAGGAUCUAAUAACAAUUUACAAAUCAGAUUAACUGAAUUUUUUUCUUUUUCUCCCGAGUAUGUCAUAGGCAUUUUAUUUCUCUUUUUUCCAGUUUAUCUGAUUAGAUAGGACAAUUCCAAUCAUGCCCCUCACCUACACUGAUAUUAACUUGUUCAGCAAAACAAUAUUAAAGAAAGGGUGAUCAAGGUCGUCUAGCAAAGCAACUACCACCAACUACAUUCACAAAUGGUAAUUCCUAUGCAAUUUAUGUAAGACACAAAUCAAGGUCAUCUAGGAAAUAAAUUAGAGAAAGCUGAUAUCAUAGAAAUAUCACUUUACGUACAAAAACAGCAUACAGAUAAAGCAUGCAACCAGGAGAAACAUGAUAAUGCUAGUGUAAUGUUUUCUUACAUGCUCUUCAACAACAGCAUGGACAGCAGCAUCAGGUAAUAUUGGUCUGCCAAUAAUCGUUUGAGUUCUCGAACCAAGCAUAAGAACUUUUGUUAAAACUAACUGCAGAAAAAAGGUUAGAUUUUAGUUACCAUAAUGAAUAUCAGCAUAACAGAAUAAAGGAGUGAUGCAACAAGAUGCAAAAUUAAACAAGUGUAGGAAAAUAGAGGCAAUCAAUGCAUAAGAAUGAUAUAGGGGGGAAAAAAAAUCAAGGAACUAUUCAUGAUAGGAAAGGAUAACAAAUAUGAAAGAUUUACAAGCAGGCUCAAAUAACCAAUGCUUGUGACUCAGGAACAGCACACCCAUGCACUAAUUACCAAGAGUGCUCUACAACAAGCAAGAAACCACCUGGAGAGACCUAGAAUAUAAAUGCACUAUCAACAGUGAUAGCAAGAAUGUUGCGAUGUUAAUUAUGCUUCCUGCCUGCUGUUUGCAACCUUGAAAUUUAUAAAAAUAUGGAAUGAAUUCAGAGGCAAGGUCUUAUUGGUUGCUGUUUCACGAGUAAUUUUAACCAACUAGAUUGAGAUGGUUGAAAAUCCUGGUUCUUUAAAUGGAGGACCAAUAUGUUCAAGUAGAAGAGUCAGACCGCACAGUGAAUUUUUUGGUCAAGAACUUUGUAGAGCAAACCCUUCAAAAUCAAAGAUUCCAUAGCAUACCCAAGUGAGCACCACAGAUCGAAACAAAGAAACAUACAGUGAAGUUCUUCCACAAAAUUAAAGAAAAUAAUGUUGAAAGUUGCCUCCUAAUGCUAGCAUGUUUUGAAAAUCUCCCUAAUCCAUAGAAUCACAAAUAAAAAGCAGAAGAUUGACACAACUGAGCGCUCCGAUUACGUCCAAAAGGAUUCAUGAAACUUGGAUUAAAUCCAGUUUCUUCAAGUUGGAAAAAGCUGGCUACUGAAGAGUUAAUCAGUUGUACUCUUCAGACAACUGGAGAGAUCAUGGAAAAAUAAAGCCAGCAAUCUGACCUUCUUAGAUUCUUAGACCUAGUUGGAUAAUGUGGUGGCUAAAAGCACCGUUUUUAUACUAUAAAAGAACUAAAAAAACUAAAAGUGCUUUCAAUCUCCUCUUUUUUUAUACUAUAAAAUUGCAUUUACAACUGCCAGCGGAGAAGCAUGUUAUCCAGUAGCGGUUGCAAUAGCAAUUUUAUAGUAUAAAAAAAAAUUUGAAGGCACUUUUAAAAUUUUGAGCCUUUUAUAAUAUAAAAAUUGUGCUUUUAGCCACCUUAUCACCAAAUUAGGCCUUAGACUUCAGAUGUUGACCAAUUUUAACAUUUCAAUAUGGCCUUGUGCGAUCAGUGUCAAGAAAUGUGUAGAAGCAUGUUACCCGGUAGCGGUUGCAAUAGCAAUUUUAUAGUAUAAAAAAAAUUUUGAAGGCACUUUGAAAAUUUUGAGCCUUUUAUAAUAUAAAAAUUGUGCUUUUAGCCACCUUAUCACCAAAUUAGGCCUUAGACUUCAGAUGUUGACCAAUUUUAACAUUUCAAUAUGGCCUUGUGCGAUCAGUGUCAAGAAAUGUGUAGAAGCAUGUUACCCGGUAGCGGUUGCAAUAGCAAUUUUAUAGUAUAAAAAAAAUUUUGAAGGCACUUUGAAAAUUUUGAGCCUUUUAUAAUAUAAAAAUUGUGCUUUUAGCCACCUUAUCACCAAAUUAGGCCUUAGACUUCAGAUGUUGACCAAUUUUAACAUAUCAAUAUGGCCUUGUGCGAUCAGUGUCAAGAAAUGUGUAGAAACGUGCAGCAUGAUAACAUUCACAAGCUACAAAGAAAACUUCAAGAUGUCUUUGACAGAACAACCAAUAAAGUGAAUGGUUGGAUCGGCACUUGACGAGGGAUAUUCAGAAGAAGAUUACCAAGUAUAUUGUCCUAUUAUAUAAAAAUCCAUAUAGUUUCAAGCUAAAAAAGAAAGGCUUUGUAACCCCUUAUGUAAUUAAACUUACGUUUUCUCCAAUUUAGAAAAUUAGUUAACAUGUGUUCUCUUAGAAACAACAAUCUGAAGCCUAUUAUGUUUCAAGCUAAGCAUCGCACUAUGCAGGCCCAACAAGCAACCAAUUCCAGGGAGGCAGUUGCCCAACAGUGUUCACAGAGCAUAAUUUAAGGAUCAGAACUUGGCAUUGAUCAGCAAAAUGCGGUCCAGCGAUAAUAGCUCUACUUCUCUUUAUCUGUACUUACAAGGUCAACCUAUCAAAGUAUAUGGAAGCACUAGCAUACACAGUUCAUAGAUCAUACAAUAUAUUAAGCAGACAUUGUAUUUCGCUUCCUAUAACUACAGUUCCAAGAAGACCAGAACUAAUGUUAAAUCAGAUAACAUUACUCCCCAGGGGCGGAGGGAAGGUGACGCUUGCAGGGGCCAUAGCCCGCAACCCUCCCCCCCUCCCAACUUUGUUUUAUAUCAUCUUUUUAUUUUCAAUAUAUAUAUAUAUAUAUAUAUAUAUAUAUAUAUAUAUAUAGAGAGAGAGAGAGAGAGAGAGAGAGAGAGAGAGAGAGAUAGGCUGGUAUACUAUCGGUAGCACGGAGGCCUCCGUGCUACCGAGUUGUUUUCAAUGAUGUGGCUUCCAAAUCGACGAUCGGCUUAGUUAGACUUGAUUUACACUAUUAAAAGUAUUUAGAAAUUAAAUUUUAUAAUUUUUCGGCAUCAUUUAUCUAUUAAAUGAGUAGUCUAAAAAUAAACUGCAGAAAAUAAAAAUCUCAUAAAAAAUUGAUGAUAAAGGACUUGAAUUUAAGAUCAGAGAUACUAAUCUUACUCUAAAUAGUGAAAAAAAUUUCUAUAAAAAUUUCAUCAAAUUUGGAUUGUUUUACACUAUUAAAUUCACAAACGUAUUAAAUCUACCGUUAAAAUUGUCAAUUUUGAGACAUUUUGAUCACUUGCCAAAUGAUGUCGAAAAAUUAUAAAAUUUAAUUUUCAAAUACUUUCAAUAGUGUAGAUCAAGUCUAACGGAGCCGAUCGUUGAUAUGGAAGCAGCAUCAUUGAAAACAACCUGGUAGCAUGGAGGCCUCUGUGCUACCGAUAGUAUACCAGCCUAGCUCUCUCUCUCUCUCUCUCUCUGUAAGGACUGAGAUUUUUACAGUGCAACUAAAUUCUCUGUUGAUGAUGUUUAUGUGUGUAAUUUAAUUACAUAAACAUUCGUCAAGUUUCAGGAGAAAAUGAGCUAAAAUGGAGAAGUUAAGCGAUUAUUAGUUUUCACUUAAGUGAAUAGUAACUCCGAUUUUCCGGAGAAGCCACGGAGUAGAGUUGGCUUUCGGCGCUUAUCGGACUCCGUUCAUAGCAAUCCAAUAGCUCGUUUUGAACAGUUCAGCUAUUCUGGAACCAAUGGCACUGACGGAUUUUAGAUCUGAUGCACGGUUUUCGAGAAAAAUCUGAAAAUACAUGUUUCUUUUGUAAUUGUGCAUCAUUUUGGCCUUUUGGAGAGAGAGUGGGUUUCGUCGUGAAUCGGAGAUCAAAUCGGACGAAACGAAAUGCUAGAUUCAAUGCCCUCGUCGUGCUGAACGCGAUGGUGCAAUCCGUUCAGAAAUCCGAUGAACGGAUUGUCGGAUAUUGCUUGAAGUUCGCUAAGGGGUCGAGAGUGGAAAAUCGGGAUAUUCGCAAAAGUCGUAAUAUUUUAUGUACCGAAUCGCACAAGAUCAGACGUGGAGGUGCAUAAGUGUUAAAUACUCGCACUGUGAAGGACUGAUUUUCUAAUAAUCAGUUUAGAGGGACUUGUGUGCAAGUUGACAAUCAUGUAUGGUUUUUUCUAGGGUUUCAUCAUGGAAAACCCUAACUUUGGUUCACCUUCUCUCUCAGCCGACCUCCCUGCGACACCUCUGCACAUUUGCCCUAGCCGUGCACGCACCACGGCCGCCGGCAGGUGCUCCGGCCGCCGAAAAACCCCUCCUCCAUCACCUUCUUCGCCUAUUCUCCACCCUCCUCGGCUUUCUGUCCUCAGGAAGUCACCCUUUGGGUCGGGCCUGCAGUCUCUGGCAGAGGCUUCCCCUCCGGCGACAUCCCCGCCGGCCCCGCCGUCCACGCGCGUCGCCGGCGCCGCCAUGACGCGCUACAGCCGCCCAGACCCGGAGCGGGCCGAGCCGGGGCGACCUCUGCCUCCAAGGACCGCCGCCGCCAGGGACCUCAUGGGCGACCUCCCUGGUGACCGCUGCCACCUCCGCGUCCGGCCCGAGUGGCCGCCGCCGCCGCUCCUACUGUUUGCGGUCAGCCCGAGCGAGAUCUGGCCGUGGGUGGCCAAAUCUCUCUCCCCCGGGUCGCCGCUGUCCAGGAUCGGCCGGGCCGCCUCCCACCGGCCUCCGACGACCGCUCUCCGUCGCCCAGAGCUCCCCCAUCCGUCCUCGUGGCGGCCCGCCGCCGCUCCUUCUUCCUGCGGCCGCGCAGGGUCUGUGCAGGCCGAGCCACACCCAGCACCGCCGCCGCCGCCUUCCGCCGCCAGCCGGCGUGAGCAUCGGCUCCGCCUGGCCGGCCGCACCCGUUCGCCGUCGGCUACCCCGCCGCCGGAGCUCCCUAUUGGACGCACUUGGCUUGUGCUCUUCUCGGGUUGGGUGUCUAGGGCAUCAGUGCCCGUCGUCGCCGCCACCUCCCGACGCCUGACGACGCGCGCCCCAGCCUUCCUUCGUCGUCAUAAACCUCUCGCAGCCGGCGCGCCCGCAGUCCGGCCGGCGCCGGCCAACCUUGCUCCACCAAGCUCCGGUAAGUUUAGUUUGAAGUUUCCUGUGCACUGUUUGACUUUUCGAUCACUUGUUCGGUGAUUCUAGGGCACCCCGAUGACCUUGGAAGUGAGCACGAUCAUCGUUACUUCGUGCUGAACAUCGUGCUCACCUCCGGCAGGGGCAGAGAUGCCCUGGUCUGUGUAUUAAUUGCAUUCUUAGCGCUGUGCGCGCUGUUUUACAGAUUUUCUUGUCGCUUGUGCGCGCGCCACAUUGGCCGGCAGUGCUCUGAAAGGUGAGCACGGCCUUCGGCAUGCCGAAACCUGUCAGCGGGUAUCUCGACUCGGCUGAUUGACCUCUGGUUUGCGUAGAGGGACCAUAAAAGCCCGAAAAACACAUGAAAUAACGUGAUUUCUUGGAAUCGGGAGGGCUUUUAUGCAAUUUGAUUUGUCGUGGCUACUGUUGGCAGCAUGUGUGAGCAGAGGAUAACCUCUGGACUGAUUGUCCAAGGCCCCAGACCUUGUGGAGAUCGGAAAUGCAUUUCCGGUGUGUUUGUCGGCAGAAUCCGCCGACGGAACACGGUUUUAGUUCGGAAUUCUUCCGACGGUGCCUCGUGAGCAUUUGUUGAGUCGCUGAGCCUUGUUGGCUGGCCACUCAUGUCAUUUCGAGGGUUCAGAAAUGACAGGUGAGCGACGGUGGGUUCCGGUGUCGAAAUAGACACUUUCGGUAAUCCAGAUCCGAACGAUUAUCCGACGAUAAUUGUUUGGAGGCGAGAUUUUGUGUUUUGCUGCCAAGACAUCUUAUUUGAUGCGUUUUGUGGCAGCGGGUGACUCGUAGCAUGAGUCGGUGCGUUGCGGGACAUUUCAGUGGUCCCGACGGAGUCCUAGUGCGAUUUCGGGACUUCCGGCGAGUUACGGUAGUCGGUUUUGGGAAACUGAUCUCCGUGGGUUUGUUAGUGCGAUUAUGAUUUAGUAUUUAUUAGUUGUGGGUUAGACACUAACCCGGUGGACCCUCCUUAGGUCCGGUUGAUGUUCUUUUGCAGUCAGGAGACAGGCGCGACAGUUGUACAGGUGGGUACUUCGAUCCGACGUCGGUACAGUGGUGCACGUUCGGUGAUGGUUUCUUACUCUUGCCCUCUUACUAUUAUCUAUGUGCUUAUACAUAUUCAGCCUUGCACCCAUAUUAUUUUCGUAUUUACUCUACUCGGUUGUUUUCAUAUUUAGUAUCUUGUGUAGGAGUAGAGUAGAUUUCAUCAGCAUAUCCUAUAUCUGUGACAUGAUUGGUCGAGUUCAUAUCCUAUACUUGUGACAUGAUUGGUCGAGUUUCAUAUCUUAUAUCUGUGACAUGAUUGGUCGAGUUCAUAUCCUAUAUCUGUGACAUGAUUGGUCGAGUUCAUACCCUAUACUUGUGACAUGAUUGGUCGAAUUUCAUACUCUGUACUUGUGACCUGGUUGGCUGAUUUGGUUACAUGAUGACCCAUGCGGUCGAUGGGCCCUAGGGGGGCAGGAUUGUCGGCUGGUUGCCGACGGUUGAUUAUUGAGCAUAUUGCAUUGAUCGCCCGAUACUUGUCGCAUUUCACGAACACUGGCGGUCUGAUCCACCGCAAGGAGUGUUCUUUUCCGGAAAAGUGGUUGAAUGGUGACAACCCGUGAGCCCUAGAGGGGUUAUAUGCACUGGAGAGUAGUAGUGGCACUGGCUUGAGGUCUGCGGUGCUGACCAAGAGAGCAUUGGUUUCAGAUUGGGUACUUUUGGACUUCUUGACUGGUUGACGCAUAUGUCUACAGUAGCAGUCGUUGCAUGCAUACUUACAAUUCUUACUUUACAGUUGUCUUGCUGCUAUAGUAGAUAUUCAUGUAUGCUUUCGGUUCCAGUUACAGUAGCAGUAGCCGCUAUUCAGUCUAGUUCUUACUUUCUUUUAGUUUAUUGCUACUGUAUUUAGUAUAUCUGCUCAUUACCCUAUACAUCUCUUUUGUUUACUAUUGUUCCUAUUGUUGUCACGCCCCGGGACCCAGCGGAAGCCCGCCCGGCACGUGCCCAGACCCGCCAUGCGUCUAAAACGCAUAAGGCGUCUAACAACAACAAUAAUAAAAGCAAUAGUACAAGACAUCUAGGAGUAUCAGAGCAAUAUCAAUGUCUAAAAGCUAUAACAAGGGAUAAAGUUAAAACUGUAAAUCCACUAAAUAAAACAUAAGGUAAAUACAACAGGAAUCCCAUAACAAGUGCUAAAAGGAGUACAAGGUGGUCUCUCUAUACAAGGUACAAAAUCUCUCCCUCUCUCACAAAAUAUGAAAUAGAGGAGUAACCACCUAUCGCAAAAGAACUCUCCGCGAGCUAGCUACGCGACACCCUUGCCGCGAUCCCGNNUAGUUUUUUUAAUCCUCGAAAAAGGAAAGAUGUAAUUACUACGCUGGAUGUAACUUAAAAGGAAAGUUGAUAGUUAACAAAGUUCAUUAGCAAAUUAAUAAUUCAAAACCAAGUGAUCGAUUAUGCAUGAGUAGUUUAGAUCAAGUUGUUGACCAGUUCUUGAACUCACCAAAACACUAACACCAAUACUCUAAUCACGUACCGUCUUAUUAAAUGCAAUUCUCUGGUUGUUUUAACUUUAUUUCCUUCGUAUAUCUCCCUUCUUUUUUCAUAAAACGUAAUCUCAAAUUAUUACUAAGAGUUAACAUAUUGUUUUCAUCCCGGGAUCGAUAUCCCACUCUCUAUUUAUAAGGUUGAUACUAGCUUAUAAAUAAGAAUAACUUUUACCGUAUCGUAACACACUAGUGUUUCGUUGUACCGCUUCUCUUUAGCACGUGUUUUAAUUCAUCCACUUCAUCUUAUUAAUUAUAACGAUACGCAGAGGCUAUUCAACUUCUCACGUUUAAUUUCGAGAUGGUUAGCUGUUUUUAUGAAGUGUGAUAUGCAUUGUUGCCAAACUCUUUUUCUAGAUGGAAUGGCCAUCAGAUAAUCAUGCUCUUUUGUAAAGCUUAAAGCAAUUUGAACACACGUUUAUUUAUUUAAUAAAAUAAAAUAGCAGCUGUGGAAAAGAAAAGCAUCUAAUUAAGUGCUUUUUAAACUGAAAAUGUAGUUAAAAAGUAAGAAUCAUGGGUGGUGUAGGGACCAUUAUACAUCUGAGGUAUUCAAAGCUUAACUAAUACUCCUUCAGGAGAAGCGGUUAGGUGGGGGACAGGAGAAAGUAGUUGACGUGGCCCUUUUUUGGGCCUCGCAAUGCGUGCUAUAUACCUAACGAAUGUGAGAUGAUCGUGACAAAUUGCUCGUCCAAAAAAUAAAGUACAGAAUAAUUUACAUAAAGUAUAAUUGAUAGAUCAAUUUUAUAUUAUUUUUAUCAAAUAUUUUAGCAUUUUAACGGACCUUAGGAGUAAUAAUGAAUUUGAUUAUUGAUAUCCGAGAUUUCAAGUUCAAAUCUUUAAUUAAUUUAUAUUUUCAACUAAAUUUAUUUUUAAAUGAAAUAAGCGAAACGGGUACCAUGCUAUCUAUUUCUGAAAAAAAUUUAAAAUUUUUUUUUAGCAUUUUAAGUUACAAAAUUUUACUAAGAAAACAGCACAAAAUGAGAUCAACAAGUAAAAUAAUUUUUUACUUUUUAUUUUUAUUAAUUAUAAAUUAAAUUCUGCUACUAUACUAUCGAUAGAACUAACCACUUAAUAUUAUUGAGUUUUCUGUCAUUAGAUCUAUUUUUUAACCAUCUCCACCCGAUAGAUCAUACAACUACCCAUUCAAUCUUAAAAAAUCACUAUUAUCCUAAUUGCACAUCCCUUCAUCUAAGAGCCGAAAACCUAAUAGCACUAACUGCUUGACUAUUAAUAGUAUAGUGGUGGUAGUAUAGCGGCUUAAUUCAUUAUAAAUUUAUGUUGCUUUGUUCAUGAAUAAUAGUUGUUUUGAGUUAAUAUGAUAUGCAAAAAAUAUAUUUAGUAUAUUAAUUAUCUUUAAUUAAUCGUAUUUGUUUAUUAUUGUUGUUUGUGAAAAGUAAUUAGUUUUUUUAUUGGUAAUUAGCAUAUGAUUAAUUUUAUGUGGUUUGAAAGAAACUAAUUUAUUUAUGAAUAAUAUUUGCUAAUAACUACAUGAGAAAAAGAAAAUAUUAGACGAAGAAUAAAAAAUACAUUGAGAAUAAUUAUAAAAAUAAUAAUGAUAUAUUUUUCUGUGAUUUCACAUUAUUAAUAAUUACUAUACUUUUUUACUUCUCAAUAAUUUUUAUUAUUAAAUAUUUUAACCCAUUAUGAAAAGUUUCUAAAACCGCUACAGAGAUAACCCUCUUAGAUUUUUAACAUUAAAUUAAUGUAAAAUCUGAUUACCAAAUUUGAUAAAACUAAUAUAAUUAUUAAAUGGCUAAAUUACAGAAAAUUUUCCUAUCAAAAUCUAAUCUUUCACUUUCCUCCCCUGUCAUUUAAAAACCUACACUUUGCCCCCUUGUAAAAUGAAAAAUAUUCACAGGGGAUUACGGUGUGAACUGUGAUGAAAAAAUGAUCAUUUUGCCCUUCACCAUUUUGCCCCUCACCAUGUUCACAGGAGAGAAGACUGAGGGUAUUUUUGGCAUAAAAAAAUAUAAUAAUAUUUUAUAAAUGGAAUCCUAACAGAUUACUAACGGCAGAGGGCGAAGUGAACAUUUUUUUUAUUUUAUAAGGAGGCAAAGUGUAGGUUUUUAAAUAAUAUAGGAUAAAAAAAAAAAUCGAAUUUUGACAGGGAGGUUUUAUGUAAUUUAGCCUUAUUAAAUUGGAUAAAUUUUUUUAACUAAACUAAAGAUAGAAAUCAAAUAAAAAAAAUCAAAUAGCUAAAGAAUCUAAAAAGUUAAGGAACCGAUUUCAAAUUCACUAAUAGUUGACGGGGUCUCCAUGCAUUUUAACCCAGCACCUUAUGAUGAUAGUUUCACACAAUGCCGGGUGAUGAUGCCUGCAAAAUUACUUGUUUUGAGAGACAGGUAGCAUGUCACUUGCUUCGUUUAUUUUAUUUAGAAAUAAAUUUAGCUGGAAAUGUGAAUCAACUAAAAUUCGAACUUGAAAUCUCGGAUAUCAAUCAUCGAGCCUUUUGCCACUUGCGCUAGGGACAGUCGGUAUGCCUGCAAAAUUGUUGUUCCAAAAAUUCUAACGAAUCGAAUAGCAUAUUCAGCUAUCCUGCUUUGGUAUGUAUCACAAGUGUUUUAGAUUUUAUAUAUAUUAAGCUUGGAUUAACCUACAUUAAAAAUGAAAAUUGUUCUACUUGCGGCUAAACCUUUCAUCUCCACUUCUGGUUUGAGCAUUUUACUUCAAUUGUACACCCAACUCUUCAAGCUCAGGAAGUUCGUGAAUAGAAAAGGAAUCGAAAUCUUUUUCAAAAUCCUAGUUGUGGUCGUAAAAUCAUAAUUAAUUAUUAUCACUCAUUAUUGACCGUAUCUAGUGCAGUAGAUUAGGAAUUUAAUAGCAGACACUUAAGAUUUUAAGUUCAAUAAACAAAACAUAUAGCUUGUUAUGUUUCUUUCUCUCUCCCUCUAAAAGAAACAAACUAUUUUCACUCAUUCAAUGAAUUACUUUUCCUAGGAACCUUCCAGAAAUGCUUUUUAUGCCCAUAAAAAAGAUAUAAAAAAAAUCUGUCUUGUAGAUAUAUAACUUGUCCGAUUUUGAAACCUUAUCUAUAUCAAAAUGAAGGAUAUCAAAAUGAAGGAGAACAAGAGGGUUGACCCAAAUUCUAAAGCUUUAAAUUAAGCUUAAUUAAGAAAAGUAAAGUCUUUCUUAUAUAUUAUUUGAAGCUUCGCAUGCGCACUCAGUGAUCUCAUCGAAACUAUAUAUAUAUAUGUAUAUAUAUAUAUAAAUGAAACUUGAUCAUGGGAGUGAAUUAUCGUGCGUGUCGUUGACCAAUAACUCUCAAACAGGUGGGUGAAUCUUAGUUUUGACCCACCGUACGUACAUAUAUUUAUAAAUUUAAUAUAAAACUUGUUACAACACGUGCGUGGCAAUGAAACACACGAUUGGCACACAAAUUUUGUAGCACAAGUUUUGACAUCGCUUGUAUGUAUACGCAAGCAUGCCACAUUGAGGCAAUGAAAGAACACAAAACAUGCUAGAAUAUGCUUCCAGGUUUGGUGAUGGAGGAGAACGAAAGUUAAGAGCAUUGUGUUAGAAGUGUGUAUACAACUAUAGCACAAUAUAUGAGAGAAACUAAUUAGGUGGGAAAUGAUCGCAAAUUUUGACCCGUCACACUUUAUGCAUUUCACUUUUGUGUACUUGCGUGGUGGAGAUUAGAUGAAUCAUAUAAUUUGUACUAAUAGAAAAAUCAUGGGAAGAGAAUACCUUGGAGCUAAGAGUGAUUAAUUUUAACUCUUAUACGGCAUGCUAUUAAAAAAAUUUCAUCAUUUUUUCUUUUUACAAAUAAUCGUAACUUGGGUUGAAGAUGUUGCUUUCCUCUCGUUUAUAGCAAGCCUUAAGGGUGCGUUUGGUUCGAGUUAUCCUGACAGGAUUACAGGCAAUCCUGCUAGGAUAACUGUGUUUGGUUAAUCCGAUAUGUAAUCUAGUCGUUAAUAUAGCAUUACAAAUCGAGCAGGAUUACAUCAAAAAUAUUAACGGGAGGGGGGUCGUGUAUCUUGCAUUACUGAAACCCGUUAAUAAUACAUAUUAUGUAAAAUAAUAAUUUUACCCUCCAACAACCUCAAAUCUAAUUAACAGCAUUAUUUUCAUCUCUCUCUCGCCUUCCCCCCUCUCUCUCGCACGCCGCUUUCUCUCGCUCUCUCUCUCUCGACGUCUCUCUCUCUCUCUCUCUCUUUCUCUCUCUCUCUCUCUCUCUCUCGCACGAACACCUAUCAUCUUCUAUUGCGUCGUCCUCCCAAGUAUUCAUCACGAUCUCCUUCCCUUCAUUCGUCAUUUUCGAAAAAAAUAAUAUUCAAAUGACCACAACAAGGACAAUUUUGAAAAAAAUUAUAUUUUUAUGUCAGAAUUACUAAAUUUUAUAAACUGAACCACAACGUAUUAAUGCUAUAAACACUGUAAUCUAGUAUUAUAUUACUGCAUUAAACCAAACGCGCUAAUACAGCAUCAGUAGUAAUCUCACGCCGAAAUUCAAAAUAUCUGGAUAUGUCGAGAUACUUUGUAAUAUUACAUAACUCGAACCAAACGGGCCCUAACAAGUUUCCCACAGGAAUUAAUUAUAAGUUUUGACCCCUGUACUUCUGUUGCGUUAAAAAAAAUAUACAUCCUUUUACGAAUACCCAUUAAACCCCUAACAAUCAAACCUAUGAUGCAUAAACACAGUUAUAUAUCCAUGAACCCUUAUAUACUCAAUUAUAACUAUACUCUAUCUUGUUGAAACAAGUCGAUUCCGACUCACUGGCACUAAUAAUUUGAUGGGCCCAACAACUGACCCAAAAUAUUUAAACCCAAUUAUUAUUAGUAGGAUCUAUAAUUUUUUUAUAUUUUUAAUCACAAUUUCUUCCAAUGUGGGAAUAUUUGAAGUAUUACAAGAAGUGUUUACUCAGAAGAUAUAGCUUUAUUCUGUUCUGCAGGUGGCAAUUCAAAAUGUCAAAUUUGUUGAAUUAUUGUGCCUAGACAGGAGCGAAAAAAAUUCAGUAAAGGCAUGAAGCUUUAAAUUCAACAGUGAACGAAAAAAUUCAAUUCAAAUUGGAUCCACUUGCAUAUGUUGCACGUGGAGCUCAAAGAGUGGAAAUCUAAGCUUAAUUAGAUUGAGUGUCCAAGUCCUAAGUACCAAAAACAGUGAUGAACUUAAAAAGUCACAAGCUAACUCCAAAUUGAACCAAAUUAUAGCAUCUAGUGAGACUUUUGAUGUGAAUAAAAGUCGGUGUUAAAGUUUGAGCAAUAAAAUCAAAAGAGAGAAAUUAUAAGAUAAAUUAUUUAGUCGCAAAUUUUAUCAAAAAGUUCAAGUAAUUAAGAGUUUGAAGCUAAAUUACAGUCGAGUGGUGCCAGAAGCGCCAUAAAAGUCAAAAUAAAAAACCCUCACAAUCCUACCUUACAAUGUCAAACCGUAUUGUAGCUUCAUGAAUUUUUUAUUCUUAAAUACGGAAUCAACUAGUUGACCUAAUCAUAGCUUUCCAUGUACAAGCACCCUGUAAUUAACUGCUUUUCGCAUUUGAGUACAAAAGGCCGAGAAGAUAGAGAACACGUACAAUUAGGAUAUUUAAACCAUGAGAACAACUACAACCAUACUUGUAGUUUCGCAUUUUUUCAUUUUAAUGCUCUAUGGCUUAAAGUGUAUAAAUAAGUGUUCUCUGAUUAUUUUAUUUUUAUAUUUUCGUCAACUUUUUCGUUAAUAUUUUAUUAAAUUAUAUGUAAAAAAUUUCGGAUACCCCAUCUAGGUUUAUCGAAUAUUCACUUUAGUACCCUUUAAUUUUAACUUUCUAUCUGAUUUAACGAAAAAAAUUAGUGAAAUCGAUAAUAAAAAGAUAAAGAUAAAACCACAUAAUACUAAAUUAAUAUAUUUGAAAUUAUAGAAUAGUAAAGUGAGAAAGUAUGAAACCACAUGUGUGGUAUUUAAAGUUUUUUCAAAAGUAAAUGCAGAGAGAAAAAAGAAAUAGAUUUUUUUGGUCUCUUAUCGCAAUCAACAUAUGAAGCGCAAUUCAUACUGAUUCUUGAGUUCUCAAAAAAAGGUCAAAAUAAGACACCGAAUUAUCAGGCACUCUUAUUGCAGCUGUGAUACCUUUGAUGGUUCAAAGUUUUCACAGUAGGAUAAAUUGUUUGAAUUAUAGAUGAGAGUUGACCAUCUGUAACUAGUCUUGAUCAGAGAUUUGUCUCCGAUCGCGACUAUUUUAGUCACACCUGCUGAUGCAAGUAUGCAGAAUAACUAUUCCACCUGCCCGUCUUCAAAGUCUUUCGGCCUGACAACAUAGAGUCUGUAGCACCGCAACGACGGAACCUGCGCUAUCAAAAUAUCUAACCACACUAAUAAACCAAUAUAAUGCAUCUAAAUCAUCCACAACCGAUAAAUAUAAAAGUUAGAGUGAAUAAAUUAAAAGGAAAAAAAAUUCAAGCACAAUCACAAUAGUAUACAAAAAUUUACGUGUUUCACCCAUCCAAGCUAAAUCUACAGAUUCGGAGAGAUCAAAUUCACUAUCAAUUUGAGAAGAUUAUAAAAUUUGGUUAGAAAUUACCACACUAUAAUAAUGGGCAUACAACCAUUGAGCUCGACUGCUAUACUAUCAGUAAUACGGAGGUCUCCAUACUAUCAUGUUGUUUUCAAUAGUGUGGUUUCCAAAUCGACGAUUGGCUCCGUUAGACUUAAUCUACACUAUUGAAAUAUUUAGAAACUAAAUUUUAUAAUUUUUCGAUAUUAUUUGGCUAGCGAACAAAGUGUCUUAAAAUUGAUAACUUUAAUGGUCGAUGUGAUGUGUUUGUAAAUUUAAUGGUAUAAAAUAAUUGAAAUCUGAUAAAUUUUUUAUAGAAAUUUUUUUUCGCUAUUUACAUUAAGAUCAAUACCUUUGAUCACAAAUUCCAGUCUUUUAUUGUUAUUUUUAUGAGUUUUUUAUUUUCAGCCGGUCAUUUUUAGACUACUCGUUUAUAGUUAAAUAAUAUCAAAAAUAAUGAAAUUUAAUUUUUAAAUACUUUAAAUAGUAUAAAUUAAGUUUAACAGAGCUAAUCGUCGAUUUGGAAGCCGUAUUAUUGAAAAUAAUUUUGUAGCACUGAGACCUCCGUGCUACUAAUAGUAUAGCAGCCGGACUCUACAACCAUUCAAAUAGUAAAAGGCCUUCUUACUAUUCUUCUCAUUUCGGAACGCCCUUAGAAUGCCUCUAAUCAAUCUCGAAGAGCUUGAAUCAAGCAAGAAGAGCAAGACGGUCCUUCUCCCAUCCUCACCCAAGAAAAUGAGACUUUUCUAUACUAUACUCUUAAAAUUUCUUUCAUAAAACCACUUUGCCUCGAUAUACCGAUGGGUCAACUAAAACCCAAAACUAAAUAGUUACUAGUCCGCUUUAAGAGUUAUUGAGCCAAAUCUAAACAAACGCCAAAUGAGCUAAUAGGUGAAUUUGAUGUCACCACCCACCCAAAACAAUACGAUAAAUGGGACAUUAAUUGUCCUAGUAUUCGAUUAAUCCUACUCUGACUGCGCGCGCGGCUUUAGUAGUUUGAAUUAGAAUAACUUUAGCAUUUUACACAAGGAUGAUACUUAGCUACUUGCUUCAACUCAUCUGAAAAAGAACACUAAAGGAGAUGAGGACCUCAACAUUGACUAAAAGAUCAAUAAAUUAGGGGACCACAAAAAGAGAGCUUGUAUUUGAUUCUUCACCUCGUAGGAAAGGCGAGAUUGAAGAGCUCUAAUAUGAACCACUAAAAAUGGCAAAAUAGACAUUGAAAGUCGAAGGGGCCGAAAUUGAUGGUAGAUUGCUAACCAAAAAUCAUGGAGGAAUAAUGCCGUAUUAAUUGAUAUGCCGCAAUUGAAGAGCAAUUUGAACCGAGCAGCAAAGAAGGCCAAAGCCUGCAUGAAAAGAACAUGCACCUAAACUAGAAAGGCUUUAGUCUCUAAAAGUAUAAAAUUGUCUUCUUCCUCUCUAGAUAGUACAGCGUUCUUUCAAUAAGGAAAAAUCGAAGUCUAGUUGCGGAUCACAGACUUUGCGAACCUUUUUACUUUAAAGAUUGUGACAAUUUGAGAUACUAAUUUGACACUACUAGAUUACCUACGAAAACUAGUAUGGGUUUGGGGAAGGGAUCCCCCGAAUAUUGGGUAUCCGUUGUUAAACCAGGUCGAAAGAUGAAGCUGUCGACGGACAAACUUUGCGUUAACGUCGACCGGGAUGGGAUGGCAAGGCUCCAGUUCAAAAAUCAAAGUCUAGUUGCAGAUCACCGACUUUGCGAACCCUUUUAAUUUAAAGAUUGUGACAAUUUGAGAUACUAAUUUGAUGCUACUAGAUAAACUGUCCGCUUUUUAUGACUUCAAAAUUUUUUGAACCGAAAUAAAUAAAAAAAAAAAGAUUUGGUUAUAGCUCGCUUUACGAACUAACUUUUGUAAAAUAAUUUUUUAUAUUCACUUUCCCAAAUGAAAGGACAUUAUUUUCUGAAGGCGCCACUUUUGAUGCUUUAUUUUCUGCCGGUAAAAACAUUAAGCCACACAGAAAAGACGCUGAAAUGAUUUGGAUCCUGUUGGGUCCAAGAAGGCCCAAAUUUUAAAUACUUGGCUAGCUAGUUGGACCCCUAAGAUCAAAUAAUUUGUACUGGAACCGUGCUCAGGCAUAUCUUGCACAUAAAACAAACCCAAACACACCUAUAUAUAUAUAUAUAUAUAUAACCUCUAGAGAUUCUUGCAUAGUACUUCAGAUGCCCAAGUAGUCGGCGAGUAUGGCUUCGUUUGGAAUUGUGGGGAGAUUGCGUUAUAUGCGAUAAUGCGAUGAAAAAGUACGAUAGAAAAAUAUCCUAAAUAGAAAAAUAUCCUAUUUCUUUCCGCACGUAAUAUUAUAUUCCGCAUAUCACAAUGACUCGCUUAUAAUAUAUUUUCUGCGAUCUCACAGAAAAACGUAGAAAUAUAUCCCUAUACACUUUUACCCCAACUUUAUUCUCAAUACCAAACUAAACCUAUACAAAUGUUACCCAAACCACCAAGUAUAUAAACGCACGCUCCGGUUUCACUGCAUUUGUUUGUUUAAUGUGGGGGCGUGUACGAACUCUGGGCUGGUCUGGGCCAGACUUAAUUUUGGGACCAAGUUAUUAGACCGGUUCGGUUCUGGCCCAGUCCGAUUUUUUUUACCUGCAACGGAUGCGGCCCAGAUUUUCCCGGGCCAUUAUUUUCGACUAGGUUUGCUCAAACCUACUACGGUAAGUCAAUUUAUCCUUACCGCACACCAGUUGAAAAAUCUUACAAAAGGAUUUAGCAGCACGUAACACUCCUCUCAGCGAAAUUAAGAAGGGAAAACUUCAAAAAAAAACCCACGUGGUUUCGCAUUUUUUUAUUUUAAUAUUCUGUAAUUUAAAGUGUAUCAAGUUAGUAUUCUAUAGUUUUGCACUUUCUCAUCACUUUAGUACCAUGUGGUUUAAAAUGUAUCAAGUUAGUAUUUUAUGAUUUUAUUUUUGUAUCAAGUUAGUACCCUAAGAUUUUAUAUCUGUAUCAAUUUAGUACCUUAUGAUUUUUUUUUUUUUUAAUAAAAUAUUAAAUUACAGGGUAUUAAUUUGAUACACUUUAAAUCACAGGAUACUAAAGUGAUGAAAAAGUGCGAAACCAUAGGGUAUUAAUUUGAUACACUUUAAAUCACAGGAUACUAAAGUGAUGAAAAAGUGCGAAACCAUAGGGUAUUAAUUUGAUACACUUUAAACUAAAGGAUACUAAAUUGAGAAAGUACGAAACUACAGAACAGUAAUUUAAUAUAUUUUAAACCACAGAAUACUAAAAUGAAAAAAAGUGAAACAACAAUAGGGGUAUUUGAAGUUUUUCCAAUUAAAGAAUUGAGGGAUGGCUCCGAUAUUUCACAUGGUAUGUACACACGCCCGUUGUAAACGAUUGGUUAACAUAGUUUUAUUUAUACAGUUAGAGAUGUUGGUUUGCAUUUAAAAGAAAAUUAAAACACAUUAAAAUCGUGGGAUUAAAAAGAUAUUGUAGAUUCGACAUUUAUCACCAUGCAUUUAAGGUAUGGAUUCUAUCAAAGCAUUUAAGAUCGUGAGUGGUUGAAUGUUGAAAAAGUUAGUUGUGAACAUUGAGUUCCUUCGCUCAAUAUGUUGUAAUUAGUUUUUAAUCGAUCCUCCUUUUUUUCUUUAUUAAUGGUGUGUUUGGUUCCACGUAAAACCAUAGAAAAAAAUUUUCAAUGAAAAAAAAUUUUUGGUAAAAAAAAAAAAAAUGUUUUUUAGUGUUUGAUUUGGAGGAAAAGAAAAAUAAUUUUUCCAUAACAGUUGUUUGGUUGAAAUAAAAAAAUAAAUAAAAAAUUAUUUAAUAUAUAUUUUUACUUUAUAUAUUAUUAAUAUAUAAUAAUUAGUAUAUUAUAUAUUAUUAUUAAAUAUAUUUAAAAUUGUAAUAAACAUAUAUUAAUAAUAUAUAAGAGUUAUAUUAUAUAUUUAGAAAUAUUAAUAAAUAGAGUCCGGUUAUCAUGCUUGUGAAGCACAAACCAUUUCGUACUUAUAAAUUUUUUACCAUUAAAGUUAUAUUUUAUAUCAUUUUCACCCAUUAGAUUAUACUAUUCAACCAACCAACAACCCUAGAGAGCCCACAUCAUUCUAACCGCACAUAUCUUAAUUCAAUAGACAAAAAUCUUUAAACACCAAUAACUUGAUAUUUUUAAAAACAUAAGAGCUUAAUUCUUAAUAAAUAAUUAUAAAUUUAUAAAUAGAAUAUUAUAUAAUAAUAUUUUUAUAUAAAAAUAAAAUACUAUAUAUAUAUAUAUAUAUAUAUAUAUAUAUAUAUAUAAAGAGUUGAGCUAGAAUACUCUCAAAAGUAUCAAAAAGGUGAUGCUUUUGAGUUUUUAACCUUUGCAUGGAGCGAUGUAGGGUUGGGAUGAUGGUAAUAGGUGGUGGUCGGUAGAAUAGUGUUUGAUCCAAGAACUAUUAGUAAUCAAGGAGUAGAUCUAAGGACUAAAAACGUAGAACCAUCAAGGGGUUGGUGCUUCUAAAAAUAUCCUAGCUCAACUAUAUAUAUAUAUAUAGUCCGGCUACUAUACUAUCGGUAGCACGGAGCGCUCCGUGCUACCGAGUUGUUUUCGAUGAUGCGGCUUUCAAAUCGACGAUCGGCUCCGUUAGACUUGAUCUACAAUAUUGAAAGUAUUUGGAAACUAAAUUUCAUAUUUUUUCAACAUCAUUUGACUAGUGAUCAAAAGAUCUCAAAAUUGACAAUUUUAAUGGCCGAUGUGGUAUGUUUGAGAGUUUAACGGUGUAAAACAAUUCAAAUCCGAUGAAAAUUUUAUAGAAAAUUCUUUUCACUAUUUAGAGUAAGAUCAGUAUAUCUGAUCUUGAAUUUAAAUAUUUUAUCAUCAUUUUUUAUGAGAUUUUUAUUUUUAGCCAUUCAAUUUUAGACUACUUGUUUGAUAGGUAAAUGAUAUCGAAAAAUUAUGAAAUUUAGUUUCUAAAUACUUUUAAUAAUGUAGAUCAAGUCUAACGGAGCCGAUCGUCGAUUUGGAAGCCGCAUCAUCGAAAACAACUUGGUAGCACGGGAGCGCUCCUGCUACCGAUGUGUAUAAGUGUAUAUAUAUAUAUAUAAAUAUAUAUAUAUAUAUAUAUAUAUAUUUAUAUAUAAUAUAUAUAUAUCAACUUAUAUAUAUAUAGUUAGAAUAUUCUCAAAAGUAUAUGAAGGUAUCCUUUUGAUUUUUAGCUAUUGGAUAGAAAGAUGUGAGAUUGAGAUGAUGAUAGUAGGUGUGGUAGGUGAAAUAAUAUUUGAUCCAAAAAUAUUAGUAAUUAAGAGUAGAUUAAGAACUAAAUCUUAAAAGCACCAAAGAAUGAUACUUCUAAAAAUUAUCUAGCUUAAUUAUAUAUAUAUAUAUAUAUAUAUAUAUAAUGAGAGGGAGGUCGACUGUGGACCUCCCUCUCACAUGUUCCAGGAGGUCGAAGUGGCCUCCUAUACCGCAUAAAAGAGUUGGCCAUGAGCCGUGAUUUGGUUCGCUCCGCGUUUUCAUUUUUCGUAGCUCUCGCACAGAAAAUAAAAACAACCGUUUUAUCCUAAAUAUAUAAAAUUAAUUUUUAUGAAAAAAAAUUUUACCUAACAUCAAACGAUCUACAAAUUAUUUUUGGAUCGAAAAUUUUUUUCUAGACACUCUUACAUAAAACCAAAAACGGCCUAAACCACAAAGCCUAUAGAUAUUCGUACACAUGGCACAAGUUCCUUUGUAGGAUUUGGGGCGGUGGAGAUAAUGAAACAAAAGGACCGUUCCACCAACGUCAUCGAUAUCAUAAAAAUGGCACCCAGCUCACGAGAUAUGCCUAGGGAUAUUCUCUUCUCUGCGUAUUAUUACAAUAUUUACGAGGCAUCAAUGAAAAUAGGGAAAACUUCAAAAAACUCCCUGUGGUUUCGUACAUUCUCACUUUGCUACCCUGUGGUUUAAAACGUAUCAAUUUGCCCCCCUGUGGUUUUGUUUUUAUCUUUUUGUUAUCAAUUUUAUUAUUAUUUUUUUUGAAAAUCAGUAACAAAGUUAAAAUUAAAGGAUACUAAAGUGACUAUUCGAUAAAUAUAGAUGGUUAUCUGAAAUUUUUUGUAUAUAAUUUAACGAAAUAUUAACGAAAAAGCUUCCGAAAAGAUAAAAAUAAAACCACAGGGGGGUAAAUUGAUACGUUUUAAACCACAGGGUAGCAAAGUGAGAAUGCACGAAACCACAGGGGAAUUUUUGAAGUUUUUCCAUAAAAAUAUAUGCUUGUGGGAGAGUAUUGAGAAAAUUUUCCCUAAGCAAGAUUAGACAUAAAGCAUUCAAAGCGUACGUACGUACGACUGAUUAGUGCAUUAAUUGUGACAACGUGUAUAUAUCACACUAACUAUUUGAUUAAUUAAUUAGUGAAUUAUCACCGCUCCUAGCAUGAGUAUUACAGAAUUCACUGGUUGAUAUUCGAGGUUCUAAGUUUAAAUUUUAAUUAAUUUAUAUUUUCAGUUAAAUUUAUAUUUUUUUAAAAAAUUAAGUAUUAUACUAUCUUCCUCUCAAAAUAAUAAUAAUAAUAAUAAUAAUAAAUUAUCAUUAAUUUGUGGCUUGUAUUUUUCCUUCACUUAACACGUGCUCAUCAUUUUUAAACUGACAUGAUUGAUAUUUUUUGGAUAACCAAGGAGACCAUCAUUCUCUAAUUUGUAUAACUAAUAUGGUAACAAUAUGUAUAAUUUUUAUUUUUUAAUAAUAUUCCGCAUCGGUUCCUACAGCUCAACUUAAGCUCCUGCUACAUAGCAAUAAGAUCACUUAACACGUGCUCACCGCUUUUAAACUGACGUGAUUGAUAUUUUUUGGAUAACAACGGAGACCAUCACUCUCAAGUUUGUAUAACUAAUAUUUUAACAAUAUAAUUUUUAUUUUUUAAUAAUAUCCAGUGUCGGCUCCUACAGCUCAACCUAAGCUCCUACCACAUAGCAAGCAAACCUCCUACCUGGUCUAGGCAGAAUAUUGAUCCUUUUAAACAACAAUCUUUCAAGCGCAUGUAUAAAUUUACAAAAUGCUAGAAUCGAAUGGAGAUCUUUGAUUCUAAUACCACUUGUCGAAUCAUUUGACGUUAACUAUUAAUCACAAAAACUUGAACUAUUAAAAAUAUACAACCAAUUCGCUUAAAUUGUACAAACACAUUGUUCAUAUGUCUCUAUUGUGCGACGUGGUCCAAUCAGCCUCACGUCAUUUCGAAUAUGACUCGGACCAAUUCCGUCUCCCGUCAUUUUCAAAUAUGAUUUGGCCAAAUUUAAUCUCUCGUCAUAUAACAGAAUCCUAAUCUUUUUAAUUAAAAAAAUCAUAAGAUAUAUAAACAAUCCAUAAAGAAGUGGUUGAGCUCAUUUUCAGCAUUUAGAAUUAUGAUAUACCUAACUGAUUUGAAAUUUCAAACUAAUUAGUAAUUUUGACCAUUUUCCAAAGGUGUCUUUAUCUAACUCGGCCCUUUUCCCUUCUUUACUCACAUUUUGAAACGAUGGGAGAACAUUAACUAGUUUGCUGAAACAAGAGAACUGUAAACUCGUACGUACAUAAAGUUUGGCAGCUGCGGAAUUGGUUCUCUCUCACGAAAUUGCUCUUACCAUCCUGUUCUUUUAUUACAAUUCAACAUCAAACAAGUUGAGGAUGAUGACAAAUUUUUUUUAAAAUAUGUAGUAUUUUUUUUCUUGGGACUCAAAAUUUUUUAAUAAAUCUAAAAUAUAAAAUUAAUUAAAUAGAAAAUAUAAAAUUAAGAGUCUUAUUAAAUUCAAGAGUUCUAGCUCAGUACCAUGUGAAAGAAUUAAUUAAUAUUCUGCAUGACCAGAAAACAUAUGUGCGCAUAUUUUUUUAAUAUUCGUAUUUUAGCAACAGGCAUAUUGGAACGAAGCUAGAUUAGUAUAUAGUUUUAAUGGUAAAGAAACAUUGUUUACCAUCCUAAUUUUAACCCUUGGAUAUAUAUUAGGGUUUAAAUUUGAUAAUUGGAAUAGUAUUCCAUCGACAGAUAAGAAAAUUAAUAAUAUAUAUUAUUUAUUUACUAUCAAUAAUAUUUUAGCUGAACUCUCGACACAAUGGACAUUAUAUUAAAAAACAUAAGGAGUUGUAUAUGCAAAAGAUCAUAAAACCUUUCUUAGUUGCCCAUCUUUUAUUCUUGCGAAGCCACCAUAAGUUUAAAAACCCAAAAGAGCAAACCCCACACAACUACAGCUCAACAACAGCUUCACUAACAGUUAAGCAACCAACAUGCACCAAAUUAAAGCCCUGGAAAUUAGAAAACGCUAGCACUCUCUCCCCCCUCCCCUCCCACCACCGACCACAAGAACUUGUUAUCGCCGUUCCGCGCGGAGCAAUUCGCCCUUAUCUCUCCCUUCCCGCCCGUCAGCACGCUCAGCUGCCCCAUCUUCACGAUCGAAUACACAAACUGCUUGAAAAACAGCGACUGGUUGACCGCAAAACUCGUGACGAUGCUCUUCGUGCGUUUGUCGGUGUACAUGUCCUGGUCGGACGUGAACAGCCCCUGCCGGUUGAGCAGAUCGACGUAGUACUUGUUGUCGAACGUGUUCGGCGAGCGGAUGUCGUUGACGGUGGUGUUGGUGGUGUUGGACGCGGGGCAGGUGAGUUCGAGGUUCUUGGCGAAGGUUUUGUCCAUGACGGGGUCUUGGGUGGGGUAGAGGCGGUUGGUGAAGGAGGUGCAGUGCGCGAGGCCGAUGGUGUGGCCGCCGGAGAGGGCGACGAGGUCGGUGGUGUCGAGGUUGAUGUUCGAGAGCACCGACAGCAGCUUCGUCACGUUCGACGUCGGCGCGGGGAGGCUGGCCAGCGUCACGUUGCGCGUCGCGAACGUCAGGCCGUCGCGCCGGCCCAGCGGCACCUUGUACUUGGGCCCGCCUGACUGUUGUUGGAUUGGAGACAGCGUAAAUAUUUAGCCAACUAAACUGGAAGAACAUUUGCAGGUUAAAUUAACUUUUCUUAAUUCUUACAUUACAGAAAUUAGGCGCGCCACCAUAAAUAAUUAUUUUUUCUAAAUAAUGUGUAGUGUUAUUAUAUUUUCGAAAAUAUAAAAGAAUUGAUAUUUUCGACUUUUUAAUAUUUGGAUUUUAUUGCUCCUUAUAGAAAAAUAGUAUUAAUCUUAGAAUUAAAAAUGAACAAUAAAAUUAAUUAAAAGUUAAAAACUUAGAAACAUCAAUCUUUGUAUACUUCUUCAAAUACUAUAGAAACACCUAAACAAUUGUGCAAUUACCAUGUCAGCAAUUACCGACUGUCCCUAGAGCAAAUGGCAAAGAACUUGAUGAUUGGUAUAUGAGGUUUCAAGUUCGAAUUCUAGUUGAUUCACAUUUUCAGCUAAAUUUAUUUUUAAAUAAAAUAAACAAAACGGGUAGAGUGCUACCUAUUUCUCAAAAAAAAUUACCAUGUCGGCAAUUUAUAAAAUAUAUAUACAAAUAAUAAUGAUAUUCAUGGGAGUUGACGCCACGCAACUUGACUAGCUAAUUAAUUAGUUUAAUACUUGGAGCAAAUUCUGGUGGGUCCAUGGCUUGUUGAAUAGAUUGUCACAUUUCCUAGAUCUUAUCCGUGAGUAGGUGGUGUGAUUUAUUCAUGGAUGCAACUUGGAAAGUUCAGUUUGUGGACCAUGCCCUAACAAAAUGGAAAAUCGUGACAAUAACGCGGAUGUGGACCAUUAAUUUCAAAUGCUCCAAAUAUUUUUUAGUAAUAUAAUUCUUUGUCUAAGUUAGUACUUUGAUUGGUUAGCCGGGAACAGUAACAUAUUUUUGAGGGGAAGCACGAAAUGGAAAUGUGAUAAAGUCUUAAAAUAUUUUUUUUUUCUUUUUCCUUUUUUUUUACCCCCUGAAAGAAAUUAAUUGUACUCAAACCCAACUCCGCCUCUUUGGCAAGUGGGUUCACAUAAAUAAAUCUCGGCUGUUUAAGUAAAAGUAUUUAAAAAGAAGCAGAAGAAUUAAUAGUACGCUUUUGGGCUUCAAAUUAAAACUCUCCUAAUUUUUCUCGUCGUAGUAAAGACUAUUUUUGCUUUUCCAAAGAUAAGAAAGUGGUUCUGAAUAGUAGUCCAACAACUAUUUAAUUAUUGGAAUAUGUAUCUCAUGUAAAUUUAUUGUUUUUAGAGAUUGAUAGCUUAUUUCGUUUUUUUAUUUAGAAAUAAAUUUAUCUGAAAAUUUAUUAUCCAAAAAUUUAAAUCUGAUGUAAAUUUAAUAUCCAAGAACUAAAGGUAAGUUUUAUAUCAAGAAUUUAAAUUAAUAUUAUUUUCCCCAUAUUUGGUCGGGAAUAAGUGAAUUAUUUUUUUUUUCUAUAUAUGAAACGUCAAGUGAGGAUAACUAAUCCUUUUUUAAUGUCUUGUCCGAUAACAAAAAUACUUACCACUAUCCUCACUUUAUUCUUUCUUACCAAAAUGAGAGAUCAAAUUAACAAAUGGUUGCUUACCAAGUAGACGGAGUCUCGAGCCGCAAGCGCAACGACAUCGGCGCAAGAGACGACCUGUCCACACGCCUUGUCGAUGAGUGCUCGGAGGUCGUUGAUGGCCUUGAAAGCUGCCGGCCGGAGUGUUAGGUUCGGCGGCGCCUGCUGUUCGCCUGGUCCGCUCGCCGAGCCAUCCAACAAUACAGACCCAUCACACCCCUGCACAUAUAUAUCAACUUACCCGAUCGGGUUAGUAUGGAUAACUACUUUUUCUUUUUAGAGGGAGAAAGAUAUAUAGCAAACUAUGUAUUUGCUUCGUUCAUUUAUUUUAUAAAUAAGCUCAACUAAAUACGAAACAACUAUGUUUCAAACUUGCUAUCUCAUAUAACAACCAUAAAGCCCUUAAUUAGUAUGAAUAAGUUAUGUUUGCAAUUAGAAUAUAUAGUUGUACAUAUACGUACGUAGGCACGUAGUAGGGUAUUUCACGGGUAAAAAUGUACUGAGAUCGUCACAACUAACUACUAUUUUGACGUAAAGCACUGAAUCAUCAUUUUUUUAAAAAUAUUUUGAUACUUCUUCAACUUUUACAUAUUUUGGUCUAAGUUGUUCCAGUCACUUAACUUGUGAAUUCCCUUAAAUUUAGCUGUAUAAAUUUUAAUAACAAAAAUUUAUAGUUUUUUUUAGAGUACGUACUUCAGCUAAAACGCAGCUGAUAGAGUCAUUAAAUUUGAUAAAAGUUGCGCAUACACACUUUUACUUAUUUUUGCUCACCUGAACGAAGCAGUCGUGGAAGUGGAGGCGGAGGAGGCCUGCGGCGAGGCCGAUGUUGUUCUUGAACGAGUUCUUGAGGAAGUCCCUCACAAUGGAGUCCAAGUUGGGGCAUUUGGACUUGUAGAAGCUGAAGGAGAGGCCAUUCACUAAGGGAGGAUAAUCAAACUCAUCAGCCCUAGUUGGAGAGCAGAGAGAGGAGAUACAAAUGGCUAAUAGGAGGAGGAGAGACAUGGUAGAAAGAGAGGAAGAAGCAGAAGCAGAAGCCAUUUUUUGGUAUCUUUGAGGGGAUGAUCAAAACUAAGUAGAGAUGUGGAGGGGGCGAUGAGGAAACUGGAUGAGGUAUCGGUGAAUUUAUAGGCAUUAAUUAAGAGCAUGGACUGUGGACAGCACGUGGCUGCAGCACUGUCACAGCUUGAAGCUUUGAAUAUGGAAACAUGCAUGUAUCGACCAUUUAUUUAUUUAUUUAUUUGUUUAGGGGUAAAUUUUAUUUACAUGAGUUCUCCGUUUAAUACCAAAUAUUUUAUUUUUAGAGUUAAACUCUACUUAAAUUUAUUAAUUUAAAAAAAAUGAAGAAGUUUUAAUGUAUAGGACAUACAACUAUAUAUAUAUAUAUAGAGAGAGAGAGAGAGAGAGAGAGAGAGAGUUGAGCUAGAAUACUAUCGGUAGCAAACGAGUUCCGUUGCCAACCAUUUGUUUUUGAUGAUGGAGCCCCCAAAUCGACGAUCGGUAUCGUUGAACAUGAUCUAUACCACUUGAAAUGUUUAAAAAUCAAAUUUCAUACAUUUUCAAUAUUAUUCUCUUAUCCAUUAAGUGGACACAAAAAUGAACGGCUGAAAAUGAAUAUUCUUUAAAAAAUGAUGAUAGGAGUCUUAUAGUCAAAAUCAAGGGUACAGAUCUUGUUUUAAAUAGUUUAAAGAAUUUUCUAAUAAAAACUCAAUUGAUUUGAAAAUCUUUACACCGUUAAACGAAAAAAAGCCUCAUAUCGACCAUUAAAAUUACAAAUUUUGAAACUCUUUGAUCAUUAGGCAAAUAAUGUCGAAAAGAUUUGAAAUUUGAUUUAUAAACACUUCAAGUCGUAUAGAUCUUGUUUAACGGUGUCGAUCGUCGAUUUGGAGGCUCUAUCAUCGAAAAUAAAUGGGUGGCAACGAAGCCCGUUUGCUAUCGAUCACCUACUUAAUGUUAAAGGAUUACUAUCAUUCUAGCCACGCAUGUCUUAAUCCAAAGAUCGAAAAUCUAUAUAGUAGAUCAAUUAUAUAUAUAUAUAUAUAUAGAGAGAGAGAGAGAGAGAGAGAGAGAGAGAUGAGUUAGAAUACUCUCAAAAGCACCAAGAGUUUGGUGCUUUUGAGUUUUUAACCCUUCGAUGGAGAAAUGUAAGGUUGAAAUGAUGGUGGUCAGUGGUGGUAAGUAAAAUAGUAUUUAAUCUAAGGACUAUUAGUAAUUAAGGAGUAAAUUCAAUGGUUAAAAACCUAAUAGCACCAAGGGGUGAUGCUUCUAAAAAUAUUCUAGCUCAAUUUUAUAUAUAUAUAUAUAUAUGAGUCCGGCUAUGGUACUUGUAAAAGUACCAAGCACUUGGUGCUUGUAAAUUUUUUACCGUUAGAUCUCUGCCUUUGAUCAUUUUUACCCAUUAGAUUAUACUAUUCAGCUAACCACCCACUCAACCCUAAGGGCCCACAUCAUCCUAACCGCACAUCCUUAAAUCCAAGAGCCGAAAACUUACAAGCACCAAUGACUUGGUACUUUUAAAAGUAUAGGAGCUCAAUUCUAUAUAUAUAUAGAGAGAGAGAGUGAGGCUACUAUACUUCUGGAAGCACGGAGCCUUUCGUGCUUUUAAGUCGUUUUCGAUGUUGCGACUUUCGAAUCGUCGAUCGGCUCCGUUAAACUUGAUCUAGAGUAUUUGAACUACUUAGAAAAUAAAUUUUAUGAUUUUUCGAUAUCAUUUGCCUAGUGAUCGAAAGGACUCAAAAUCAAUAAUUUUAACGGUCAUGGUGAGCCGUUUGCAAGUUUAAGGAUGUAGAAAUAUCCAAAUCACGUGAAAUUUUGAUAGAAAAUUUUUUAUACUAUAUAAAACAGAUCAAUAUCUUUGAUCUAAAAUUUUAUAUAUAUAUCACUCCGAUGAUACAAAGACCUUUAUGCCUCGGAAGGCACGAAGAUUCAGUAAAAGCUACAACGCUGAAACCUUAGCAGCUAGCCGAGGCAAUUUGAACUAGAUCUCAUAAACUUCAUGGAUCUUUUAUUUAAAACGUUAAAAAGCUAUAGUAAACGGAUCACUUGAUUCCCCGAGUUUUAGUUGCCGACUUUUAUUUUUAGAAUGUUUUGCACUAUUAUACUAUAAUNUAUAUAUAUAUAUAUAUAUAUAGGGGGAGAGAGAGAGAGUCCGGCAACUAUACUAUGAUGACUACGAUCGCCUUUGUACUCAUAAGUCAUUUUCGAUGAUAGAGCUUCCAAAUCGAUAAUCCAUACCACUAAACAUGAUUUAGAGCAUUUGAAACUUCUAGAAACCAAAUUUCUUAAUUUUUCGACAUUAUUUACCUUACGAUCAAAAGAUCUCAUAAUUGACAGUUUUUAAUAGAAGGUAUGGGAUGCUUGUUCAUUUAACAGGAUAAAAGAAUCGUAAUCGAUUGAAUUUUUUAUAGAAAAUUCUAUGGACUAUCUAGAAGAAGAUCAAUAACUCCUAUCUUUUUUAGUUUCUAGGUGCUUCAAAUGUUCUAGAUCAUGUUUAACAGUAUGGAUCGUCGAUCGGGAUCUCUAUGAUCGAAAACGACUUAUAAAUAUGGAAAUCUCUGUACUCAUAAGAGUAUAAUAGGGCUAUAACACUCUUAUGAGUACGGAGGCCUACGUACUCAUAAAGUUAUUUUCGAUGAUAGAGAUUCCGAAUUGAAGAUCCAUACCAUUAAACAUGAUCUAGAGCAUUUGAAGUAUCUAGAAACCGAAUUUUAUAAUUUUUUGAAUUUAUAAUAAAGUCUAUCAAGCGGCUAUAAAUUAACGGUCAAAAUUGAACGAUCUCCUAAAAACAGGGAUAGGGUUCUUAAAUUCAAGAUCAGAGUUAUUGAUCUUGAUUUAUAUAGUGAAUAGAAUUUUCUAUCAAAAAUUCAACCAAUUUCGAUUCUUCUACACCGUUAACUAGGAAACGUCCCAUACUGACCGUUAAAAAUGUGAAUUUUACAUUUUUAAGGCCCUUUGAUCGUAAGGUAUAUAAUGUCAAAAAAUUAUAAAAUUCAAUUUCUAAAAUGUUUAAAUGCACUAAAUUAUAUUUAACGAUAUGGAUCGUCGAUUCAGAAGCUUCAACAUCGAAAAUGAUUUAUGAGUACGAAGGCGAUCGUACACAUAAUAGUAUAGUUGCCGCACUCAUAUAUAUAUAUAUAUAUAUAUAUAUAUAUAUAUAUAUAUAUAUGAGAGAGAGAGAGAGAGAGAGAGAGAGAGUGGGUGAGUGGUCCGUGAGAACUAGACUUUCUUGUGGACCACGUAUUUCCGAGCGGCUUGUGAGCGGCGAUUUUUUAGAGAAAGUUUUCGUUUUUCGCUGACUAUGGGCAGAGAACGAAAACUUUACUUUUUCAGAGAAUCCAAUAAAUUUUUUUACGAGCAAUCAAACAAUGAAAGAUCACUUUUCAGACAUUUUUUUUUUUUUUUUCAGAAUAGUUUUAUGGGAACCAAAUACCCCCUAAACUUCAACAUCAAAUAAAGCUGUCAUAUCUCAUAUGGCGGCCAUUUAUCAAAGUUUGCAAAGCAAAACAAAAGCACCAGCUUUCACUCUUUUCUCACGGAAAAAGACAAAGGUUUGCCAACUAAAUUCCUUGAUUCAUUGAAUUUGUUUAUCACUUUAUCCCCCUUACUUAACAUAUAUAAAUAUAUAUAUAAUAUUAAUUCAAGCGCUAGAAUUAAUUAAAGAGUUGAUUCAAGGGUUAAAAGUGAAAGCACAACAUGAGUUAUGCUUCUCCAAGCACCAUAUUCAUCUCUCCUCUCUCUCUCUCUCUCUCUCUAUAUAUAUAUAUAAUAUUUCCAAUGUUAAAGAUAAUUAAUAUUUUGUUUAGCAGAAAUGAAAUGAAGGUAAAAGAAUAACAACAAAUCAAUCGACAUUUCUAGAUUAACGAAAGCAAUAGCGCGUUACUUGAACUUUUAACUGACAAUUUUUCACUUUAGAUUAUUCUACAUUAUAUGGUCCUAGUUUUGCCACGUACAUUUAACCCAACCUAACUUUUACGCCCUAGAGAGAAAAAAAAUUCGUAAGUGUCCUUGGUUAACUGCAUGAAUUCCGCUAGAUUUAACUAUAAGUUCUACUUAACCUUGUUGUAUGUCUUUUUUCUUUUCUUUUUUUGAGAAUUCUUGUUGUAUGUCUUAAAAGUACAUCAAUUAAUUACAAUGAUCUAAUUUGAAGUUUUUGUAUUAGCGUGUGAUUUCGAGAUUGCACAUUUGUUUGUUUUGCACUGAUCACUUCUUUGUGCUCAUGCGACCGUGUGAUUGCACGUAAUAAAGCAAAGGUGAAACAGGUAUAACCUAAUAAUAGAAUUACCGACCGUCCCUAGAGUAAGUGGCAAAGGGCUUAAUGGUUGGUACUCGAGGUCCCAAGUUCGAAUCCUAGUUGAUUCAUAUUUCCAGCUAAGUUUAUUUCUAAAUGAAAUAAAUGAAGCGGGUAACGUGCUACCAAUCUCUCUCAAAAAAAAAAUAAUAGAAUUGAAUAUAGAGGCACAAAAGCAUAUUUAGGACUUACUGAUGAGAGGUGAAAUAAUAUUAAUCUAAAAAUUAAAAAGUGAUUAUAAAUAUCAUUCACUUAUUUAUUUAUUAUUUAAUAUUACAGCCAAACUCAACAUACUAACCUUACAUUAACAAACAUGGGGAGCUAUAUAUAUAUAUANUACUACCAUAAGGAAUGAAUAGCAGGAUAUAUGUAUGGGUGUAUGUUAACACUAUGUGUAUAUAUAUAUAUAUAUAUAUAUAUAUAUAUAUAUAUAUAUAUAUAUAUAUAUAUAUAUAUAUAUAUGCAAGAGAUCGUGCAACCUCUCUUAGUUACACCUCCACACGUGUUUUAUUAAUUACUGCACGCGAAGCCACCAUUAGCUUAAAAACCCAAAAGAGCAAACCGGCCCACACACAACUACAGCUUCACUAUCAGUUAAGCAACCAACAUGCACCAUGUUAAACCCCCUGGAAAUUAGAAAACCCUAGCACUCUCUCCCUCCUCCCCUCCCACCACCGACCACAAGAACUUGUUAUCGCCGUUCCGCGCGGAGCAAUUCGCCCUUAUCUCUCCCUCCCCACCCGUCAACACGCUCAGCUGCCCCAUCUUCACGAUCGAGAACACGAACUUCUCGAAAAAGAGCGGCUGGCUCACCGCGAACCUCGUCACGGUGCUCUUCGUCCGCUGGUCGGUGAACAAGUCCUGGUCGGACGUGAACAGCCCCUUACGGUUGAGCAGAUCAACGUAGUACUUGUUGUCGAACUUGUUCGGCGUGCAGAUGUCGUUGACGGUGGUGUUGACGGUGUUGGACGCGGGGCAGGUGAGUUUGAGGUUCUUGGCGAAGGUUUUGUCCAUGACGGGGUCUUGGGUGGGGUAGAGGCGGUUGGUGAAGGACGUGCAGUGCGCGAGGCCGAUGGUGUGGCCGCCGGAGAGGGAGACGAGGUCGGUGGCGUCGAGGUUGAUCUUCGAGAACACCGAAAGCAGCUUCGUCACGUUCGACGUCGGCGCCGGGAGGCUGGCCAGCGUCACGUCGCGCGUCGCGAACGUCAGGCCGUCGCGCCGGCCCAGCGGCAACUUGUACUUGGGCCCGCCGGACUGUCAUUGGAUUAAAGAAAGCGUAAAUAUUUAGCGAGCUAAACUAGAAGAACAUCAAAAAUUAAGCUACAUUAAUUAUCGUACAAUUCUAUAAAUAACAUUCCUUGGUCCUUACAUUACAGAAAUUUGUAUAAUAAGCAUCUUAGGCUAUAAACAAUUAUUUUUUCUAGACCGUGUCCGUGUGCAAGCACCAUAUCACUCUGUCGGCAAUUUAUAAAAUAUAAUAAUAAUAAUGAUAUUCAUGGGAGUUGACGCAACGCAACUUGACUAUCACUUUAAUACUUAAUUUGAGGAAUUCGGUCAAAAUAUAUGUUUUUCCUCUCUAGUGGGUUCACAUAAAUAAAUCUCGGUUUAGUUGGAGAAAAUCUUUGUCUUAAAAAGAAACAGAAGAAUUAAUAGUACGCUUUUGGGCCUCAAAUUAAAACUCUCCUAAUUUUUCUCCUCGUAGUAAAGACUUUUCUUGCUUUACCAAAUAUAAAACUUGAUCAGAAUAAAUAGUCUAAACAACUAUUUAAUUACUAGAAUAUAUAUCUCAUGUAAAUUUAUUAUCCAAGAAUUAAAGUUAAGUUUUAUAUCAGGAAUUUAAGUGUUAUUUUCCCUAUAUUUGGUCAGGAAUAAGUGAUUUUUUUUUUCUCUAUAUAUGAAAUUUCAAGUGAGGAUAACUAAUCCUUUUUGUAUGUCUUGUACGAUAACAAAAAUACUUACCACUAUCCUCACUUUAUUCUUUCCGACCAAAAUGAGAGAUAAAAUUAACAAACGGUUACUUACCAAGAAGACAGAGUCUCUAGCCGCAAGCGCAACGACAUCGGCGCAAGAGACGACCUGUCCGCACGCCUUGUCGAGGAGCGCUCGGAGGUCGUUGAUGGCCUUGAAAGCCGCCGGCCGGAGCGUUAGGUUUGGCGGCGCCUGCUGCUCGCCUGGUCCGCUCGCCGAGCCAUCCAACAAUAUAGACCCAUCACACCCCUGCACAUAUCAACUUACCGGGUUAACAUGAAAAAUUAUUUUUUUUAAGAGAGAGAGAAGGAAAAAGAUAGCAAAUUAUUUAUCCUUUUAUUUAUUUUAUAAAUAAAUUUAGCCCGACUUCAUGUACAACCCAUAAAAGCCCAGAUAAGUUAUUUUUGUAAUUAGAAUAUAUAUAUAUAUAUAUACCAACCACUCACUCAAUUCUAGAGGGGCUAUAUCAUUCUAACCGCAUAUUUCUUAAUCCAAUGGCUAAAAAUCUACAAGCACAAAUAACUUAGUACUUUUAAAAGUAUAGGAGCUCAAUUAUAUAUAUAUAUAUAUAUAUAUAUAUAUAUAUAUAUAUAUGUACGUAGGUACGUAGUAGGGUAUUUCAUGGGUAAAAAUGUACUAAGAUCGCCACAACCUAAUUACUAUUUUGACGUAAAGCACUGAAUGACUGAAUCAUCAUUUUUAAAAAAAAUUUUUGAUACUUCUUCAACUUUUACAUAUUUUGGUUUAAGCUGCUUCGGUCACUUAACUUGUGAAUUCCCUUAAAUUUAGCUGUAUAAAUUUUAAUAACUAAAAUUUAUAGUUUUUUCUAGAGUACGUACUUCAGCUAAAACGCAGAUGAUAGAGCCAUUAAAUUUGAUAAAAGUUGCGCAUAUACACUUUUACUUAUUUUUGCUCACCUGAACGAAGCAGUCGUGGAAGUGGAGGCGGAGGAGGCCAGCGGCGAGGCCGAUGUCGUUCUUGAACGACUUCUUGAGGAAGCCCAGCACAAUGGACUCCAAGUUGGGGCAUUUGGACUUGUAGAAGCUGAAGGAGAGGCCAUUCACUAUGGGAGGAUAAACAAACUCAUCAGCCCUAGUUGGAGAGCAGAGAGAGGGGAUACAAAUGGCUAAUAGGAGGAGGAGAGACAUGGUAGAAAGAGAGGAAGAAGCAGAAGCAGAAGCCAUUUUUUGGUAUCUUUGAAGGGAUGAUCAAAAUUAAUUAGUGGACAUGUGGAGGGGUGAUGAGAAAACUAUGUGAGAUAUUGGUGAAUUUAUAGGCAUUGAUUAAGAUAGUGUUUUGUUCAAGAAUAAUGGGGAAUAAGUUCUUAUUCUCCUCGUUGUUCUCAAACGUUGCAUUUGGUAUUCAAGAACAGUAAUUUUCAGAUUUCGGAAAUAAGCCGGUAUAAGGUUGGAACUGCCGCAACUGUCGUUCCACCUUUUUCCUAAAACAAAUUUGUUUCCAGGUAAAAAUAAAAUUAAUUAAAGUUUAAAAAUUAUUUUAAUUAUGAUAUUAAAUAAUUAAUUAAUUUAAUUAAUAUAUUUAAAUUAUUAUUUAUUGUUUAAAUAAUAAAAUAAUUUAUUAAUUUAAUAUUUAUAAAUAAUAAUUAAAUUAUUAUUAUUUAUAAUUAUUAACAAUUACUUAACUUAUUUAUUUAUUAAUGUAUAAUUAAUUAAUUAAUAAUUAAUUAAUAAAUUUAUAAUUAACUAAUUUAUUAUUAAUUUAUUCUUAAUUUAUUUAUUUAUUGUUAAUUAUUUAUUUCAUUUACUAUUAAUUAAUUAUAAUUAAUUAUUUAAUUUAAUUUUUUAUUAAUUAAUAAUUUAUUAUUAUUAUUAUUUAUUAUUAAUUAAUAAUGUAUAAUUUAUAAUUAUUAACUAUUUAAUUUAUUAUUAUUAUUUAAUUUGUAAAAUAUUAAUAUUAAUUUAUUACUUUUAAGUAAUAUUUUGUUGUUAAUUAAUUAGAUAAAAUAAUUUUAAUUUAAAAUUAUAAUUCUUAUUUCUUUUUUUCUAAUCUAAUCAUUCAAAUACUAUUUAACUUACUUUCAGGAACAACUCAAUUUUAAUCCAAACUCAAAAUUAGUCUAAUUUUUAUUUAUACCUGAAUCUAUCUCUGAAAUAAGUAGUUUUUACUUAUAUCCGAACUAAACGCAGUCUAAGAGCAAGGAUUGUGGACUGCGCAUGGCUGCGACGCUGUCAAAGCUUGAAGCUUUGAAUACGGAAAGAUGCAUGCAUGUUUCCACCAUUUAUUUAUUUAUUUGUGGGUACAUUUUAUGCACAUGAGUUCUCCCUUUAUAGUGCCAAAUAUUUUAAUUUUUAGAGUUAAACUCUACUUAUAUUUAUUAAUUUAAAAAAAGAUGAAGAAGUUUUAAUGUGUUGGACAUACAACCAUAUGCGUGUGCUGAUUAAAUGUAUAUCUAUAUAUUGGUAUUGAUGUAUCAAUUUCUAUUGCAUUAACGAAUUUUUUUAAUUAACAAAAUUAGUUGGUUGAAUUAGCCACUACAUAUUAAAGAUGUAUUAUUUUCCAAUUUGGGAGAAAAAUAAUGCGAUCUAUGUUUUGUUCUUUUUAUUUUGGGUUUCAAUAGAAUUUUAUUUUUCCUUCCCAGUAAUGCUACAGGUCAAGCAAUGGGUACCGCGUGCGUACACACUUGAUAUGAUAGUUUGACGUUUUGGAAUUCGAAAUAAAAAUAUAUUUAAUUAAAAUCGGAUAACACUUACUGAUGAAUUAAAAAAAAAGAAGGUAAGUUAUAAUAAGUAACAAAGUAAAAUUAAACCCAUAAUGUUAACAACUAAACUAAAUUCUAUUAAAUUUAAACAGAGAAUAAAGCUGUCAUAUCUCAUGUGGUGCCAUUUAUCAAAGUUUCCAAAAGCAAAAGAAAAGGAUCUGCUUUUACUCUUUUAUCGUGCAAGGACUCAUAAAGGUCUUCCAGUAUUCUUUGAUUAAUUGAAUUUGUUUGUAACUUUAUCCUCCUUAGUUAACAUAUUAACAUGUACCUACAUAUAUUUCCAAUGAUGAAGAUAAUUAAUGUUUUAUUUAAUCACACAUUGAAGCAGAAAUGAAUUAAAAACAAGCAACAUAUCAAUCUACAUUUCUACUCUUCCGAAAGAAUUUGCACGUUACUUAUGCUUUAACUGACAAUUUUUUACCUUAGAAUAUUCUAUAUAAUGAUAUGUUCCUAGUUUUGCCAUAUAUAUAUUUAUGGAACCUAAACUUUGCACCCUAAAAAGAAAAACAAAACUCAUACAUGCCAUGUAACUACACGAUCCCGCAAAAUUCAACUAUAGGUUCUGUUUAACCUUAUUAUAUGUCUUAAAAAUAAGUUAAUUUAUUAUAAAAGAUCUAAUUUGAAAUUUUUACAAUAGCAUGUGAUUUCGAGAUUACACAUUGCUAUGCUUUGCACUGAUCACUUCUUUGUGCUCAUGCAAUCGGGCGAUUGCAUAUAACAAAGCAGAGACAAAUUAAAGAGACAGAACCUAAUAUUAGAAUUGAAUAUAGAGGCGCAAAAGGCAUUUUGGCUAACUUAACUUGUGCAUGUGUCUAUUGAUUUUCCCGAGGAAAAUGGUAGGUUUGGUUCAAGGAUAAUAUAUUUUGCUGGCAAAAAGUGAUACCAAUGCAGUAACUUUUUAAAUUAUGUGAUCCCUCAGAAUCUUUGGAUAUGCUCCUUUUUUUCUUUUUUUUUUUUUAAGUCUGUGCCAACCUCAGGUUUCUUUUCUAUUCACUAAAACCCUUUUCUUUUUAGAGAGAAUACUCUAAAAUGGCUAACCAAAUGCAUGCUAAUGCACCUUUUUUUAGGUACCUAAUCCUCAUUAGCAAAUAAUUAACUACCUAUGGACCAUAUGCUAACGUAUCUUUACUGAGUCAUGGGUAUUAGGUAUACUAAGAGCUAGUAUGAUAAUGGGAGGGACCAACCAUACGUAAACAAAGUAUAGAGGUGCGGAGUGGACAUAAAAAUUAUAAAAAAAAAACCUAGGGAAACUGUGAUGUGGCUUCUUGAUUCUUGUGGGAAGCACGUGGCUACGUAGAAAACAAUGCAGAGUUCUUUUGAAAAGAACAGCCGCCCAUGUGGGCAUCUUUGAUCGGUCUAAUCUUCUCCUUUCUCCGUGAUCGCAGAAUUUUUGUCUACAAAAGUGGAAAAUAUAUAUGAGGGGAUAUGAAUUAGCAACCACGAGAAUUGGGCCUCCUUGUUUAUUUUAUUUAAUUUCGUCCUAGCUAGCUAAUUAACCCACCGCUCUUCUAGCCCUAUAAGUUGCAGGAAAAGAAAAAAAAAAGAAAAAAAAGACUUUCCCGGGUCGGAUUUGCUGGAGGAUUGCGUACAUGUAUUAAAAGUUUUUGGAAUUUUAUCAAGCAAACAAAAAAAAAAAAUUUCGAGAUCUUCAAAACAAUUUAUAUACUAUUAAUAUGUUCAUUUAUACUAUACUAUAUUAUACUUUAUAGAUUUUUUUUCUCACUUUACAUGUUGUUCGUUUUUUAUUUUCAUCAAACAAUUCAUAUAUAUAUAUAUAUAUAUUCAAAUCCUGCGUUGUAAAUAAUAAAUCUAUAAUUUUAUAGGAAAGUUUUUAAAAAAUACUAAUUAAAUGGCAGAGCAUGUAUUCAACUCAUUUUGAUAUAAGAAAUAACAAAAUACAUAAAAAUAAUAAAAUUAAAAAUUAAAAAUAUCUUGGUAGAAGUUUUCAGUAAGUGUAUUAUGAAGAUUCAUUUUACUUUUGUUAUAUUAUUUAAUCAGUGUCUCUUAAAAGAAUUAUUAGAUUGUGUAUAAAAUAAUAGAUUUGUUAACAACACCACUUUUUAUUUGAAGAAACUUUCAUUGCCUAUUUCAGAGUUUAGAGUAGCAAAUUUCAGGAUAUAUUUAGACAAUGCAUUGGCCCGUUACAAGUUCUAAUCGCGUGGGUUUAGUUAAAGACUUAAAGUCAAAGUCGCUGCGUUUUGUAAAUCGAGAGUGCUCACUUACGUGUUGCUUCUAAAUUCAUUAAAAACAAUGACGUGGUACAGAUUAAGAGCGCAGACCAACGAAUCAAAUGUUAUUGGAGUUCUUUUCAUUACCACUAUUUUAUUUUAUCCACAACCAGAGAAUUUAUAAUAUUCUAAGCCAAAACGACUGGGUGGGGAGAAACUAGUGAUGGAGAUAGAUCAUUUAAUGUAAUAAUAAAUGAAUGUGCAUGAAUUUUCUACACGUUUGAGGUACAGAGAAAAUAGUGAUGGACUUUGAGCUGUAGCAAUUACCGCGUGGACUCAGUCCAUUGCGUUAGUCAUUGAUCGUCUGGUGAUGUACUGCCACCUUUUAAACUGGCAGUAAAAAGACUAAUUUUUAAACUUUUAAAUAGACUGCAACUGAACGAGUUAAAACAAAGGUUAAGUUAGAGAUGAUGCACAUGUCACGCAAGUGGCAUUUGGUCUAAGGAUUUCAUUUUAGAGACAGAUACCUGCUACAAGUAACAAAAAAUAAAGAGUUGGACUGGGCUAUUAUUAAUAGCAAAAUCUCAUUAUUGCUAUCAAUUUUUUAGCCUUUGGAUUAACUCUUUUUAUUAUUUCUAACCAUUGGAUUACAUACUAUAAGCCAGUGGGGACCACUCAACCCUAGGGGGACCAGUCAACUCUAACUAACUAAUAUUAUCCUGACUCUACAAUUUUUCAUCCAAAGAUUAAAAACUUGAUAGCAAAAAGAGCGUUUUAUUAUUAAUAAUUCUAGCCUAAUUAUAUAUAUAUAUAUAUAUAUAUAUAUAUAUAUAUAUAACUAGGCCGGAAUACUAUCAAUAGCACCAAGCUAUUGGUGCUAUUGAUAUUUUAGUCAUUGGAUUAAGAAAUGGAUGAUUAGGAUGAUACGGAGCCCCUAGGGUUGAGUGAGUGGUUGGUUGAAUAGUAUAAUCUAACGGGUAAAAAUAAUCAAAAAGUUAAAUCUAACGGUGGAAAACUCGAUAUCACCAAAUCCUUGGUGCUAUCGAUAGUAUCCCAGCCAGACUAUAUAUAUAUUAUAUAUAUAUAUAUAUAUAUAUAUAUAUAUAUAUACUUUAUAUUAUAUAUAUAUAUAUUAUAUAUAUAUGAAUAUAGUUGAGCUAGAAUACUAUCGGUAGUAAACGAGUCCGUUUUACUACCGAUUUUUUUUGAUGAUAGAACUUCCAAUUGACGAUCGGCUUGUUAAAUAUGAUCUAAACCAUUUAAACUACCUAGAGAAUCAAAUUCACGCAUUUCGAUAUUGUUCUUUUUAUCCAUCAAGUAAACAGGAAAUGAAUGGGCUUAUAUAAUACUCUUUAAAAAAUGAUGAUAUAUAGGAGUCUUGUAAUUAAGAUCAAAGAGUAUAGAUUUUUGUUUUAAAUAGUUUAAAGAAUUUUCUAACAAAAAUUCAAUUGAUUUGGAUAUCAUUACGCCCGUUAAACGAGAAAACGCUCUUAUCGACUAUUAAAAUUACAAAUUUUGAAACAAAUCAUUAGGCAAUGAUGUCGAAAAGAUUUGAAAUUUUGAUUUCUAAACACUUCAAGUGUAUAGAUCAUGUUCAACGGAGCCGAUCGUCAUAUUGGAAGUUUCAUCAUCGAAAACAAAUCGGUAGUAAAACAGCUCGUUUACUACCGAUAGUAUUCUAGCUCAACUCUCUCUCUCUCUCUCUCUCUCUCUAUAUAUAUAUAUAUAUACUCUCUUUUUCCUCUCUCUCUCUCUCUCUCUUCUCUCUCCCUCUCUCCUUUCUAUAUAUAUAAUAUAUUAUAUAUAAGAGAGAGGAGAUGGAGAGAAGAUGAGAGAUAGAGAGAGAGAGAGAGAGAGUUGAGCUGGAAUACUAUCGGUAGCAAACGGGCUCCGUUGCCACAUAUUUGUUUUCGAUGAUGGAGCCACUAAAUCGAUGAUCGGUACCGUUGAAUAUGAUCUAUACGACUUGAAGUAUCUCAAAAUCAAAUUUCAUGUUUUCCGAUUUUGUUCUUUUGUCCAUCAAGUGGGCGUAAAAUGAGCGGCUGGAAAUGAAUAUCCUCUAAAAAAUGAUGAUAAAAAUUUUGUAAUCAAGAUCAUGAGUAGAGAUCUUAUUCUAAAUAGUUUAAAGAAUUUUAUAACUAAAAUUCAAUUGAUUUGGAUAACUUUACACCGUUAAACGAGAACACGUCUCAUAUCUACCAUUAAAAUUAUAAAUUUUGAAACUUUUGAUCAUUAGGUCAAUGAUGUCGAAAUGAUUUGAAAUUUGAUUUUUAGAUAUUUCAAGUGGUAUAAAUCAUGUUCAACAGUACCGAUUGUCAAUUUAAAGGCUCCAUCAUCGAAAACAAAUGGGUGACAAUGGAACUAGUUUGCUAUCGAUAGCAUUCCAGCUCAACUAUAUAUAUAUAUAUAGGAAAGUUACUAUACUUUUAUAAUUAUAAAUCCUUUUAUAUUCAUAAAUUUUCGACCGUGGGAUAAAGUGUUAGAAUAAUAGUUAUUCCUGAUUAGCAUGAUAGUGAUCUUUUAGGAUUGAGUGGGUGGUUGGUUGAAUAGUAUGAUUUAACGGAUGAAAAUGGUGAAAAGGGUAAAUCUAAGGGCUUGUUUGGUUCAAGAGUGGAAUUGGAAUGGAUAAUGGAAUGUGAAUAAAUUGGAAUGGCAAUUUGAUUGCCUUACUCCCCCAAGACGUUUGGUUUAUUUCUGGAUUGAAAAUCGGAAUGAAUUAUUCCUAUUUUACUGUUUGGUUUAUACAAAGUAAAAAAAUAAUAGAAUAACAUAAUACUAAUUUUACUUUUAAAUAUAAUUUUAUAAAACUAUUUAAAAUUGAUAAAAAAAAAUUAAUACUAUUCUCAAGUUAGAGCUACGCCAAAAAAAAGGAAUUUAUUUUAAAAAUUUUUAUGCAAAAAAUUACAAAAAUAUGCAUAAAUUGUUUGAAUAAAAUUGUAAUAAAAAUUGAUAUAUCACAUUUUUUAAAUGAUGACAAAAGAGGAAAAAGAUUGGUAUACGGAGAGAAAAAAUGGAUAAGAUGGAGAAGCGUUGGGCUGGGUCUAUGGAUGAGGAGAGUGUGGGCUUGGGAUUGAAACUUCAAUCUGAGCUUGGAGACCAGAAUCAAUUUGUAAGCUAAUGGACCAAUCCUAUUCCGAUCCGGAAUGGAAGUUCCAAACCGAUUCCUGUGAACCAAACAAAAUUAACAGGAUUUGGUCAAACCGAUUCCCAUUCCGGAUCCAAAAUGUAUGAACCAAACAUGCCCUAAUAGUUGAAAAUGUACGAAUAUAAAGAGAUUUAUACUUAUAAGAAUAUAUAUAUAUAUAUAUAUAUAUAUAUAUAUAUAUAAAAUUGAGCUUCUAUGCUUUUAAAAGUUCCAAAGCAUUAGUGCUUGCAAAUUUUUAGCCUUUGGAUAUAUCUAUAUAUAUAUGCUAUGGAUAUAUCUAUAUAGAGCUAGGCUGGUAUACUAUCAGUAGCACGGAAGCCUCCGUGCUACCAAGUUGUUUUCAAUGAUGCGGCUUUCAAAUCGACGAUCGGCUCCGUUAGACUUCAUUUACACUAUUGAAAGUAUUUGAAAAAUAAAUUUCAUAAUUUUUCGAUAUCAUUUACCCAUCAAACUAGUAGUCUAAAAAUGAACGGCUGAAAAUAAAAAUCUCAAAAAAAAUGAUGAUAGAAGACUUGAAUUUAAGAUCAGAGGUACUGUUCUUACUUUGAAUAGUAAAAAAAAUUUCUAUAAAAAUUUCAUCUGAUUUGGAUUGUUUUACACCGUUAAAUUUACAAAUGCAUCACAUCUACCAUUAAAAUUGUCAAUUCUGAGGCCUUUUGAUCACUAGCCAAAUGAUGUCGAAAAAUUCUGAAAUAUAGUUUCCAAAUACUUUCAAUAGUAUAGAUCAAGUCUAACGGAGCCGAUCGUCGAUUUGAAAGUCGCAUCAUUGAAAACAACUUGGUAGCACGGAAGCCUUCGUGCUACCGAUAGUAUAGUAGCCGGACUCUAUAUAUAUAUAUAUAGAGUUGAGCUAGAAUACUCUCGAUAGUAAACAGAGCAUUUUACUAUCGAGUUGUUUUCGAUGAGAGAGCUUCCAAAUUGACGAUCGGCUCUGUUAAAUAUGAUCUAAACUAUUUAAACUAUCUAGAAAUCAAAUUUCACGCACUUUCGAUAUUGUUCUUUUAUUCAUCUAGUGAACAAAAAAUGAAUGGUUGAAAAUGAAUAUUCUUUCAAAAAUGACGAUAGGAGUCUUGUAAUCAAGAUCAAGAGUAUAGAUCUUGUUUUAAAUAGUUUAAAGAAUUUUCUAACAAAAAUUCAAUUGAUUUGGAUAUCUUUACACCGUUAAACGAGAAAACGUCUCUUAUCCACCAUUAAAAUUACAAAUUUUGAAACCCUUUGAUCAUUAGGCAAAUGAUGUCGAAAAGAUUUGAAAUUUGAUUUCUAAACACUUUAAGUGGUAUAGAUCAUGUUCAACGGAGCCGAUCGUCAAUUUGGAAGCUCUAUCAUCGAAAAACAAUCGAUAGUUAAAUACCCCGUUUGAUAUCAGAGAGUAUUCUAGCUCAACUCAUAUAUAUUAUAAUAAUAUAUAUAUAUAUAGAUUAUAGAGUGAGGCUACCAUAACUAUCGGAACACAGCCUUUCGUGCUUCCACUCGUUUUCGAUGUUGCGAACUUUCAAUCGUACGACCCGGCUCCGUUAUAAAAAAAAAAAAAAAAAAAAUUGAUUCUUAGAGUAUUGUAUAACCUAGAAAUAAUUUUAUGAGAUUUUACGAUUUCAUUGCCUAGGACGAAGGAGCUCAAAAUUAACGCGUAAAAAUAAAAAUCUUACAAAAUGUAAUAAUAUGACAUUAAAAUUUUAAAUCAAAGAUAUUGAUCUUGUUUUAUAUAGUAUAAAGAAUUUUCUAUCAAAAUUUCACGUGAUUUGGAUAUUUCUACACCGUUAAACUUGCAAACGGCUCACUACGGCCAUUGAAAUUUGUUGAUUUUGAGCCCAUUCGAUCACUAGGCAAAUAAUAUCGAAAAAUAAUAAAAUUUAUUUUCUAGGUACUCCAAAUACUCUAGAUCAAAUUUAACGGAGCCGAUCGACGAUUCGAAAGUCGCAACAUUAAAAACGAGCUGGAAGCACGAAAAGCUCCGUGCUUCCGAUAGCAUAGUAGCCUCACUCUAUAUAUAUAUAUAUAUAUAUAUAUAUAUAAACAAAGAAAGUGCUGCCCACGCGCUCUCUAUAGGGAUGGCAUAUCUUACACCUUUGAAAUUUAAAGGCUUUACAAAUUUCUAAAAAGCUUUUAGUAAAUGAGACAAAUAAAAUCAUCCUAACCAUGAAGAGAGUAGAGGGUAAGAUUUACACCUAUAGCAUUCGUGCAUAGGUAGCAUUGCUCAAAACAUAUUACAAAACUCAUCAUAAAAUUGCAGUAUGCGACACGGAUACAAAUCGCCAGAAUAUGAUACAGGGUUUGAGUCAAAAUCAUCAGUAUAUGCUACAGGGUCUGUGUCAACAAUAGUGGCGUUAAGCUAACAAGAAUCAAAUUCAAUGGCACAUGAGAAUUUAAUAGAAGGAAAUGCUGUAUAAGAGCUUCCGCUUGUGUUGCUUCUCAAAUGCUGCAACUAUGUCGUCAAUAGCAUCCUCCCAGCAAUCCACUGCUUCGAGCUGCAGUAGAAAAGUGAAUUUAGUGAAUCAGAUACAGCAUAUAUAUACUGAUAAAUCAUCUGCUAUGGUUUUUUUUUUCUUCAGUUCUCUAUCAUAAAUUUUUCAACAGCUAUUCAUUUGGAGCCAGCAACAGAAAUCGUAUGCCUCCAUAUAGUGACGAUGUUAUGAUUGCCGUGGACUGGACCCAGGCACAUGCCCUAUCCAGAUCCACAGCUAAUUUCCUUGUUACAUUAGGAUAUUUCUUUCCUUGUUAGAAGUUUCAUAAACUAUGUCGACAUAGAGUGAUACACAGAUAGCAGUGGAGAAAGAAACUAAGAUGAGAGACAUAAUAGACUUGUGUUUUAACACAUCCAACAAUUUCUCAAUGUCAUACCAUUGUGGAGGAUGGUAUAGUUUCAAAAUUCUACUAAAAGAAAUCAUUCUAAUCGUAGGGGUGACUAAUAAUGUGGUGUAACCUGUAGCACUAUUAGUUACCGGACAAAAUCCAAAUUCCGGAUUAUCUCAUCUCAGAGUUCUGAUUAUUCUCACAAGUUGUAGUGGAACGUUCAAGUAAGAAUGCCCUCAGCCACGAGGAUUCAAAGAUUUAAGGCAUGGUAGUUAUUUAGGAGAAAUCUCAUAUUUCAAUUUACUAUCAAGGAUAGACAUUGACGGUAGCAUAUAUAUUAACAAGUUGAAGAAAGAGGAAAAAAAUAAAGGAUGGAGAAUAGUAACAGAGACAAACAAAAAUAUACCUCCUGGCAUAAGUCCAAAGCAAGCUUAGCUCCGACAGCAGCUUCUUCAUGGUUAUCUUUGACAUCCAAAUUAAUUAUCAACACACUUUUCAUCAAUGUUUGCUCACGGUUAUUUAGAUCUGCACAAAAUUAGCAUGGGAUUCGCAACAAAGCUCUUCCGCUAUGCAACUAGUAGAGGGCAAAAUAAAGAGGAAAGAAAAUGCAAAUUCACAUCAAAGUAUUCCGUAAGUCUAUGAAGUUUGCACAUUAUAUAAAAGAUAAAUAAGAGAAGGGCAAAGUUUUAGAGAACUUCCUUCAUGGGACCAUACAACCAAUGUACUGUGGAAAUAUUUUGGCUUUAAUAGCAUGAGUAACUUGGUAAUUAAUAACAGAGUCAGCAUCCAAAGCACAUCCCGAAGGUCAAAAUAUUCAGAAUCAACAAUGCCUACACGACAGUUGCAACUAAUGAAACCAUAUUCAAGCCAUGAACUUAUGGCCAGAUAGGCUGAAGCUCGAAAGCUUACUGGUAUGCAGUUAAUAGUGGACAUUUCAAAGAGACAGAGGUGUCCAAAACAUACGGUAGUGUUUGGAUACCGGAUUAUAGAAAUCUUACAAAAUAUUCUUCGUGAGAUUUUAUCAUAAUUCACACAUGCAGCUAGCUAGCUUGUUCAAAUACAAAGAAAACUGGAUACAGGCGGAAUGAUUAGUGUGGGUUAGAGUAAGAUCCUGCACAAAUAGCCCCCAAUCACACAACAAGAACAAGAUGAAAGGCCAACUCAGGUUGAUUCUCUAUACAAGUAACUUUAAUUUCGCCUAUGUUAUCAUUGUUUCUUUUUGCUUAAAUCGAUCUCAGUAAACCAAAUGGAUGAGCACUUGUUACUAACUACACUUCAAUAAGCAGAUAAGAAUUCUCACUUGUCUGGAAGAGGGAAAAAAAAAAAUUUAAUCAUUUGCCCACGUCAGAAGUAUUUUCAUUACUCCGAAUGAUUAACAGAGUGGUAAAGAAGAGUGAUUAAACAAUCAGACCAAAAUUUGAAAUCAUGAUACGAACACAAAGCACUCACAUUUAAAACCUCGAAACAGAUAUAGCUUUCGUAAAACCCUAGAACAAACCUUCGAUGACCAUGUCGAAGACCUUCUCCUCGAAGGUGAAGACGACAUCGAAGCACCCAUCGGCCGCAUUCUCCUGCCACCGCUGCGGCGCCGUUUUCACGCUGGAGUUCCUCUUCAGCAUGGGCAAGAUCCCGUUGCGCUUGUACCUAGAAACAUGGUUCCGAAGAUCACAACUAUGGGGGCAAAAAAAACAAAGGAAAGGGAUCGAAAGGGGAAGAUGGGGAGGAAAGGGGUUAUUAGGGCAGGGCAAAGCAUACGCACAGGUCGGGGUCUUUGCGGCGGAGGUCGUCGUACAUGAACUUGUAGGGGGUGCCGAAGUCGUAGACGUUGGGCUCGCGGAGGGAGGGGCCGGGGAGCUUCACGUGGGCGCCCGUCCCGUACGAGCUCACGUCGAGCCCGUGCCGCUUCAGCAGCGAGUGCGCCUCCAUGCUCCGGUUCUGGUUCGACGAGCACACCAUCGCGUGCCGCAGCUUCGUCAUCCUCUUCUCCUUUUCCUGCUCCUCGUCCUCUCUCCUCGUCGUCGUCGUCGUCGUCGUCGUCGUCCCCGCGAUCGCGUUCGAACGAGGUCGAGGGCCGAGUGGUCUAGGAAUGAUGGAGAAGACGCUCUGGGCUUCGUUGGGCUUCUACUUGUUUGUCACCAUGGAGCGGGCCGAGUUGGGCUUCGUUAUCUGAUUUAACGGGUCGGGUAUGUGUUAUUGGUGGGUCGGGUCAAAAUUGCCGCUGUCGUAGGACCCGCCAGCUAAAGUAACGAAGAAGCCAAAGCGGUUGACUCCACAGACGACCGGCGACGUUUCCGUCCAUGGCGCCUUUUUCUUCUUCUCCCCAGUCAACAUUCCGCUUUGUCUCCACUUCUCUCUCACGCAAUCCCCAUCCACCGAACCCUAACACCCCUAUUCCCUUUCUCGCCACCAAUUCGAUCUCCUUAUCCCCUGUACGAUCCGACACCGUCGCCCAUGGAGGCCCCGCUCCAGGCCCUGAUCGCCGCCGCCGUCUCCUUCGUCCUCAUCUCCCUGCUCUUCGCCCUCCUCCUCCUCUUCUUCAGCGCCGAUCGCGACGAGAGCGCCUCCUUCGACCCCUCCNGAUCUCCUUAUCCCCUGUACGAUCCGACACCGUCGCCCAUGGAGGCCCCGCUCCAGGCCCUGAUCGCCGCCGCCGUCUCCUUCGUCCUCAUCUCCUCGCCUUUUCCCCGCCGCAACCCCUCCUUCUUCGCCGAUCGCGACGAGAGCGCCUCCUUCGACCCCUCCCUCGACCGGAUCUCGCUCCCCGAACUCGCCGCCGCCACCGGGGGCUUCUCAUCCGACGCCAUAAUCGGCGACGGGAGCUUCGGGUUCGUCUACAAGGCCGUCCUCCCCUCCGGCACCGCCGUCGCCGUGAAGCGCCUCUCCGCGGACGCCGCCGCCUCCCAGGGCUUCCGCGAGUUCCGCGCCGAGAUGGAAACCCUGGGCCGGAUCCGCCACCCGAACCUCGCCCGCAUCCUCGGCUUCUGCGCCUCGGGCCGCGACCGCCUCCUCAUCUACGAGUUCCUCGAGCGCGGGAGCCUCGACUCGUGGCUCCACUACCCCGACGCCGACGCCGACCCUGGCCGCGCGGCGCCGCUGCCGUGGUCGGCCCGGGCGCGCGCCGUGCGCGGCGUGGCGGCGGGGCUGGCGUUCCUCCACGAGGGGUGCGAGCCCCCGAUCAUCCACCGCGACAUCAAGGCGAGCAACGUGCUCCUCGACGCCGACUUCGGGGCGCGGAUCGCCGACUUCGGGCUGGCGCGCCUCGCGGACGAGUCGCACUCGCACGUGUCGACCCAGGCCGCGGGGACGAUGGGGUACAUGGCGCCCGAGUACAGGGAGGGCGCGGUGAGGGCCACGCCGCGGGGCGACGUCUACAGCUUCGGCAUGCUCGUGUUCGAGGCCGCGACGGGGCGGAGGCCGAGCUGGCCCGUCAGGGAGGACGCGGCGGAGGGGUGGACCGAGGUCAGCAUGGCGCGCUGGGCCCGGACCAGGGUCGAGCAGGGGAGGUGGAAGGACAUCCUCGACCCUCGGAUGGCGAUCCCAGGCGAGAUUUUCGACCAGGAGGACGAGGUGAAGGCCUUCCUGGACCUGGCCUACCGGUGCACGGAGGAGUGCGCCCCGAAGAGGCCGUCCAUGGGGGAGGCGGUCGCCAUCCUCGACCAGAUCAACUCCAAUAAAUUAAAUUAGAUAAUAAUAAUAAUAAUUAUUAGAGGGAGGGAACAAAUUGGUCCCUUGCACCGGCUAUACCACGUCCAUCUGUGGACCUAUAACGGGUCAAGAUAUACGUGGAAUAAUCCCGUAAUUAUUUUUCGGUAUAUUUUUUUAUCACAAUGUCGUAUAUUUUUCGGUAUUUAAUUAUUAUAUUGUAUUACUACUCCAAAGGAGCGGCAAAGAAAAGAAACACCAAUAGUUAUACGGGUUAAUGUUGUGUAACAAAAUUUAAAUCAAAUUCCAACAGGAAACAAGCGGUAAGAGCUCGAAGGAUUGAGGUUUCAAGAAAUUUUGCUUUUUGUAAUUUGUGGUUGUUAUAUAUAUAACUCUUAUGUAAAAUCCAAUUUACGAAUUAUUAUGCCAUAGCCCUUAGAAAAGCCCACUUUGGUUUAAUUCCUGAUUGCAUCAACCGGAAUCAAAUGGGAAAGCCCAAUCCUGCAGCUUCAUGACCAAUGACCCCGUACAAAUCUCUCGCGAUUUAUUUAUAUAUUGUCAAAACAAAAACCAAAAAAAAAUAAAAACACUUUGAUAUGAGCAACCAUGCAAAUUCUUUAACUCAUGCAUAAAUUGUAAAAUGUCCGUAAUUGCUGAAUUAAAGGUGAAUGUAAGUUUGUGAAAUUGGUGGAACUGAUAUCAAGUGUUGACGACACAAGGGUGGAAUGUUCUCUGGGCCUAAACAUGACCUGCUGGGUCGGUUCGUCUUUGGGGCUACAGACCGAAUUUUGGGCUGGACUGUACUAAUUCACAGCUUCAGGCUGGCGCCCAAACCUUGUAAAUAUAUGCCUGUGCCAAGCUCAGACAUAGGACAAUCCGAUCCGAACUUGAUGCAUGCCAUACAGAUUGUCUCUAAUGCAAGUGACAAAAUACUUGAUAAUUGAUACUCAAAAUCUCAAAUUCGAAUCCUAAUUAAUUGACAUUUUCAGCUAAAUUUAUUUCUAAAGAGAAAAAAAGAAAGUGGGUAGCAUGUUAUUUUUCUCUAAAAAAAAAAAAAUUUGAUGCACGCCGUUUAUAUGUAAAACUAUCUUAUGAUCGAGGCUUCACGUUGACUUCUGCUAGAAGUGCUUCUACCAUAAUUCAGGGACACAUUUUUCCUCUCUCUCUCUCUCUCUCUCUCUCUCUCUCUCUCUCUCUCUAUAUAUAUAUAUAUAUAUAUAGAGUUGAGCUAGAAUACUAUCGAUAGCAAACGGGCUCCGUUGCCGUCCAUUUGUUUUCGAUGAUAGAGCCUCUAAAUCGACGAUCGGUACCGUUGAAUAUGAUCUAUACCACUUGAAGUGUUUAGAAAUCAAUUUUUAAAUCUUUUCGACAUCAUUUGCCUAAUGAUCAAAGUGUUUGAAAAAUUGUAAUUUUAAUGGUUGAUAUGAGGCGUUUUUUCGUUUAACGGCGUAAAGAUAUCCAAAUCAAUUAAAUUUUUAUUAGAAAAUUCUUUAAACUAUUUAAAACAAGAUCUAUACUCUUGAUAUUGAUUACAAGACUCCUAUCAUCAUUUUUUAAAGAAUAUUCAUUUUUUAGCCGUUCAUUUUUGUGUCCACUCGAUGGAUAAGAGAACAAUAUCGAAAAUGUAUGAAAUUUGAUUUCUAAACACUUCAAGUGGUAUAGAUCAUGUUCAACAGUGCCGAUCGUCGACUUGUAGGCUCCAUCAUCGAAAACAAAUGGGAGGCAAUGGAGCCCGUUUGCUAUCGAUAAUAUUCUAGCUCAACUAUAUAUAUAUAUAUAUAUAUAUAUAUAUAUAUAUAUAUAUAUAUAUAUAUAUAUAUAUAUAUAUAUAUAUAUAUAUAUGUAUAUGUAUGUAUAUGUAUAUGUAUGUAUAUGUAUAUAUAUGUAUAUGUAUAUAUAUAUAUAUGUAUAUACACACACCACGCGCGCGCGCACACACACACAUAUAUAUUUCAGAAUCUAAUUAGUUACUUUCAUGAUCAUAUAUUUAUAUAUAUGUAUACACACACCACACACACACACACACACACACACACACACACACACAUAUAUAAGUAUAGAUGCAACCUAAUUUGCUUAAGAUAUAGACUGAGAAGGAAACAAUGUAUACCAAGAGUUGGUUGUCUCUAAAUCACACCAUCCAAAACUCAAACCUCAUUUUUUCUAUCAUUACCGCGUCAAAGACAGCAGCUAGCAGAAUUGGAGUGAAGCAAUUUGUUCCAAAUUUCAUCACUGUGUAAUUAAGUUUGUGCAAGGGAUCAGCAAUUUCAUAAAGAGUGCCGACAGACUUAGUCAAGCAACAUAUACGUGCCCUGCAACCUGCAUUCUGCCUUAAAGGCAGCAGCUAGCAGAACAGGAGUGAAGAACUCUAUUCCAAAUUUCGUCAUUGUGAAAUUUAGAUUGUGCAAGGGAUAAGCAAUUUCAUAAAGAGUGCUGACAGACUUAGCUGAGGAACAUAUAAGUGCCCUGCAAUUUGCACGGAAAGUCUAAAACCCAUCCUCUUAAGUGUAGGUAAGUAACGGGAAACAAAAGGAUGAGAAAGAAAACAGGGAACAGGAAGGGUUGGUUGCCUAUAAAUUAGACCAUCCAAAACUCCUUUCUCAUUUAUUCUAUCAUCACUGCCUCAAGGGACAACAGCAAGCACAAUUGGAGAUUACACCCACCCUUAAGAUAUAGGCUGAGAAGGAUCCAAUGAAUAGGAAGAGUUGGUUGUCGCUAAAUUAGACCAUCCAAAACUCAUUCCUCAUUUUUUUAAUCACCAAAGCCUCAAAGACAGCAGCCAGAAAAAUCAGAGGGAACAAUGAAUACCAAGAGUUGGUUGCCUGGAAAUUAGAACAGCCAAAACUCAUUACUCAUUUUUCUAGACAUUACUGCAACAAAGACAGCAGCUAGCAUAAUUUGGAAAUUAGAGUUUGGGCCAGGCAUUGCAGCAGAGUUAAGCGUAAGCGGGAAGUAAGAAAAUGUGAACAUAGUCAAAUUUAGAAAUGGAGCAAAAGCUUGAAUAAAAUUCAAAAAUUUUGGUGUAUAUAUAUAUAUAUAUAUAUAUAUAUCCAAAAAAACUAAUCAUCAACCAAUCAAAAUAUUUUCCAUUAAUAUUGUUAAAAAUAAGGAUGAAGUAACUAGUAUUUUCAUCGCUUACGUUCUUUAAUUUCUUACAUUCUUGCUAGGACAUUUGUUGUGUAUAUAUAUAUAUAUAUAUAUAUAUAUAUAUAUAUAUAUUCUCUCAACUUCUUCCUCUUGCUGCAAAUUUUAUGUCGUAUGUGGUAGCACCUGAUUUAAUUAUCAUUUAUUGAGAAAAAUCAAAUUGAUCUUUUUAUGUACGUAGCGCCAUACUCAGUAUUUGCAACUGAUCAAAAAAGUCACUAGAUUAGAAUGUUUGCGGUUAAUAGUAAUUUUAGCAAAAUCCAGAAGAAAACAUCUACCAAGCCCCCAGGAACUACAAGUGUGCAUACAGGGGCAGAAACCUAAGAAGGAAUUGGAGUGUUUGGUGGUGGCAGAGGCAGGAGAAAUGCAGUAGUGCAUCCUUUUAUGAUGCCAUCAUAAUAGAUAGCAACAAAAAAACCUUCUCUCUUAACGUAAGAGAGAAUAUGAAGAAGGGAUAUGCACCCCAGAAGGUCCAUAAAGCCAAAAAGUCACUUCUUUGAAGAGAAAAUGAUUACUUACAAACUAACUUCAGAAACCUGCCAAAUAAAGCAGACACUUGGCCAAAAUAAUGAUAACCUGCAGGGUUUGUGUUAUGGUAAGUACCUUAAACUUGCUUUAGUGGGAAGUUACAUGAAAAUGUUUUUAGAGGCUAAAAUAGGAAUUUCUAUUUUAUCCUCACAUGAAUCAGCAUGUAGCUCUGGGUGAAUACACUAUAGGAGAUGUAAGUUAUUGUGGAUGGUAAUAAGCGUAAAUUAUAUAUGCCUAUGUAGGGUUUAAUAGUUUUGAAGAGCGAGAGUUAAAUAGUUUUGCAAACAGAAAACUCAAAUAUUUGAAUUACCGUCCCUAACGUAAGUGGCAAAGAAUUUAACGGUUGGUAUCCAAAGCCCCAAAUUGAAGUUUAAUUAUUUCACAUUUCCAGUCAAGUUAUUUCUAAAAUAAACAAGAGAAGCAAGUAGUAUGCGAUUUUUCUCUCUCAAAAUAAAAAAUAAAUUAUAGUAGAAAUCUAAAAUAUAUAAACUUCUAAGUCUAAGAAAAUUCGAAACACAUCAACUUAAAUUCUAUAUUUUUAUUUUAUAUAAGAAGCUGGACCGAAAUUUCAUCGGAUUUUCUUAUACAAUAAUGUAUUGAAGCAAUACUUUGCAAAAGCUCAAAUUAGCCAAAAAUAUACACCUGGGACCAUGUGUGAUUAGUAACGUGUGUACUAUAUAGGUGAUGCUUGAAAAGAAAGAAUAUAGUAGAAAGAAAAAGGAAAACACCCUGCCGUAGUUUCAGAAGCCACAAUUCAAGAGAAAUAACGGCCAAAUCAUAGCUUGUGUUGUUGUAUUUGCUAUAUAACAUGACACGUCUCGCUUCGCAAAACUUACUCUACUAAUUAAUUAAACACUCAUCGAAUUAAGCGUCCUUUUACGGUUUUACUACAACUUUAGAACACGGUAAAAGCGGCGAAAAACUGAAACCGUAGAGCAGGUCCUCUCCAUUCCAGUUGAAGCCCUCCAAGCGUCAAAGAUUGUGUUCAUCUCUAUGUGUCAUCCAGGCAUGCAUGAGCCUAAAGUUUCAGUUCCAACAGUAAAAUUUAUAUGAUCUACUGAAACAUUAGCGUAAUUGUAACGAACAACGAAGGGUAUACUGGGUAGAAGAAUAACUUUCGGUGUGGGUCCCGCCGCUUGGCAAAUCUUUGUAACACACAUGUCGUUACGCGUUUUUGUCAGUCACCAAACAACUGCGUUCUCUUACGUAUGAUUAUAUUUUGGGCAUUUCCUUAUCUCUGCGCUACCUUAUUCUCAUUCUCAUUCCCAUUCUCUUCUCUCCCUCUCUCUUGUGGCAUUUUCUUACUCUAGAGACCAUCUCAUGUCUCAGGAAGGAGAUGGAGGAGGAGGGCAAGGUGGAUUCCCAUGGGAAAAUCCACAAUGGGCCUUUUCAAAUUCGGAUAACUCCGGCAGCGGAAGAAAUGAUCCAAAAACUGGUACCCGGCCUGUCGAGUCGACCACAAAUAGCCCGACGAACCAGAAAGAUCCGGGCGAGCGGAAGCGCAACCGUCCGGGGCCGUCGAAGAGCUCCUCCUCCAAAGGAGUUGGCGGUGUAGGGGAUUCGGACCAUGAAUUACAUAUAUGGACCGAGAGGGAAAGGAGGAAGAAGAUGAGGAACAUGUUUUCUAACCUCCAUGCCCUCCUUCCUCAGUUGCCUCCUAAGGUAUAAAUGUCCGAACCAUGCACAUUGGCUUAGUCAAAGGUUUUUAUGUUACUUUUUUCUUUUUUCGCUUCUAGUUAGGAUUUGUUCUUGGACAAGGUCUUGCUCUCGUUCUAGAUCAAUGUUUAUGUACAAUUUUCUCUCUCUCUCUCUCUCUCUCUCUCUCUCUCUCUCUCUCUCUCUAUAUAUAUAUAUAUAUAUACAUAUAUAGAUCGAUUAUGCAUGCAACUUAAAAAGUUGAUUCUUAUUUUGAACUUCUUGGUUAUUUAGUGAGUUGGAAGUGAGUAUCCGUUGGGCUAAUUUUUCAGUGCAUUUAUGGCUGUUUCACUUCCUCAAAAAGACAUAUAUAUAUAUAUAUAUAUAUAUAUAUAUAUAUAUAAUAUAUAAUAUAUAUAUAUAUAGGAUGUGCACUUGCCUGUAAGUAACCUAUUCUUCUCAUAAUUAUUCUCCUCAUAACAGAGAGAGAGACGACCAGGUCCGGUCAAAGUUUCUUUUUUAAAAUUCACUGGGAAUUUAUUGUUAAUUAUAAUGCUUAAUAGGAUCUUCUUAGCAAAAUUUUCAAGGUUAUAUAUCAUUCUUAUUAUGAAUAAACCCCAUUUCUAAUGAUUAAUAUUGAAAAGUUUCACCCUAAAUCAACAAAUUUAUGAUUAUCUGAUUAAGUAGUUUCUUAUUUUAUAUAUAUAUAUAUAUAUAUAUAUAUAUAUAUAUAUAUCCAUGCAUAGGCCGACAAAUCCACCAUUGUAGACGAAGCCGUGAACUACAUCAAGACCCUGCAACAGUCCCUCCAAAAGCUCCGGAAGAAGAAGCUGGACCGGCUCCGCGGAGUAGUUCUGUCGGACCCGUCCUCGUCCUCCAUCGUCGGAUUCAACACCGCCAACAUCGCUGACCCGACGAGGGAGGGGUUCAUGGCCGAGCAGGGAAAGAAGUGGGCGGCGAUGAGCUCUCCCACCGCGCUUUCGAUCCCGCAUUUCCCCUUCUGCUUCCAAACUUGGUCGACGCCCAACGUAGUGUUGAGCGUGGCAGGAGAUGAUGCACACAUAAGCAUCUGCUGCCCCAAGAAGCCGGGGCUUUUCACCGCCGCACUGCAUGUUAUGGAGAAGCAUAAACUCGAGGUGGUGUCGGCGCAGGUCUCCUCGGAUUACUUCAGGAGCAUGUACAUGAUCCAUGCCCGUGUAAGUAUAUAACCAAAGCAAGUAUUCCUUUUUUCAUGUCCUUUUUCCUUCAAAAAAGAAGUUGAUUACUUAUUUUUUCUUAUUGUCCUCCAAAUUUUUCUUUAGAAAACCUGGUGCAAUUAAAGAAGGUAAAAAUGUAUGAAUUUUAUCUAAAUUAAGGUCCGUUUUAGAAUGACUAAUCAACCUUAAAAGGUUUUAAUUUAAGCACAAAAUAUUUUAAUUUAUUUAAUUUGAACAAGUUGAUAACUUUUCUAUUAUAAAAUUUGGAUGCACUAUUCAGUUUAAAGGAAGCUAUAUAUAUGUGAAACACUCUUAUCAAGUGUGUUGGAAAUAAGCAGUGCAUCCAAAAUUUUUUGAUAAAAAUUGCCAUCAAAUAACUUAAAUCAAAUUAAUUAAAAAAAUAAAAUAGUAAAGCUAAAAGCUUUUGAAUAUCAAAUAAUUAAUUCUUUCAAAAUUAGAUCAUUAAUAUUCAGAUAAUUAGAUCAUUAAUAGUAAAAGCUUUUUGAAGGAUAUUCAUUUUCAGCCACUCAUUUUUCUGUUCACUUGAUGGACAAGAGAACAAUAUCGACAAUGUAUGAAAUUUGAUUUUUAGAUAAUUUAAAUAGUUUAGAUUAUGUUUAACUGUGCCGAUCAUCAAUUUGGAGGCUCUAUCAUCGAAAAUAAAUUGAUAGUAAACCGAGUCGUUUACUACCGAUAGUAUUCUAGCAAAACUCCCAUAUAUAUAUUUUUAUCAGCCGAGAAUGCAAAGAGACAACUAUAUACCCCAUUCAUUCUUGCCAUUGGCUAUGGACAUAAUUAAUUGUAGUUUAUCACAAAAGAAAAAACAUCAUUAUGUUGCUAAUAAGAAUGAUUUUUUUUAAUAAGAACAUCGAAAGGUUUGGUUUUCUCAUUGUCCUAAGUUUAGUCAAAUAUUUAUGUUUAGAAUGAUAUGGAGUAUUAAGGUAAUUAAAAGAUGGUUGGUUAUUAAGAUUAUCGAAAUGCUGAUUGUUGCAUAUAUUAUAUACACAAAUUAUUUUAUGUGAUCGAUCGAGAGGCUACUAAUUAAGUUCAUUGAGAGAAAAAUAAAAAAUAGGCUAUUAAAUUAAUACUUGUCUAACAUUUAUUAGCAUAGAGAGAUACAUAAUUUAAUUUAGAGUUCUUUCUUAUUGUUUGGCUAACCUUUAUCCCCACAUUCUUUAGCCCAAAAACGGUUCUAUUUAGAAUGAUAUUUACUACAACAGUUGUUUUAUACAGUGAUACUUACUAUAUGUAAAUAAAAAUUAUCAUGGUAAAAUUAGCUGAUGCUUUAUAAGUAACGAGUCAUUGCUUUUAAAUCUCAUUUUUCUGAAAACCGUUGGUUAUUCUCAUGGGACGUAAACUGUCAAGUACUUGUCAACAGUUCGAAGCAUAUAUUAUUCCUUUUUAUUUAUUCGUACUAAGGAUCAUAUUAUAAUGCUAUUUUUUAUGCUUAUAUAAUUCACUUUAUUAAUCAAUCCUCUCUCUCUUCAUCUUCUUCUUAAUAAUUCUUCUUCUUCUUCUUGUUUGCAAUGAACAGGCAACCCGAGUUUCUGAUCAGUUCCCAGAGACGCUAAUGAUCGAAGAGAUAUAUAAACUAGCGGUAGGCGAGAUGAUCCUUUGGAUUUCUACAUGAUCCAUGAGAAUUAAUGCUAAGGAUGGAAAAAGGAGUUCUCCUUAUUAUGUCAAAGUAUGUUCGGGGCUUUCUCCUGUAUUAUAGGUUGGAAACCCUUAAUAUUCUUAGGACCGUUAAUUUAGUGCUUAAUUUGGUUGGUGUUUGUUAUUCCAAACUUUUAGUAUUUGCAAUUGGUGUAGCAUAUAGAGGGUGCUAGUGGUUACCUUGCAACUUUUAUUAUGUUUCCAUUUGAGCUUAGAAUGUUUAAUAUGUUAGUGUAAUGGAUGAGAUGAGAGAAGACAAAGUAGUUCUUUACAAGAAAUAUAUGUUUUUGUUUUAUCGCAUAUCCUGAAAUGCUCUAUCGUGUGAGGUCCCUUUUAUGUUUCCCAUUUCCAUGUUCAAUAUCUACAUAUUUUCCAAUAAAUUGCUUAACUUAUAUCACAUUUUUAUGUAUCAUACAUAUACAUCUGGAAUUAAUAGAAUUCCGCAUGGAUUUUUUCUUUAAAAAAAAAACUACCAAAGAAAAGCUCCUUUGUCUUGCCAUGAUCGCAUGAUAUCAUAGCUAGUUUUAAGCUCUAGUUUUUAUGAAAUUAAUUAAAUCUCCUGAUGUAAUGGGUUAAUUUUCUUUCUUUUAUUCUCCUGAUUUUCAUCAUGCAGGUGCAUUUUCGUAGCAAAACGAUUUUUUAGAUUACACAUUUAACACAAAAGCUUAAAGGUAGCAUCGAAAUACUACUAGCAGUUUCAUUCUAAUCAAUCAUCUUAUCUGAAGCCAAUUUUCUCAUAACUCAAACCCAAUUAAGGGGAAAAUAUUUAUGUCGCGACGAUCUUAAUUCGUAACUAAGUGUGGUUUAUCACUUGAGAAGCAUUUAAACUUGACAAUAUUAUUGACCCGCUGAUGAAACAGCACAAUUACUUAAUAAUUCAAGCUUCAUUUCAUAUACACCAUCUUGCUUUAACGAUUCCAACAUAUAUACAUUAGUUUGCAUGCAUUUGGAAUAACAAUAAGAACAACUAAACUUAACUACGUAAAGCAAAGUGCAGGAACAAGCAAACGAGUAUAGUAGCUUUCCACAACACAGUCCACGGGAUCCCGUAACUCUCCCUUCCUACUAAACCCCCCGAAGGGCCAGAAGCUAAGCACCACCCACAAGCUACCCAAAAGCUCCCCCAACCCCGCGGUUCGCCUCCCGAGCCCUACGGCGAGCGCCGACAAGUGAAUGAGCACGAGGGCCGCCCCGGGGACGAACAUGGGGGACUCGUCGAACGUGAACCGACUGGGGUCGGUCUCGGCGGCUGCGUCAUCUUGCCGGUCCUUGCGGGUGACCUCGAAGACGUUCUCGGAGAGGCCGAGGGUUUUGAGGAUCACGCUGAGGAGGCCGAAGAGCCACGCGGUGGUCGACGUGAUCCGGAGCAUCCGCUGGUUGUUCCACCAUGCGCGGAAGGAGAGACCGCAUUCCAGGUACUCUGCGAGAGUGUACGCGUUGUACAGUAUGAAGAUGGAUGAAGGGAGAAAGAAGAAGCGAUCCGAAACCUGAAACAAUAUAUAAUAUAUAAUAGUACGUAGCAUACUAGAUAUAUAGGAGCAUCAGGUGCAUGCGCGCAAUUGAAUAGAAUGGGCCUAUUGGGCCUACUUGGGUUCUAGAGUAUGGGCUUUUUAGGCCUUGCUAGCAUGUAUCCCUAGCAUUCAAUUAUCAAUUAAAUUUUUACUUAUAGAAAUUUUCCGUACAAAGUAAUAGGGAGGGGAAAAAAAAAGAAAAGAGAAAGAAAAGGUAUUUUAGGGUCAAACCUUUGGCACGAAAGAGGCGUUUGCGAGGAGGCAGUAAGCAGGGAUCAAAGCAUAGCACAGCUCGAAGAGAGAGCGCAGCGCCCACACGUUGAUGAGCAAAUAAGCUAGGCACUGUCGAACCGUGAGCCGUUUCUUGAACAAGGCCACUAAUGGGCCCUGCCGACCCAAUAGCACCUCGAGAAGGCCCGUGGCCCACCUCUUGUAUUGGGUCAGGCUCGAUGGGCCCCCGACCGGCGCACUGCCCAAGAAUGCGGGCGGAUCCAGUACCAUGUAUUUCGAUUUCAAGCCCAUCGAGUGGAUCCGUAAGCCCGUUUGGAUGUCCUCGGUCAUCGACCCGUAGACCCACCCAAUCUGCAUCAGAACAAAUAAAAAAAAAAAAAAAAUUUAAUAAAAGAACAUAAAAAACUAUUGCAUUGAUUCUACAUUGAUGAUAGAAUGACUUGAUAUAUUUUUAGGUCUUUUAUCAUGACCUUUUUGAUGCACGUGUUGUGAUUUGUCACGUAAAAUUGACUUGUUUGAGGCCUACUUUUUGCAGUAUGAGAUGAUCCAUCAUUACAAUUAAUCUAUUGCUAAUCCAUUAUAAUUUUUGCGGAUCGUAGUACAAUUGUUUAAAAAUUAGAACACGGCUAGUCCAAUAAGCACUUAGUAAAGUAGCGAGAAAAAGAAAAAAACACAUAGAAAGAAGAAGAAAAAGACUCACCUCCUCACCCCAGCUUGUGUUGAGCUCGUACGUGCAAGAAGCAACAUUUUUGGCUGCGUCUAUGCGACUCGAGAUAUCAAAUACUACUACUUUGCUAGUGCCUGAAGUAACCUGAGUUGCUGAAUCAAUUAAUUCCGUGGAAUUUCCGUAUAGCCUCUCAAGUUCUACAUGCGAGAGACGAAAUUGGAGAAAAAUUACAUUACUAUUGAGAGAAUAAGUUUAACAUGCACGAUUCUUAUUAAUUUUAUCAUCGCAUUAUCUGAAGAUAAACCUUUAGUAAUUUGCGAUAUUGAAUGUAAGAGAUUGCAAAAGACAUUUCCAUUUUACUAUUUAUAGAAGAAAAUUAUUUCUCCUGUUGAAAUUUUGAAAGCUUGUUUUUUUUUUUUUUUUGAGAAAAAGGUAGCACGCUGCCUGCUUCAUUCAUUUAGAGAAAUUUUGAAAGCUUGUUGAUAUAACCGUUUUACCAUUUCUAGUGUGCUUGUUCUUCUCUCCGGCAUCCUGAGAAGAACUGUAAAUUAUCUUUCUCCGAUGAAAGCAUCCUGUCCCUCCAUAAAAAGGGCCUUGGAUUCCUGUCAUUCCGACUCCAACUUUCUGAAAUCAAGUGAAAUUAGUUAUAACUUUACCUUAAAAAAAAAAAAGAGACCAGUAUACUUUUCUAUUAGUGAUAUUAUAAUUUGAAUAGAUUCAAUGAAUUUGAUUUUUCAUACAGUAAAAUUAAUCUUGUUAUUUGUUAACAGCAUCAUCCUUUGGAAGCGCAUAUCACUAUUGCCUAUUUGGCCUGGCUCAGAAGAAGCAGUUACAGAACCAUGAUAUAUACUAGUCCAAAAAAAAAAAAAUGAACAGUGGAGUUUCACAAUGAGACUUUUCUCACAGCAAAGGGUGUGACAAUUUGUUUCUCAAUAUUUAAUUUAUGCUCCUGAGAAUGUAGUAUUGGCUAAUUUAAAAACAGGGUGAAAAAGUCAGUAAAAAAAAAAAGAAGAGUAACAUAAACCUUCUGUAGGACAACCAAUUGGUUUCCAAAAGGAUCAUCCUUGAGAGCACCGUAGAAUUGUUGCGGGGUUUGAACAAAUGCGCUAUGAACAUCUUUCUCAAAUCCAAGGAGAAGGCACAUUCCAUGGAGAAUAACUUUGGGAUUGUUUACGAACAUGUCGCAAUCCACGUUUAGCAUGAAGGGCGCAUUUGUCAUCACACCUGAUACCCUUGUCUAAUUCAUUAACAAAAAAGUUAGUUCUGAUGAAUGACUGUUUGGAUGUCAGAUAAAAGUUUUCGUCAAUAUCAAUUUUUUCUUUUAGUGCAAUUACUGCAUCAUUCGGAAUGGUAAAAUGCCCGUUCGAAAGGCGAUAACCCUAAACUAGUUAGAAACAUUGUAAUUUAAUACUUCAAUAUUAUGAUCUUUGUUUUAUCUCUUGAGGGACAUCACACAUUACCAGGACAUUCAUAGCCCCUGCUUUAAAGUGAUGGGGAUGCUUUGGCCUCUUCUCUCUGGACACAUAGAUGAGAUGUGGGAUACUCUCUCCCAAAUCACCUUUGUUCUCCCAUAUAACCUAACAAAACAAGAGCAAGUAACAAAAUUAGAAUAAAAUAAGUACAACUACGGCCCGUAAAUAAGCUCCCUUAGAUCACAUUUUGUCACAUAAGUAUAAUAAAGAUAAUGAAUUUACCUUAAUUAUGGUAGGAUGAUUCUUCCUUCCAGUGUUCAAGAACUCAGCAAACUCAUCAUUCAUGUGAUGGGGAAUGUAACUUUUCUCGGCAUUCUCUAUGCGGCUACUUAGCUCCUCAUACUCAUUCUGAAACAUACAUGUUAAAAGAUUAUAUUAAAAAGAAAUUCAACAUAAAGGAUUUAACAUUAUAACCGAAACUUUACCUUCAUUUUUGCCCAAUCAAUUGCGAAGUCCGAGGCAGAUGCGGAGCUAUAUCUGGGCUCAGAAGAGAAGUACACAAAAGGUGCUCUGACUUCUACAUUGUACUUCUUGCAGAAGGGAACCCACAGUUUUGCAAAUUUUGAAGCCUCGACAAGCGAGUAGAAAGUUAUCGGCGAGCAUCCGUCGUCGGAGACGUAACAAGCUAGUUUCUCAGCCGGGUAGUCUACGGCAAGCAUUGAGAGCACUGUGUUUACUGUAACUAUGGGCGGUUCGAGCUUAGGGUCAGCCGUCGUGACGAACAUAUCGACCGCGGGAAGAUCAUCAAAUCUAAGCAAGAAAUGAGAAGUAAAAAAAGGGAUAAAUUGCUAUCAAAAUUGGCUCCGCGAAGUUACAUUUACUGAAUUGUUCAAGGAAUUAUUUGACACGGUCGCAGCAUAUGUAAGAGUCAUACUCAACUUCCCACAAUGAAAAGAUAUAUGUACGGCGUGUUAGUAACGGAACCUUCUUCAAAAAGGUCUAAAGGAUAAGCUACAUAAGCAGUAUAUUGAUUUUCCUCUCCGACGCUUUACAAAGUUAUAUGCACGAUAUCUAAAAUUGAAAGCUAUUUCAGAAGUCAAGUCUAGCGACUGCUAACACUUUAUUUCAUCGGUUAAAUAUACGACAAUAUGAAUUCGAAGACAUGAAUACCUCUUCGUAAGGCGGUCGGGAUACGUUUUGUACACCGCGGGGGUCCAUUUCGCAUUCAUGAACAAAAACCAUACAAAGGUAAACCAUGACUCGCAGAGGGACGCGACGAGCCAAACGGUGCCGCCGUGGGGCAGCAAGACGAGGCGGCAAAGGAGUAAGCAGAAGAGAAGGAAGAGUAUCACACAUUCUACUAGCCUGUGAAGUGUGUUGUUGUUCUGGGGGACUCUCUCUUGGAGAGGAGGAUGAAGAGUGUUUCUGGCCAUCAAUAGAAAAGAUACAAGGCAAGAUGGUAAGGCCCUUAAUAUUCUAGCCUUAAUUUGACGACAUACAUAUGGGCAACAAAUUUAUGUUGUGAACAUAUAAUACAGAUUGAAUGGUUACGGGCUCAAGUGGAACAUCUUUUUGUAGCCAUACAUUCACGCUCUGGAGUCUUGUGGAGAAGUAUUAAAGAUGGAGAAGGCUUUUCUUUUGGAUCUUUGCCUAGAACGUACAAACAAAACUUCUUUUAAAAGAUCUCACAAGGAGCCGAGAAAGGAUUAGGGGGACAUGCUCUGUAGAACAACAGAGUGGCUCAAUAACUCAUAUUUCAUCUUUUGUCUUAUAAGACAAAUGUACAGAACUUACUUAGAGUUACAGAUUAUUUUUAGUCGACAACUCAAUCUUUGAAAAUUUAAAUUUUACUAUCCAACUUUUUAAUUUGUUUAAUUUUAGUCGGUUGAAGAAACUUCGACCUCAAAAUUUGAAUGGAAUGUUUGUUUUUACAAUUUUAACUAGUUUAGGGUUUAGGGGAACUCUAUUAUCUGGGCCCCGAUACAAGCAGAGCCAAUAGACUCGCAGAUAUCUUAGGAUGUACGGUAGGCAACCUACCAUUUCGCUACUUGGGGUUGCCGCUUCAUAUCAAAUCCCUUCAAAAGGAAGAUUGGGGUCCGAUUGUUAGCCAAAUUGAGGCGCGCAUCAAAGGUUGGAAGGCUAAACUUCUCUCUUAUGGGUGACGGCUAACCUUGGUAAACUCAGUGCUCUCAAAUUUACCUUUAUUCUUUUUUGCAAUCUUUAAAGCCCCACAAUGGGUACUGAAACGCAUUGAAGCAUUGAGAAGAUCCUUCUUUUGGAGAGGGUGCUCCAAAAUUUCAGGGGGUUCAUGUCUUAUUGGCUGGGGGUCGGUCUGCAAAAGUAAGAAAGAAGGGGGAUUGGGGAUUAAAGACAUGGAAGCUAUGAAUUUGGCACUCUUAUCCAAAUGGUGGUGGUGCCUCUUCAAGGAGCCGCAGUUACUUUGGGGAAGGCUGAUUAAAGCAUUAUACUACACCAGACGAAGGCCACUAUAUGAGGGUAGAGCAUUCAGACUUUAUUCACAGUGAUGGAGAAGUGUGAUGAAAUGUCGGGAUGCCUUCAAGUGUGGGGUAUCGUACAGGCUGGGGGACGAAAAAAAUGUGUGGAUGUGGUCAGACAUUUGGAUUGAAGAAACCCCUCUGAGUACCCGGUUUUCAGGAUAUUCUCCAGAAUUGUGAACAACGAGGCCAUGGUAGCGCAAUGUUGGAAUGAUAAAGGGUGGAGAUGGCGUUUCAUCGGAAGGGGUCUCGCAAUUGCUACAGACGGUGCCAGACGUCAACAGUUCGGCUUGCUAAAAAACCUACUUUCCAACUAUUCUCUUACGGACAGUACGGAUAUCGUGGAGUGGCGAUGGACCGACGACCGAAAGUUUACAGUUAAAUCUAUGUAUGAUUUCAUUACCGACACAGGACAAUGAGACCGAAGCUGCGAACAUAUUUGGAAAUUAAAAAUCCCUACCAAAAUAAAAGUCUUCAUCUGGAUCCUACUUCGUAAGAGAUUACUUACGGCCGAUAGAUUGAUCCGCCGAGGGUGCCCGGUGAAUCCGUACUGCAUUUUCUGUGCGGUCGCAUUGGAGGACUGUGACUAUCUUUUUCGGGAUUGUGUCUUCGUCAGAUACCUCCUUCUGUUGGCGGGGAGUUCGAUUACUUGGGAGCCUGACAUAUGUGAUGUCAGGAGCCUGUGGUCGCGGACAGCUAAUUUCCCCAUUGCCCGGUCGAGAAUGAUAAAUCUCACACGUCUGACGGCAAUCUGGUGGGUUCUCUGGACAGAGCGCAACAACAAUAUAUUCCGGGAUAUGACUACGAACGCUGGCCGACUUGUGGAACGGGUCGAUUCAUUGAGGAAAGACUGGACUGAAGCGCUUGACCCGUGAACGCGCAAUCCUCUGAGAUAUCGACUUUAGGAGUAGUAGGAAUAGUCACUUUUUACCUUGCCUUUUUGGGUUACUCUUCGGUACAUUCCAGUCGGUGUGAUUUUUCGUUUUUCUUCUUUUCUGUCCUUUGUUUUGUUUGUUUUCUUUCCUGGUUCCUCGCCCGUUCAGAAGGCCCUAGCUGCCUUCAUUUUGUACGCUAAAUUCAUUUUCCUUAAUGAAUGAAGAAGGUAGCUUGCUACCUUUCUCUCUCUCUCUCAAAAAAAAAAAAAACUAGUUUAUUUCAUAUAAUUCUCGUAACUAUUAGUUUGUUAAGGUGAACGAUUAGCUUAAAUUUUAAAAUCAAAGUAUCGUUAACUGAUUUAAGUCAAAUGAAUUAAAAGUCUAGAUAUUAAAAUAAAAAAUUUGAAAGAUUAUGUAGUUGAUUCAAAAUAAUCCAUAGUUCAGAUAAAUUCUAUGUGUUUUUAUUUAUUUUCAACUAAGGCUAAAUAGUUCUUCAUCAAACUUAAAAAUUAUUAUUUUUUACAAAAAUUAUUUCUCAUCAAAUACGAUAUUACUAGAAACGGUGCAUUCUAAAAGAGUCAGUCAUAGAAUUUCUAUGCCUGCUAUGAUUUGUUGAACGUGUCAUCCUCAUCCUUCCUAGUUGGCUAGUUGUGAUUUGUUUUAUUACUAGUGGAACAGAUUCCGACGGCAAUCACAAGUAGUGUCCUUUUUCCCUUUUUUUUUGGGCCCUCUCUUGUUGAAUGAAAAAUUUAUGGAUGGAUUUUGUUCAUGUGGAAGAAGAAGAUUUCUAGAAGAAUCAAGAGGAUGAAAACGAGAUUUGAGUAGCCUUUGGCCAUAAGGAAUCAUAGAUCAGAGAUCACCAGAAAUAGGGGAUAAGGAGAUUUGGAAUGUCAUCACAGUGAGAUUUUUUUUUUUUUUUUUUAGUGAAAAGAAAUAGUAUGCCACCCGAUUCAUUCAUUAAAAAUGUACAACUUAAGCUCCAUAAUGAGAGAACUAGAGCAUCCAAAGAUAAUAAAAGAUAAGACAGUAAGAGAAACAGAAAAGAGAAAAGUUCAAAAGGCAACGAGCUCCAGAGUAAAUCACAAACAGCAAAAAAUUGUGGCUUGUUAGGUAGCAUUUGUGCUAUGGAUGAAAAUGUAGACUGCUUCUCACUUCUUAAAAAGCACUUCUUUCUUCGCUUUUGAUCCAAAAGUAACAGAACAUCUCUGGCUCAGAUGCCAAUGCUAAUACAGAGGCUAUUUAGCUGUAUUACAAAAAUAUUUAUCAAAAAAAAAAAACAAAAGAGCAUAUCGCGCCAAAAAAAAAAAAGAAAAAGAAAAAGAAAAAGAAAAAAGAUCUAAAUCUUAAAAUUAGAAACUCUGAUAUAAUGCUCUUAAUUCUAUUGCAGAAAAAAGUUAUUUGAAUUAUUUUAUAAUAAUUAUUUUUUGUGAAAUUGAAAAAAAAAAAAAAAGCCUAAAAUAUCUCUGAAUAACUGACUCCACCCACCUACAGCCCAAGCCCUCGGCAGGCCCAAUAUAAGCCUAAGCCCAAACCACAUAACUCAGCCUAACAGGCCGAAUCUACUUGGUCUACGUGUCACUUUCACGUCCGCUUGUGGCCCAAUUCUCGGGAAACGUGGACACGUCGAAUCCACCGUCCGAUAACCAACAUAAUUAAUCCUCUUCGUUCAUUUUGGGCGGAUGAGAUUAACUCUACGUUUUCUCGGACGGUGGAUGGUACGCACUCACGCGUCCGCUUUGGACUGCUAUAUAAACCCCACCCGCUCAAUUACUAGGGUUUUCCUCUAUCGUCGUCCUCUCUCUCUACGAACUCUCGAGCGGCUCUCUCCAUCCUCCUCCUCCGCUCCCCCACGAUCCAUCGCAAUGGUAAGCGAUCUAGGGUUUCUCUUCUCCUUCUUCAUCCCCUCCAAUAUCAUCUCUCUCUAAUUCGAUCUCUUCUUUUUUCCCCCAGAUUAUCCCGAAGAAGAAUCGCCAUGAGAUCUGCAAGUACCUCUUCCAAGGUUUGUCCCCUUCUCCCGACACUUAGUAAACUCUUCUAGGGUUAGGGUUUUGGAUUGCAUGAUAGUAGCUUCCAAUGGCAGAGGGGGUGCUCUACGCGAAGAAGGACUACAACCUGGCGAAGCACCCGCUGGUCGACGUGCCGAACCUCCACGUGAUUAAGCUGAUGCAGAGCUUCAAAUCGAAGGAGUACGUGAGGGAGACCUUCGCGUGGCAACACUAUUACUGGUACCUCACCAACGACGGGAUCGAGCACCUCCGAACCUACCUCAACCUUCCCUCCGAGAUCGUCCCCGCCACUCUUAAAAAGUCCGCGAAGCCGCCCUCUCGGCCCUUCGGAUCUGGCCCUCCCGGCGAUCGCCCUAGGUAUCGUGUUCUGGGAUUAUAUGGAUUGAUUUGUUCUCUUUUAUGAGAUGUUGUUGAGGAAUUUUUGGUUUAUGGGGAAUGUUACUGUGGGUAGGGGUCCACCGCGCUUCGAAGGAGAUAGGCCGAGGUUUGGGGACAGAGAUGGGUACCGCGGAGGUCCUCGAGGGGCUCCUGGUGAUUUUGGCGGUGACAAGAGUGGUGCUCCGCCUGAGUUUCAGCCAUCAUUUAGGGUAAGAUCUCUCCCUUUUACUAGUUGAUUACUGUGUUUAUCACAAGUUGGGCUACGGCAGAAUUGUGCAAUCAGUAAUUCAGUAUAAGUGGUACGACAUUGAUGGUAUUGCAGCAUUUAUGUUAUCAUUAAAAACCCCAUUUUUGUUUUCAUUAAAUAAUUAUGGCUAUUUGGUCUCUUUGUGAUAUGUAUUAAUACACAAGCAUUAGAAUGUAGUUUCCUUUUCUGUAAUUAAUAUUGUUGGAUAAAAAUAAUUAAAUAUCCAAAAACCAAUUCGCAAAAAUCACAUAAAUUUUUACAUACCUCUUGUUCUGCGGAAUGUAUUACGAUUACCAGAAUCAAAUCUCGACUUGUUUUACGAAUUCGUUAAUCCGCCAACGACCUAUCUCAAUUUAUUGCACGAGUGGCUUGAGAGUUGAGAAAGAUCGAAGUGCACGCUAUACAAUGUUGAGCUGUAUGCAUGAUGACUUGAUCAAAGAAUUUGAGAAUUAUAACACUACUAAAAAUAUGUGGGAGCAGCUCAAAGUGAAACAAAUAUAUUGGCUCGAAAUGCUCAUAUACGAAUGCCUAAGCAGUAUAUGUUUCCAUGUGUGUUCUUCUUUGUGAUACAUAUAUUAUUUUUUGAACAAUUUAUUAUAAACAUGAGCAAAAAGGGGGUACUAUCCAUGUUAGGUUCGACUUCCUUUGUCUUCCCUUAUAUUUCUAUACAUUUUGUGUUUACACCUUGUAUAACUUAGGUCAUUAUGAUGCAUUUCAUUUUCUCGACAAUUUCAUCUUAAAAUGUGACCUUGUAAACACCAGUUUUUACGUAUUUGGUAAUAUCUUUCCAUGUUUGAGAUUCAUUGAGAUUUGUUGAAUGUCCUGUUCAGUGUGAGUUAGUAGUGCAAUUUAUGGGCGUGAAGGCCUUUCCCAUUUUACAAUGGAAUCAUAGGCGCAUAAGCAAUGUUGUUUCUUUUGAACUUUGUGAAGUUAACUUUAGCACUUAAUGGCUUGCAUCUGUAGUUAGUUAAGUUUACCUUUGAGUCUUAUAUUAGACCAUGGACACACUACAUCAUCUUUCUGGCCAAUUGGGUCCUAUUUCACCCAAGAGAAAUAUGUUCAAACUUUUCCUUGAGCUUUGAAUGCUAGAAAAUUUUGGACGAAGCAGUAAUGUCCGCUAAGAAUUUGCAUGAAGAAUCCAUUCGAUUGUAAUAUCCUCCAUUGAAUCCUACCCCCCAAACCAACAAAAAAGGGUUGACACUUUGUUAUGUUGGCUUUGCUGACUUUUUCUUUUCUCUGUUAAAUUGUUACAUGUGCAUAAAUUUGUAGACUCUGUUUUUUCCUUUUUCCCUUUAUAUCUCUUACUGUGUGCUUAAUUUAUAUUAUAGGCUUAUAGCCAUAUGUUUUUGCUUCUGAAAUAAGUUGAUUUGAGUUCUCUUUUACUCUGCACCGACCUAUUUAUUCCCUAUGUUACGCAUUCCACAAUUUCACCCUGAGCAUGUAACAAGUAGUACUUGAACCUCCUUUUCUUUCUCUUCUGCCCAACCUUCAUUAAAGUUAUUUUUAAAUUACGCAAUUCUCGUUGGUGAGCAAUGUCUCUUGGAUGGUGACAAUGAUAUUGUUAUGAUUAUAUGGAAGGAAGGUUUGAUACUCUGGAACUUUCGUCGUGUAUGCCUUAUAUUAUAGGUUGACGGGGGGUAUAUUUGUAAUUCUUUCUUUUCUUAAGCCUCUUCGGUAAAGAUAUCCUUCCAUUUUUUAAUUCAUUUCCUAAUGAUUGGCUGUGCUGCAGUUGUAUCUUUACUUGAUAGUAGUAGACUUUUAUUGUUCUACAUAUUAUGAUAUAAGGCAUAACCUUUUUGGGUAAUAAUUCUGAUAGGCUUAUCAUCGUUAAAAUCAUGCAGGGUUCUGGCUCUAGGCCUGGCUUUGGGCGUGGUAGUGGUGGCUUUGGAGCAGGUCCGACAUCCUCAAUGGAGUAAAAUUCAUUUCGCCGCAUAAACUAUCAGAAAUUAUGUAGCAGUCCAAGUUCUUUCUAUAUUUAUUUGGCUUGAUUCUGUUAUCAAGUGCUAGUUAAUUUUGUGACAUGGUGUACGUGUUAAAGACGGCGAGUCAUCUGGCAGAUAGAUCUGAAUAUUUGUUUGCUCUGGCGAGAAAGUACUUUAUUUUAGCCUUUUCACUUCGCAAAUAGUUUUGGUUUUGUGUUGACAAUGUCUGAUUGUGGCUGGUGAUUUUGCCCAACGCAGAGAUGCAAUUUGUAGAAAUUAGGUAUAUUCAUUCUUCACCAUAUAUUGGAUGAGUGUUGAGGUGUGAAACGGUUUUUUGCUUUUAUGAUGUGAAUAAGGCAAAGUGGAUCUGUAGGUUUUGGUGAAGCCACACAGUUUAUGAAAACAUCAAAUCACAGUUAAAUUAAACUGUGAUCCCAUUGAACUGGUUUUCAGAGUAGAUUGAAAACGCGGUAGUGAUGCUCUAGCACAAAUAUAUUUUUUUAAUGCUUGAAUGACCCUGUUUGGUAUUUCUAUACGCAUCACAGUUCGUUCAAAGAGGGGAAAGGAAAAAGAAAAAGAAAAAGAAAAAGAAAAAAGACAACGCUGGUCUGAAAACUUGUAGUUUAUGAAAAGUGGUUCUUCUAUAGAAGAUGGAUAUAGAGUAAUUAAACUGCCCUUCAGGUGCUUUCAAAUUUUAACUUGUACGUUUGACUAACAAUAUGUUUUAAAUAUCAUUUAAAAUUUAAAUUUAAAAAUUAAUUUGAUGGUAAGAUUGCAAGUAGUGAUUGGAGGAAGAGUGCAUAAAUUCUUGUUAUGAUAUUUUCCACCGAGCUGUAUAUAUCGGUGCAGAGAAUAGAAAUCAUAACAGAAGAUGGUGACCGUACGCCUAUCCCGCCAUUUUUUCCCAGCAAACCUACCAGCAAUUCAGUAUGGAAAUCUCAAUUUUCCUGAGACGCGAUGAAACAUGGAUCGUCGUUUUGGGCGGUCCACCGCUGAACUGGUGGACCAGGCCGACGCAACGAAUUCCAGCUGCUCUUAGGUACGGCUGUUUAAUCCCACAUCGGCGCGGCAGGAUACUGUAAGAGGUAAGGAGGCUAUAAAAUGAGGCCUCGGCCCGGUGACAAAACUCAUACCUUUCUCGGCCUUUUGGCUAAGAUCAAGUGUAGUAUCUGUUCUUAUCAGUUUAAUAUCUGAUACGUGGGCCAUGUGCCCACCUCGAUAUUAAAUUAAUUUUUAUGUGGGGGAGGGUCCAUCCACGGUAGCUUGCUAUCGGGGCCCUCGCGUCGCCCUUGCGUUGCACUACUGCUUGGGCCUGGCGCACCCCUACCAAUUCUCAAACUCCAAACUCUUCUCAUUCAAAAUGUUUGCUUUGCUUUUUCCCUCAAUUGGGAUUGGGAUAGUCGUUUUGUAGUAGUAAUUACUGUAAUAAUAUUCAAUACAGCGGCGGAAAUAACUAAAAUUAAGAAGAUACUUUGCACUCGUUACAAACAUUACAUCACUAACAUAAAAUUACGAACUCUGUUCAUGAAUUUGAGACAUAGAAACUGCUCGAGUCAAGGUGCGUGAAUUUUAUGUAUAUAGGAAGGAAGCAAGCGGAGCGGUCAAAUGGUGGUUCAGUCGCACCUCGAUUCCACUUCAAACUGAUCGUGAAAUUGUUCUAGAUGCCUCGAAAUAUUCUGCAUUUCGGAUUAUAAGAAAACUCGCUCUCGUGAUCCUUUACAUAAUAAUCCCUCACAUUACUGCAAAAACAAAGUUCAUUUCCUACUAAAAUAAGCUCUCCUUGGAAGGUCUAUUUUGUACGCCAUGUGCGGUUGGUCUACACGUAAUUAGCUUCGUGCUGUUCCACCGCAACGCGCCAGAUCUGUGGGCCCACGCGGUUUGGGCUCGAAAUGUUGGGUCUACAAAUUUUGCCACGAGGGGUUGGGAAACCAGCUAAGCUUGCAAGUGUGGUGACAGCUUGUUAAAGCCACAAGGCCUCUUUGGCCUACUUCAAAUCAAGGAGUUGUUGGAAAAGUACCGUCCCAGAAAUUUUUGCGAAAUCAAAUGUUAUGUAAUAGUACCAAAAAAAAUACUAAAAUAAGUUUCCGAGCCCAAUAUUAAGGAAUUUCCAAUUUAGAGCUAUGUUAUCUACAGAGAGUUGUGCUUUAAUGGCAUACUAGUGAAAUAAUUCGUCAAUACGACGGAUAAAUAAUUAAAAAAAAUAAAAAAAAUGGAGAUAAAAAAAUAUAUAGUAAUGAAAUAAGCGACGAUAAGAGAUGAGAUUUAUUUUACCAGUGAAAUAAGCUAACAGUCGAAAAAAAGUGAAAGAGGAUUAGCGGAAUAGUUUGCUUUGAUGUAAAGAUGUGAUCCGAUUAAGUUCAAGCAAAAAAAAAAAAUAAAAAAUCUGAUUUGAUUCCAACAAAGAAAAAAAAAAAAUAUGCGGAAAACUUCAGCCGGUUCGAAGGAUCCCAUACUCAACAAUGAUUGGUUUGAUUCAAAUAAAAAAAAAAUCGGUUUGGUUCAGACAAAAAAAAUAAAAAAUAUAUGCACAACUUGAGCCAGUUCGAGAUAGAGCCCACACCCAAUAAUAAAGUGAAUGUUGCGAUACGACAAAUUUGGAAAUAAUAUAAUGUAUAGGUAUGAAUAUAGAUUACAUUUGAAACUUAUUUUCUAGCAGAGUUAACUCUCAAUAUUUUUUUCAUGCAAAUCCAAUUGAAGUUCGAUAGGAAACACACAGAAUAUAAGUAAUAGAAUAUAUAAAUUUAAAAUUUAUAUAAACAAAUCUCUGAAAAAUAUCCCUUCAUUUGAGAACAUACCAUAUGAGAAUUUUCUUAUCAUUUUCUUAAUUUUUAUCUUUUAAAUGUGCAUAUGAGAAAUUUUGUAUUUCAAGACUUGUCAAAUUGUUAUGUACAAAAAGUAAAAUAUAAAAAAAACAAGUUGUAACAUGACUAAUUAAGAUUCGAUGGUAUUUUGUGGUACAAAAUAUAAUUAGGGGGUUGAUGCUGCGAGAAAGCUCCUCACCCACUCCUUAUACGUUCACUUAUUAUUAGAAAUUCCAAUUCCAAUUCCCUGGACAAAGUUUAUAUAUAUAUAUAUAUAUAUAUAUAUAAUUGAGCUAGAAUACUUUUAGAAGCACCAACCCCUUGGUGUUUCUAAGUUUUUAGCCCUCAGAUCUAUUCCUAGAUUACUAAUAACCCUAGGAUCAAACACUAUUCCACCUACCACCACCUACCACCACUUACCACAAUCAUCCUAACCCUACAUCUCUCAAUCCAAAGGCUAAAAACUCAAAAACGCCAACAACUUGGUGCUUUUGGAAGUAUUCUAGCUUAACUAUAUAUAUAUAUAUAUAUAUAUAUAUNGUUUCGAUCCCGGACGCACCCCUCCGCGUCGACGCCUUCCGGGCUGCGCGCUACAAGAUCGCUCCCGGACGAGGCGCGCUCCCUCGGCCCCGUGAGCUACUCGGAUCGAUCCCGGGCAACGAUCUGAGGAUUUAGUUCUCCAACUGUGGCGGUUCCCGCACCUCCGAUCCGUGACGCCGUUCUCGGGAAGAUCUCGAAGGUAAGCAUCUCGGAUCUGCUUGUUCUUGUUGUCGUUUUCGUCAUCCUUGUCGAUUCGUUUGACAUCAAAUUCUUGGUUCUUUGUGGCAAUGGAUUGCUUCUUGUUGUUAACCAAUUUGUGGACUAGUUUAGAUCUCGGAACGUGUGAUUUGGUGCAUUUCGAAUAGUGUGGAUUUUGGAGUUCUAGGGUUUUAGGUAAGAUCCUGUAAAUGUGUGGUUCGGGGAUCUUUUUGCUCAUGUGUGUCAAUGGAGGAUGCAAUUGGAAAUGUAUUUGGUGAUAGUAAGAUGUGGAUGAAGCAGAUUUAGAUGUAGAUUGCGUGAAAUUUAGAUGGCAUUCGAGAUGAUUUUUAUGAGAUAAGAUGAUUUUUAUGAGACUUCCAAAGGACGGGUCUGAGGAAAAUUAAACAGCUUCAAAUGCCAGUUCUGCUUCUGAUAAUUCAUGAUUGAUAAAGCUGAUAAUUACUGAGCCUCGAUAUGUUUUUUACUUCACUACUUAAAUUACAUCAACUUAUUUAAUGCAGAAUUUUAAUAUCUAGAAUUAUGAAAUGGGAGUAGAAACUGCUCUGUUCGUCGAUGAUUACCAGUCCAACCAAUUGAGGUGUAGAGAGCUCCAAGUCCCUGUGCUACAGUGAGAACCUGCUUGGACUUUCUACAUUCAAAUGCUAUUUUGGAGCAAUUUCUGAUUCAUCGAUUUUGUUGUAACUGAACCGCUUUAUAUUUUGGAGCAAUUUCUGAUUUCGUUGCUUCAUUUAUUGAAAGAAAUAUUCUCAUUUAUUUACAAAGAGAAUGCCUUACACAUGUUAAUUUUAAUAUUUUGCGCAGGUGAUUGAUGGCAUCUUCUACAAAUUUUCUUGAAGAUAGAACAGUUUGGUGCAAAUAUAACAAGAUAGCUUUAAUAAGAACUUCACAACAAGAUAGCUUUAUUGUAUUCAUUUUAGUAAUUAUAUGUAUUAAACUUCUAUUCGUCUAAAUGUAAUAUGAUCCACUGUGUUCAUUUGAGGUGUAUGUAGGAUACUUGCCUCACUUCUAAUUUCUGAACCAACUUUAACAAUUUCAUGUGAUCACUCGAUGAUGUGGUGCAGCUUCGUCUCAAUGAAUCCGCUGAUUCAUCUGUGUUUAUAAUGUGUACUUCAAAAUUGUGUAUGCUUACAUUAAACUGCAUCUCUCAAUACUUGGCUGAUCAACUUGUCCGCAAUAAGAUGACCGAUCAGUUAGCUAGUCUACGACAGUUGGCCUGCAUGCCAAUCAGCCUUCAUGAUUUAGCAUUUUCCAAUUUUAGCUUAAUGUUAAUUACAAUUAUAUUACAAUCAAACUCAACCAAGGAAAUGGGCUGCAUCUUUUUUGGGGGCUGAUUUACUAUAUAGAUGAUAAUUUCAGUUAAAGAAGAUUUUAAGGUCGCACUUCUAAGGGAGUAACAAAUGAAGCAUCUCUUCAAGAAAUGUCUAUCAGAGGUGAAUUUGACCCCGCAAGUAGGUAUUGGAUCAAAUUUAUCCAAUUGGGGGACGAAGAACCAGCUUAAGUCUAUCAGAUCUAACCCAACCAUCGAUAGCUUGCAAAAGGUUGUCCAGUUCAUUCCCAAUUUCAAACUUUCACACAUUGAUUCAUUUAUGCUUCCACAAUGUCCGAAGAGGUCGUGUUCAAUGAAGUCUAUGCUAAAAAAUGCUCGGUUAAUAUAUCACAUUUAAAUCCCCCAACAAUAUCUUCAUUCAGCUUCUUGCCAAAGAAAAAGCUUCAGACUUCUCUAUUAACAGCAAAAAGAGAUGAUAUCAUCUAUUUUUAUCAAACAAAAACACUGAACAAGGAAGCAUGAAACAGCAAAAAGAGAUGAUAUAACGAAACAAAGGAGCUAGCAAAGAAUACAGAAGGAAAAGAAAGAUUUUGCAUGAAGAACACAAAAAGUGAAAGUGCUCCCAUACGAGUAGUUUCAGUUUCUUAGUCCACAGACAAGGACUAUCUACAAGCAAAAGUCGAGGAGAUGAGCUUCAAUGAUUCAGAACAAAAAAUAGACCUCGAAAUAACAAAAUGAAAGCAAAGAAAACGGUGAUCUAGAAUUGUUAUACAUAUCCAAAACAAUAAGCACAAUAAUGUUCAGCUCAUAUGUAGUAAAUGUACAUAGAUUCCAUUAACUCUGCUAAAUACCAGGAGACAUUAACUUUCUAUGGUACUUGGCGUUCGCCUGCAUUGUACAAUACACCUGGUAGUGACUUCCCCCAAGCAUUGGCAAGUAUAUUGGGCAUUUUUUGCAUACAAUGCAGGUUUUGGAACUACUCAAAGCUGUGAAAAUAAAUAAAUCAAUGAGACAUUACAUAAAAGUCAGCAGAUAAAAUUAUAAUAAAGAAUUUGACCAUCUUCAAAGAUAAAUUUGUGACAAGAUUCAAUCAAAAGAUACUAGGAUGAGAUCGCUUAAAAAGCAUAAAGAUUAAACAACAACAAUGCACAUUAUUUAGAAUGGAUGCCCAAUGAUCCUAUUUUGAUGAAGAUUUUUUUAAGAAUACCCAGAUCAAUUAUGAGCUUUGUCAGACACAAAACUCUAUUUCAAAGAUACCUAAUCCAAUGCAUAUACCAAUGAUACCCCAGAUCAAUUAUGAGCUGUUAUGAACCAAACACUCUUACUUCAAGCAUUACUAAUCAAAUGCGAAAUACAAUUUUCAUAAGCUUAAAGGAGAUAAAUAUUUACAAAAUCACAGGUGCUGGAGUCAAUUAAUAAAGAAUCAAAUUUUGGUUUGACAGGACAUAUGCAGUAAACACAAAAUCAGAAGUUACUAAUAACCGAGACGUUACCUCGAGAUCUUCCGAGGAACGGCGCGUCUGGGAUCAAAGUGCGGUGAACCGGCCGCAGUUGGAGAACUUAAAUAUUCAGAUCGUUGCCCGGGAUCGAUCCGAGUAGCUCACAGGGCCGAGGGAGCGGGCGCGUCGGGAGCAAUCCUGUAGCGCGCAGGCAGAAGGCGUCGACGCGAAGGGGCGCGCCCGCGAGCAGUCCUGUAGCGCGGGCCGGAAGGCGUCGGCGCGGAGGGGGCGUCCGGAUGAAGGGAAAGAGGAAGAGAGAUGGAAGGAGAAAGUAAAAAAAAAAAAAAAAAAAAAAUUGGAUCUGUCGGGGACCAGGAAGAGAGAGAGAGAGAUGAGAGAGAGAGAGAGGAGAAAAGAAGAGAGAGAGAGGAGGGUGGGUUGAGAGGGAAAAAGAGAGGGGCUUCAGUGUAGAGGAGAGGAGAGAGAGGAACGGCGUUAUUUGGCUGUCGUUAGUUCACCCUAGUGCGCAGGAUCUCAGAGGCGAAGCCGAUCACGGUGAAAAAAUGCCAAGCACAAGAGUCCUGUGCUUUUAAAAGCACAAGGGCUCUACUCGUAGUAUAUAUAUAUAUAAUUAUAUAUACUAUAUAUAUUAUAUAUAUAUAUCAUUUCUAAUAAAUAAAUUGUAAACUUGGUCACAAUGCACGUGGAUUACGAUUCCAUACCUCUAGAUGUAAGGUCCAAAAAUAUAUUGUCCUCUCAAUUUCAAUUAAUGAACAAUAAUAAAGGAAUAUUGUAAUCCAAACCCGGUUCAAAUUAUUUUUUUAGCAAAAAAUUGAACAUAUAUUUAAAGUUUAAACCACUUAAUUAGAUGAAAUCUAUAUUUGAAGUUUCUGUUUUCCUAAAAGUGAAAUCUAUACAAGCCACUUUUUAUUAGAUUGCUUUGUUAUGUUUAUUUGCUUGAAAUUAGAAUUUGGGAUCUAAAAUUUCCAAUGAGGUUGAAAUUUACACAAAAAAAAAAAAAGGAAUUUGUUGUUGUUCUUCAUCUACACCAUUCAAUUCAUGUCUUUUAUUAACCAUCAAUUUUUGUUUUUUUUUUAAAAAAAAUUUAUAUAUAAGCGAAUAUAAUGUUACUUGAAAAAAUAAAAGAUGUUCUUAAGAUUUCACACUUUCUCAUCUAGAAAAUCAAUUCUAGAUCUUGCUUUUGGGCUUUCCAAUAUUGGUAUCUUCUUGCAAUUAGCUUAUUGGAUUCGGGUAUCAAUCCGACCCAUUAACACCCCCUCUUUCUGGAUUAGAGCUGGAUCAUAACUACUAACAUGAAAACAGCUUUAAAAUAAUAUAAUAAUAACUCUAAUUAAUCAUAAAAAAAUUGUUUAUAAAGGCUCUUCCACGCACCUUCACCAGAUAUUCCGGGUACUGCUAUUAUUAUUAUCCGCAUCAUCAAAUAAGACGGUGGAGGAAACGUGACACAGGUGUGGGGAAGCACGAAACUUCCCAUUAUUUCACGCGAAAAAUAAAGCGAAAUUUAAAAAUCUAGGGGCAAAAUGUAUAUACGGGUUUGUGCCUGAACUAUCAUUAUAUUGCAAUUUAGUCUUUGAAAUUUUUUACUUUAAAAAAAUUUUAAUCUCGCCGUUUUACAUUGUGAUUUUAUUUAAACCUAUUAGUGUUUUGUUUGAAAAUAUAGAGCUUGGCUCAUAUGUGUGGAUUCCGAAGUUUGCCAACUGAAAUUCAGCUAAAAAAUUUUACCAUUUCUUUAUUUUUUUUGUUCCUGACGUGCGACAUUGGUGUUAUAGUGAUAUUACAAAAAAAAUUUCUCAUAAAUUUUCAGCUUAUCUACUCUGUUUUUUUUUGUUUACUUAUAAUGGAAUAGGGGUUAUUUUAUAAAAAAAAUUAUACUAAAUGAAAAUGGUGUUGUAAUAUGUAUUUCAAAAGUAAAAGCACACAUUAAUUAAUGUUUAAAGUAAAAAACUGGAGGAGAAAAUUACGGUAUGGUGAUAGCCGAGGGACCACCAUUACACAUACAUUUUUGCCCUCUAAAAACAAAAAAAAGAAGAAGAAGAAGAAGAAGAAGAUAGAAGCACCAGGGGAAAAAUAAAAAUAAAAAAGCCGCAAAUAAAAACCGGAGCUCCGCUUCGCAGAACCAAAGCAAAGCAAAGCAGUUCGAGCGAUCGAGGACGAUGCACGCGAAAACGGACUCGGAGGUGACGAGCGCGGCCCCGUCGUCGCCCGCGCGCUCUCCGCCGCGGCGCGGCGGAGCGGCGGCGGGGACGAUCCCGCCGCCCCCGGCGCCGGCGCCGGCGCGCGCCGUGUACUACGUGCAGAGCCCGUCGCGGGACUCGCACGACGGGGAGAAAACGGCGACGUCGCUCCACUCCACCCCGGCCGCGUCGCCGCCGCACUACGCCCACUCCAGCGUCGGCCGCCACUCCCGCGAGUCCUCCUCCACCAGCCGCUUCUCCGGCUCCCUCAAGCCCCACGGCCCCGCCUCCGCCGCCGCCGCCGCCGCCGGGUCGCGGCGCGUCUCCCCCAACGACGCCUCCGCCGCCGCCGCCGCCGCCGCCGGUGCCGAUCGGUGGAAGGACGGCGGGUUGAUCGAGGAGGAGGGGCUGCUCGACGAGGAGGGGGAGCGGCGGGGGAUCCCGCGGCGCUGCUACGUGCUAGGGUUCGUGACGGCCUUCCUCGUGCUCUUCUUCUUCUUCGCCCUCAUCCUCUGGGGCGCCAGCCACAAUCAGAAGCCCAUCGUCACCAUGACCGUGAGUCUAAUAAUAAUUGCUUGUUUUGUUUCAGAUCCAAACGCAUUGCAUUGCAUCUGAUAAAAAAAACAGAAAAAAAAAAGAUUUCAUAAAUUUUAGUUUUUUUUUUUUGUUUUAACGCAUGGCAGAGCAUAAGGUUUGAGAACUUCAUAAUCCAAGCGGGGACGGACGCGUCGCUGGUUCCGACGGAGCUGUCGACGCUGAACACGACGGUGAAGCUGACGUUCCGCAACACCGGCCGCUUCUUCGGCGUCCACGUCUCCUCCACUCCCCUCGACAUCUACUACUCCCAGAUCAAAAUGGCCUCCGGAUACGUUACGUAAACGCUUUCUUUCCUCUUUUUUUUUUUUUUCUUUUUUCUUUUCCAAUAAAAUCCCGAAUAGCGAUCACGCUCAACGAAUUAACACAAAUUUAAUUUAAUUUACUGUGCUACUAUUGUUGUUAUUGUUGUUGUCGUCCUUGUUGUUUUUUCUUUUUCUUUUUCUGUGAAAAGAAAUAUAAAUAUAAAUAUAAGCAUACAGGUGAAGGGAUUUUACUUAGGCUUAGUUGGGGUUCAUCACGUUAUUAGAUAAAAUAUAAUUAAGAUAUAAAUAUAUAAAAAUAUAUUUUUAUGUUUUUUGAUGAAUCGCAAAAAAUAUAUUGUAAUCAAUUUAUCGCGAUAUACGGAACGUAAUAUUACGUACGAAAAUAAAUAGAAUAUCUUUUUAUCGUAGUUUCUCAUCGUACGUAAUGCAAUUUUUCCGCAAUUUCAAAAUAACUUAAUUUGUUUGAUAGUAUAUAUAUAUAUGUAUAUAUAAAACUUAUUUUCUGCUGCCACCUGACUUGAAUGUAUUACAACUAAAGAGUUGAAAAUAAUACUCAAUCAACAAUUAACUGUAAAAGAAUAUAUAAUUUUGUCUCUGGCACAUAUACUAGUCUAUGAGACUGCUUUGUUGUUUGAUUUGAUGUAUUUAAAUUUAACUUAACUGCUAUUUCGUUUAAUUGGCAGAUGAACGAGUUCUAUCAGUCUCGGAAGAGCCAAAGGAGCGUGAGUGUGGUGGUGCUGGGGAACAAGGUCCCGCUCUACGGCGGCGGCGCAGGGCUCAGCAGCUCGCCAGCAGCGGCGGCGGCUGCAUCGGGGAAGGCGGCUGCCGCCAGCCCGCCUAUUCCGUUGACACUGAGCUUGAGAACGAGGGCGAGGGCGUACGUGUUAGGGGAAUUGGUGAAGCCCAAGUUCUACACCGACGUGCAGUGCUCGGUCCUGCUCGACCAGUCCAAGCUCAACACCCCUGUCUCUCUCAAGAACACCUGCCAAUACAACAGCUAAAAUGCUCUACAGAGAGAGAGAGAGAGAUGGGUGUAGUUUUCAUUUUUUUUGUUUUUGUUUAUUUGUUUGUUUGUUUGUUUGUUAGUGCUCGCCAAAGAGUAAAUUUGUAAGUUGUUUGAAUAUAUAGUUGAUGAGUCCAUUUAUAGUUUCUAAGAAAAAUUUUAACGGCCUUAAAGAGGUGUAGUUUUCAUAUUGGUUCGACAAACAAUAUAUGACAUCUUACAUGUAACAAGCACAGUAAUAAGACAAUUAUCAUAUGUGAAAAAUAUUUAUUUACCAACUAUAUUUUAAAUACGUUAUAUAUCAGCCGCAGUUAUAACUACAGUAGAGGCGGUAAUUGCACAUCCUUAUUUAUUUCGGUAAAAAUAUAUAGAACAUAUAUAAACUAUAGACCAAGUUGAAUUGCCAUAUGAUUUUUUAAAAUUUUGAUUUACAAUAUAAUCUUUUAAAUUAUUUAAUUUGAGUCAAUCAACAGUAUUUUUGAUUUUAAAAUUUAAAUGUAUCAUUUAUUUUUACAAUUAUAAUUAGUAUGCUUCGUAUAAUUCUUGUAACUGUAAUUUUAUUAAAGUAACUAAUUAUUUUAAAAUUUUAAAAUAAAGUAUCGCUAACUAAUUUAAAUUAAAUAUAUUGAAAGAUAAAAUAAUAAAAUUAAAGAUUUUAAAAAAUUAAAUAAAUAAUUUAAAAUUCUGUAUUUUUUUUUUUUAGAAAUAAGUAUCAAGCUAUCUGCUUUAUUCAUUAAGCAAAAUAAAUUUAGCAUAUCAUCUGAAAGCAGCUAGGGCCUCCGAACCGAGAGAAUUCUGUACUAGUUUUUGAAGGUCAAGGGGAGGGAGACAGCUGUGUGAGAGAGGUGGCCAGGCUGGAAUGGGAGGAGACUUUUUUUUUUGGAACAGAGGCCAAGUGGAUUGCCUUGAAUGAGAUGGUUGUGGUAAUAAAGUAGUCCUAUUCAUUUUAAUUUCAAUUUUAAUUUUAUUUUUACAUACGCAAUUUUUGACUUUUUAUUUUUUAAAUUGGUUUGGUGAAUUAAUUAGGCCUUUGGGAAUCACGCAUUCAGAGCAAGUUUCGAUUUAUUUAUUAUAAAAUAGAUAGAUAGUUGAGUAUACUUCUGUAGAGAUCUAAAUGCACUGAGUGGUGUUAUUAAAUUGUUGUUAUUAAUAUCGUUUACCAGGUCUUUGUCAUAACUUUGAACAUUUUUAAGACGCUCACCACGACAAUUCGCAUGCACAGAUUAGCUGAUAAUGAUCAAAAUUAUGUGGUAAUAAUGUUUUAAAUUCUAAUUUUAUCGCAAACCUGAGAAGAAGCUAGGGAUAGAUUGUAAGGGGGCCAAAAUAUAUGCGAAUCAAAACUUUGCAAAUAAAUAAGAUUUACCUAAUCAAAUUUUUAAUGAAAAAAUAUAUUGACUAAGUAAUUAGUGUAAAAAAUAUUAUCUUUUUUUAUUUAUACUUACUUAACUUUUAAUUAUUUUAUUUAUAUUAUUUUACUCGAAUAACUUUAAAAUUUAUUAAAUCUAAUAGUAAUUUAGUUAAUGAUCUAAUUUUUUAAUUUUUAGUAAAAACAAUUAUGACAAUUGAUGACUAUUAGUUCACAGGGCUAUCAAAUUUAAUAUAAUUUUUAAUUUAAUUAAAUAAAAAUAUUAUCUAAAAAGUUAUGAAGGUACUAAAAAAUAAAUUUAGAGUUAAAAGAGUACUAUAUUAGCGCUAAGAACUUUUUUAAAAAGUAGAUAAGUAGAUAUAUUUUUGAGAUUAGAUAAAAAAUAUAUUAUUUAAAUUUUUUAUAUGUAAGAGAUUAUUAUGCAAAUUAUGAGAAGUCUAGAAGACAAUGGGCCCCCUCAGUCUAUACAUAGCUGUGCCCCUGCUGUAAAUAAAAAACAAGGUGCAUGCAAACAUUAAGAUCAGGGAAAAGGAAAAUUUAAAAAAAAAGGAAAAAAUGUGGUCUCCACUACCAAAAAGGGAAAUUGGAUCAUUACUGCAAAAAAAAAAGAAGAAAAAAAAUAAUUCCAGAGGAUGAUUCUAAAAUAAAUGACUCCCUGCAAAGUAGGAUUCAUUCUAGAAUUCACAAAAUUCUAGUAAAAACUGAUUGGUAGGUAUAAAAUGUAAAGUCUAUGUUACUAUACUUUUAUGAGUAUAGAUCUUUUUGUACUCAUAAGCUUUCAACCGUUAGAUCUAUUUUUUUGAUCAUUUUCACUUGUUAAAUAAUACUAUUCAACCAACAACCCACUCAAUCCUAAAAGAAACCACUAUUAUCCUAACCGCAUAUCUCUUAAUCAAACGGCAGAAAACUUAUGAGUACAAAAAAAUUUAUACUCAUAAAUGUAGCAAUGUUCAUUGUACAACAAGUCACGGGGUGGUGGGCCUAAUGCAUGCCAGGCCGGGCCUAAUUAAGUGAGGCCCAGAAGCUUUACCAUGUUGGCAACUCGUUGGGCCCCGCCCAUAUUUCAAGUUCAUCAAUCAUCAUAUGGUGCUAAUAUAUUAUUAUUAUGGAGAUUUAAAGCACUAGAAUUUACCGCAUCCAUUAAAUGCGGCAGGUGGCGAUGACACUAGAAUUUAAUCUAUCGGUGGUGGAAUUCAAACCCACAAUCUGGCGAAAUGGCGGGAGCUUAUAAUUGAUCCUUGAAUUGAGCCUAGCAAGAUUUGAACUCAAGUCCCGCAUCUGCAGCGGCGAUAGUAGUUGAUUUCGUUACUUCAGUAUCCAAACACGACCCAAAAAAUAUAUUUAAAAAGGAAUUUACAGUUGCGUAUGAUGCUAAAGGGUUUGGGCUACAACUGGGCUUUGGUUUCGGCCCCAUGUUCAAUCCCACAUAUCUUACUAUAUAAGCACUGUCUCUUUGAAACAGCCAAGAGAAAAUUAUCUGAUAUAAAUUGCAGUAUCCGAAGGAGAGAAAAAAGAUUGAAAAGUGAAAACGCUAGGGUUUAAUAAAUGAAAAUAAGUGAAAAGGCAAAGUGUUAGAUAGAUAAAAGAGAAAAAAAAGUAAGAGAAGAGAUAGAGAAGAUAUGUUGCAAUAAUGGUGAAUUAGGAUGAAUUUUAUGGAAGAAGAAGAUGAUCGUUACGAUCAUUUUGAGAGAAAAUUUCUGCACAAUUAUACCAGUUUGGGCUUUUGUAGAAAAACAUAUUUAUGAUGGCAAAAUUGACAUUUCACUUAUAAAGGAAUAAGAUAACUGUUGGGAGUUUUGAGAGGACAUUUAUGCAAAAAGUUUAACAGUUGGAGUUUUUAGAAAAAUAUAUUUAUGAUGGUAAUAUAUUAGUGAUGGCAAAAAAAAUCAUUUUAUUUAUUUGCUGUUAAAAAAUAAAUAGUGCUCUAAUGAUAACAAAACAGAGGAAUAUAUUUGAAAAUAUUAAAAUUUUUAUAGAAACAAUAUAUAAACGUUGAAUUUUGCAAAGAUAUAUUUAUAAUUUACUCUAUUUGUUGGGACCUGCAUGCAAUAAACCCUAUAUAUUAUUAUAUAUAUAAAAGUGAACUUCUAUACUUUUUAAAACCACCAAAUCAUUAGUACUUAGGUUUUUAGUUCGUGGAUAAAGAUUUGUAAAGUUAGAAUAAUAGCGAUUCCCAAAUAUUGAGUGAGUAGUUGGUGAAAAUAACAUAAUCUAAAAAAUAAAAUCGGUCAAAUUGAUAUGUCUAACAUGAAAAACUUAUAAAUACCAAAUGCUAUACACACACACACACACACACACACACACACACACACACACACACUAGUCACCUCUACUCAAAAUUCGGGCACCUUCCGAAUGCAACAUUUUAGCAGAAAAAAAGCAAGGAAUUGACAAAAAAUGAGCCACAUUUAAAAGACACCCAACACUACAUUAUUUAAAAAAGGUCUCAAUUAAAAAAAAAAAAUUCCCCCCUGACCCAUCUAAGGUCUCCAGACCAAGCAGCAUUAGCCUCAAAUACACAACCAUAAAUCAGCAAACCCACCUCAUUUCUCUUACUAAAACAUCCGAUUUUAUAUAAUAUAAUAUAAAAAAGGAGAAACAAAAAAGCAUGCAUGAACGAUACACACCCAACACCAUCAUCAUAAGCUCUCCCCAGUCCCCUUAGCCCACAAAAACCAACGAGCUAAAAAGUUCAACGAAAACCCAGAGAACAAAGGGGAUGAGGAUCAUGAGAUCACCUCCUACAGCGAGUGAUCUCGGAGCAACCCCUGGAGUAAGGGUGAACCGGGCCCCUGGAGCGGUAGCAGUUGUGGGUGUAGUAGGACCGGCCCGACCGGGGCGGGCAGGGGACCCGGUUCGCGGAGAGCGCGGCGUAGGAGAUGUAGUAGUGGUGGUGGGCGCCGUGCCAAAACAGGGCUCUCCUGUUGUCCUCCUUCCUUUGGGGCGUUUCGUCGAGCACCUGGUGGGCGAGCUCGUACUCGGGGUCCAACCCAAAUGGGUAGGCGUAGAUCGAGGGCUCGGGGAAUGGAUCCGUGCUGAAGGUGGGGUUGGAGGGUUGGGCGUGGGAGAAAGGGAGCGGGUUGUGGGGGAGGCAGAGGAAGAGGAGGAAGAGGAGGAGAGGAGCCAUUGGUGGAGGAGAGGGUUAAUGGAGGUAAAGAGUGAGGAGGAAGAUCAGGAGGUAGUAGUAUGAGAUCGUCAGAGGCUCACACACUGUUACAGCUCACAUGCGCAUCAUUGUAUGUACCCACUCCCCAAAUUUUACUCCAUUUACCAAAAUGACAAGAUAAUACUCUGCUAUUUAUAGUCUAAGGAGAUCUGCUAGUAUACUAUUGAGUUUUUUUAUCUUUAAAUUUAUUUAUUAAUUAUUUUUAUUUAUUAGAUUAUAUUAUUCAAUUAAUUAUCUACUUAAUUUUAGAGCAUCACUAUUAUCUUAAUCGCACAUCUUUUUAGCUAACGGUCGAAAAUUCGAUAGUAUUAAACGUUUGACACUAUCGACAUAUAGUAACAUAAUUUAUUUUUAAAAUAAAUCUUAUUAUUCUGGUCUUAAACCAAUGUAAUUCACAUAAUUCCCACGAAAAGAAAAAAAAAAUUAUUUAUACUUAGCCUUGUAUGCUAAGCACACAAUUACUGAUGGCAAUAUUUGCUUCUCCACAUAAACUGAAAAAUUAAAAAGAAGCUUUGUAAAAUAUUUGUGUUUGUAUAUUAUAAAUAGUUUAACAAUUGUAAAAAUUUUAAUUAAUUGAGGGUAUAUAAGGCCUAAAAAAAAAAUAAUAAUAAUCAUGCAUUAAAGUUUGCUGUUUUAUACAGCACAGCUGAUCCUAAUGAAUGUACUUUUUGUUGGAUACAGUGUGGUUCUCCCUGCAUCACGGGCAGUAAAUGCUACCGAGUAAUUGAUUGGUCCUGGCACCCCCCACCACCUCCACCACUCUCAAUUGAUUUAUUGCUUUUAUAUAUAUAUAUAGAGUGAGGCUACUGUGCUAUCGGAAGCACGGAGCCUUCCGUGCUUCCACCUCGUUUUCGAUGUUGCGACUUUCGAAUCGUCGAUCGGCUCCGUUAAAAUUGAUCUAGAAUAUUUGGAGUACCUAGAAAAUAAAUUUUAUUAUUUUUCGAUAUCAUUUGCCUAGUGAUCGAAUGGGCUCAAAAUCAACAGAUUUCAAUGACCGUAGUGAGCCGUUUGCAAGUUUAACGGUAUAGAAAUAUCCAAAUCACGUGAAAUUUUGAUAGAAAAUUUUUUAUACUAUAUAAAACAAGAUCAAUAUCUUUGAUUUAAAAUUUUAAUGUCAUAUUAUUACAUUUUGUAAGAUUUUUAUUUUCAGCCGUUGAUUUUGAGCCCCUUCGUUCACUAGGCAUGAUAUCGUAAAAUGAUAUAAAAUUUAUUUAUAUGUACUUCAAAUACUCUAGAUCAAUUUUACGAGCGCGAUCGAGCGAUUCGAAGUCGCAACAUCGAAACGAGGUGGAAGCACGGAAGGCUCGUGCUUCCGUAGCAUAGUAGCCUCACUCUAUAUUAUAAUAUAAUAUAUAGUGCGGCUAGGAUGCUUAUGAAAUAUGGGCUCCGUAUCUACUUUAUUUUCGAUGUUCGACUUUCGAUCGACGCGAUCGGCUCCGUUAGACUUGAUCUAGAGUAUUUGAAGUAUCUAGAAAAUAAAUUUGGCGAUAUUUCGAUAUCAUUUGCCUAGUGAUCGAAGUGGCUCAAAAUCAACGACUGAAAAUAAAAACUUACAAAAUAUGAUGAAUAACAUUAAAAUUUUAGAUCAAAGUUAUUGAUCUUGUUUAUAUGUAUAAAAAUUUUCUAUCAAAUUUCAUGUGAUUUGGAUAUUUCUACACGUUAAACUUGCACGGCGCUCACUACGGCCAUUAAAAUUAUUGAUUUUGAGGCCCUUCGAAUCACUAGCAAAUGAUAUCAAAAAAUCACAAAAUUAUUUUCUAGGUACUUCAAUACUUCUAGAUCAACUCUAACGAAGCCGAUUGUCGAUUCGAAAGUCCGAACAUCGAAAACAACUUGAAGCAGGAGGGCUUCGUGCUUCCAUAAGCAUACCAGCUACUAUAUAUAUAUAUAUAUAUAUAUAGAGAGAGAGAGAGAGAGAGAGAGAGAGAGAGAGAGAGUUCGGCUGAGACACUAUCAAUAGCACCAAAAAUUUGGUGCUAUCAAGUUUUCUAUUGUUAGAUUUAACUCUUUAAUUAUUUUUAUCCGUUAGAUUAUACUAUUUAACUAACCACUCAUUCAACCCUUGAGGGUCCACAUCAUCCUAACUAGACAUUUUUCAAUCAAAGGGCUAAAAAACUAAUAGCACCAAUGACUUUGUGAUAUUGAUAGUAUUCUAACCUAGUUCUAUAUAUAUAUAUAUAUAUAUAUAUAUAUAUAUAUAUAUAUAUAUAUAGUGCGUCUGGUAUGCUUCUGGAAGCACGGAUGUUUUCGAUGUUCGGACUUUCGAAUUGACGAUCGGCUCCGUUAUACUUAAUCUAGAGUAGUUGAAGUAUCUAGAAAAUAAAUUUUGCAAUUUUUCGAUGUCAUUUGCCUAGUGAUCGAAGUGGCUCAAAAUCAACGGCUGAAAAUAAAAAUCUUACAAAAUAUGGUGAUAUGACAUUAAAGUUUUAGAUCAAAAUUAUUGAUCUUGUUUUAUAUGGUAUAAAGAAUUUUCUUUCAAAAUUUAAUGUGAUUUGGAUAUUUCUACACCGUUUAACUUGCAAACGGCUCACCCCGACCAUUAAAAUUAUUAAUUUUGAGCCCAUUCAAUUACUAGGCAAAUGAUAUCGAAAAAAUCACAAAAUUUAUUUUCUAGAUACUUCAAAUACUCUAGAUAAACUCUAAUGGAGCCGAUUAUCGAUUCGAAACUCUGAACAUCGAAAACAAUAUGGAAGCACAACAUGCCCUUCACCCAAGUUAACUUAACAGGCAAAAUACCAUUUUUAUUGUUUCAUUUACAGGCAACCAAACAUGCUCUUAACCUAAGUUAACUUAACAGAAGAUAACUGCGGAGAUAUUUUGCAAUAACAGUGGAACAUAUAAAGGGUAUUUUAUAAAUAAAAAAAAGUGGGGGUAAAUCGGAUAAUUUCAAACGGGUCGAGGUAAAUUGGAUAUUUUGCAAUAAUGAUAGGAAGUUAUUAUUGUCGGUGGUAUCUUAUCGGGUCGGGAUUCGGAUCCGUGCUAAUUUGAACCGAUGCGACUAUAUCUUAUCGGGUCCGAACCCUGAUCUAACCCAAUUCCUAAAAUUCAAAACCUCAGGGAGUUACCCUGUUCUCCCGCUUCACCUCUCUCUCAUCCUUGCCCUCUCCCUUUGUUUCUCCCUCCCCGUCCCCGAUCUAGGGUUAGCGUUCCUUCUUGUCCUUGCGCCAUGGACGAGCCCAUCCUCCAAUUGCUCGUCGAGAAGGGCCGCAGGAAGGGCGAGUCCGUGGAGUGCAAGCCCGGCGCCGCGCUUCGUCUCGGCCGAGUCGUCAGGGGCAACACCUUCGCCCUCCGCGACCCCGGAGUCUCCCAGAAGCACCUCUCCUUCGAGUUCCUUCGAGAGGCCUCGCGAUGGGUUGUCACCGACCUCGACACCUCCAAUGGCACCGUCCUCAACGGCUCCCAGAUAGCCCCCUCCGUCCCCGUCCCCCUCUCCGACGGCGACGCCAUCAAGAUCGGAGAGACGACGUACAUCUCAGUCAAGAUCGCCGGAGGUAGGCCCCGGACGGCGGCGGAGGACGAGGCGGCAGUGGGUCGCCGUGGCCGGAGGAGAGCGGGAGCUCCUCCUCUUCCUCCGGUCAGAUCUGAGGUUGAGAUGCCCUUGGAUUCGGCCGUGGAGGAAGUGUCCGAGGCGUCGGUGGCGAAUGGCAGGGGGAAGGGGAGGGGGAGAGGGAGACUGAGGAAAGCCGCAGCUGCUUCUGCUGGGGUUUCAAUUAAGGAUGAGAUCGUGGAUGCUGUGGCAGUGGAGGAGAGUGUUCCAGAAGUGAAGGAGCGGACGAGGGGAAGAAGGCCUGCAACGAGAGGUAGUUCUAUUAGGGCUUCAAAGGAGGCGGAGAAGGAGGAGCGUCAGGUUUCGGUUACUGUUCCUGAUCUGGCUGAUCAAGAGGCAAAAGAGGAGAAGCAAAGGUUGGGAACAAGAAGGCCUAAUACUAGAGCUACUUCUGCUAGGUUUUCGAAGGAAGUCGAGAAGGAGACUGAGAGUUCCAUCCUUCCGCCUAAUUCGGAGGUUGCAGAGGCAUGUGAGGAUGGGAACUUGCUAAUGGAAGGUAAUGAUGAUAGUGAAGAACAGAAUGAUGGGGAAAGGCAAAGGGAAAGGGAAGGGGAAGAUAAGAGUUUGGACGAGGGAGGAGAUAAUAUGGAUAAUAUGACAUUAGGGGAAUGGUUUGAGAGGAUGGAGAAGUUCUUGCCGCAGGUUAUAAAUGAUAUAUCUGAGGAGAUUAUAUCAAUAUUGAAGGAGAAAGCCGAGAGAUUUGAUGUGUUCAUAGCUACAAAUGCUAAUGCUGGCUAACUCAUGCUGUAUGUUCAACAUUCUCUACAAGGUUCUACCUUUUCUACUUGCGCACAAAUAUUUGAAUCUUAAUUUGUCAAGUUAUGUUGAUUAUGGUAAUGGUGUUAACUUUAACAAGCGAAUAAUUUGGGGCUUACUAUGAGCCUAAGAUAGUUCAAUCGAAUCAUUGUACUGUUUUACAGUUUAGGCAGCAAGAUCAUUCAGUUUGAUGGGUCAAGAUUGGAAGUUGCCAGAGGGUUGUAUUUGAAAGAAUAGAGAACCUGAAUUCUUUAAGAGGUUCUUUUUAUCAUAGGGGUAUUGCAACAUGAAGAAUUUUUCUGUUAUUCCAAUGGCAACACUUGCUUUUGCAAGGGAACUUUCUUGACGAAUAAAUAAGAGGAUAAAUUGAAAGUCAGUAAAUGAAGGGAAUAAGAGAGGAUAGGAAGGUGAAUAGUGGGAAUCAGCUAGCUGGACCUACCAGGAGGUAGAGGUGAGCAAUCAGUCGGUUUGGCCGUUUUCACCAAUUUAGUGAACCAAACCAAAUUUUCGCAACCAAACUGGACCGAACAAACUUAGAAACCAAACCAACACUUGCUUUUACUUAGCAUGCCACUCAUUGAAGCUUUCUUUACAGCUUUUUGCACAUCAAGGUCCUGUUUUUUCAAGCUAUGUUGUAUCAUAAGUUUAAUCAGUCAACAUGAUCUUCACUGAACACCACAUGUAUACUAUUUAUCGUCUUGGAAACAUUCUGUCUUUACACUUAAAAGUCAACCCACUUCUUCUGAAUGCACUUUAUGAGAUACCAAACUUAUCAAUUUGUUCAAUUUUGCUGCCCUCUUCAAGUUAAAACAUCUUUGCUAUUCUGCAGGACCUCAGUUCACAAAUACAGGAUUAGGACUCGACCUUCUGCAUUGCUGGAGUCUCCGUGCUAUAUUACAUAUCAAGGCAUCUGCACAAUCACAUUUUUUUUGGUUCCUUGAGGCAUAAAGUAUGGCAUGACAUAUUGGAAUCAAUUAGCUUGUUUUAUUCUCACUUUGUAAUGUCCUCUGGCCCUUUGACAGCUGUGAAUCCCCAAAGGCCGAAGAAGUAUGAACAGAAUGUCUCUGUGGUGUCUACCACUCAAAAGGCAUCUGUUGAAUUUUCUAUUUAAGGGAAUCUGCUAGAGGGCCUUCUUGCUGAUUUUAAGCUCCAUGUUUUCAAAGCAUAUAUGUUGUGGAUCAUAUUUAGGAAGAUAUAUCAGUCGGCAUCUUUAAAGGUCAGAAAAUAUAUUAUUGAAGAGGGGUACGUUGUCUUUUUUUUUUUUUUUUUUGCUCACUCUGUAAUUAGAUAAUGUCAUGCUUAUGGCAUGUUUACGUUUUGUGUCUGUUUUUCUUAACUUCUAUCAAGGUUCAUCGGUACGGAUUUUUCUAUGCUUGUUACUGUAGGUCUUUUUGCUAAGUCAUCUAAACAAAAUUUUCCUCUUUUGUCACCAAAAAAACACUCGUGGUAGUUCUUAGAUGUGACCCACAAUAGCAAUAUUAAGCCCAUCCUGAGCACCUCGAAUCACAUAGAAUGUGAUGCAAAAUGAAAAUAGAAAAAUGAAACCUAUGCCAAACAAGGCCUUAAUGUUCUUCUUGAUGCUUUUUAACUUGAACUUCAUAUCUCAAAGACCAUUGUGCUCUUGCACUAGUUGCUGAAUAAAUUUCCUGAAACAUUAAAAUGCACCUUGAUAUAUUUGAUGCCGUUGGGGCCAAACUAAUCAUUGUGUAAGGGAUUUCAUAUUUCUUCUGUGUAUGGGAGACAGAAAUUAUGACUGUUGUAUGCUGAUAAUGAUGUUGAUGAUUAUGUUGAUCCUUCUUGACUUUGUCCUUGGCAAGUAUUUCUUUCAAUCACUAACUUUCUCUGUUGCCUUUAUGUUUACAUGCUGAUCCAGUUUUUUUAACUGCAUUGUCUUGUUUUUUUCAUCUUCUUUGUGUAGAUUAAUGUUUAGAAGUAGUUGAUUCAUUCGUAUGAUUAUUUAGCAUACAGAAAUGCAGCACAUAUUCUCCAGCAUUUUAUAUAUUAGCCGAUUCUAGAGAAAAGAUGAUAUCUUUUGGACUUUUACAAAGAAUAUUUGGUGAUGAAACGGAUGGGGAUCGUCCAAAGUAGGACCUAAACAAUAGCCACUUCUUCUAUUGCAGCAUUGGCUUCUCCAUCUAUAUCUUCUCCAUCUAAAUCUCCUUAUCCGUUCCAUCUGUAUUCAAAUGAUCAUGAAAUCAAUAGUUUUUUUUGUGGCGACAAAAAUUGGUUGUUGCCAAAUAUGACAAUUCCUAUUUUCUUGUGGUUUCUGAUUGAGAGAUGGUCUUGAGGAUGUCACUUUUGUUGCCAUAUUACUCACCAGAAAAUUUUACGAGAACGGACAAGUUACAUAUUCUUAUAAUGCUUAUUCCAUUAAAGGGGCUAUUUAGAUGUAUGUAAUUGUAAUUGUAACUGUAUUACAGUUGUACUUACAUAUAAAUUCAAACUUGGUAUUUGAUUUGAUAUGUUUGAAUUCAACUGUUGUUGCAGUUGAAAUUACAUUCAAAUUGGCUGUAAUUCUAUCCUCAGCAGUUGAAAAGAGUAAUUUUAAACAAAAGAUAAGUUUAUAUUCCUAAAUAAAAUUUUUUUCCUUGUAUCGGAGGUAAUCUCAUUACUGCAUAUUGCAAAUACACUUUUUAACUACUUGAAACUAAGCAGGUUUUUUUUUAUAGUUGCAGUGUUUUAUUAUUGAAUUCAACCAAAUAAGGUAUCUGUAGUUGUAGUUGUUAUAGUUUCAGCUACAAUAUAUGUCUAAUUACAUUGUAAUUGUUAUAGUUCCAGCCAAAUGGCCCUUAAUUGAUGGUUUUAAGAGGUUGUUGGGGAAGCUUGUUGGAAAAAAAAAAUUCAAAACUGCUUUGCAAUAGAACUAUAUGUCAUAGAGGUGUAGGUUUCUGAUUUUUUUUCUUUUUUCUUUUCUAUCUAAUCUCUAAUCUCAGCUUUCACAGUUUACCUGCUUUGAUUUUGCAAUUUGUCAAAUUGUUCAUUAAAAUUUAUAAUUUAAACAACAGCGACUAAUUAAUUAGUAAUUACGCGCUUCAAGUUCAACCCGACCGAGGAAUUCGACAGUUAUAACUGUUCAGAUCGGGAAAUGAGGGGCGAAAUAGUCAUUUCACACAAAAUAUCUCACCCAGCUAAAGAUAACACCCCCUCGAUUCCUUCCUUCACCUUUACGACUUAUCCCAGCCGCCCAUUUGUUCAGAUCCUUUUCUUAUCCAAUAAGAAUUAAAUAAAAUUCUAAAAUUCCGCGAAUAAAUAAAUAAAAUUUUUAAAUAAUAAAUAUCUCUCGAUAAAACCUCCAGGAGGAAGAAGGGGAAGCGAGCAUCGAGCGAAGUGAGCGGGGGAGCGGGAGCGAUCGACACCCUCCCGAAGCCCUAAGGUCUAGGGUUUCGGUUAGGGCUGUUAGGGUUAGCGUCUUGGGGGACGGCGAUGGCGCAGGGGAGGAGGCAAACGGGGACGGUGAAGUGGUUCAACGGCUCCAAAGGGUUCGGAUUCAUCACCCCGGAUGGAGGCGGCGACGAUCUCUUCGUCCACCAGACCUCGAUCCGCGCCGACGGGUUCCGGGCACUCUCCGAGGGCGACGCCGUCGAGUUCGCCGUCGAGCGCGGCGACGACGGCCGGACGAAGGCCGUCGACGUCACCGGCCCCGACGGCUCCCCCAUCACCUCCGGCGGCGGUGGCGGAGUUGGUGGUGGUGGUGGUGGGAGGGGUUUCUCGAGGGGUAGAUCUGGGGGCUACGGCGGUGGGGGGUAUGGUGGAGGGGGAUAUGGUGGGGGAGGGUAUGGAAAGGUUUCGAGGGGUGGAGGGAGGGGUGGGAGGACGGGUGGCGGUGCCGGUGCCGGUGGCGGUGCCGGUGGCCUGUGUUACAACUGCGGCCGCAGCGGGCAUUUGGCGAGGGAUUGCUACCAGGGAGGCGGCGGCGGUGGCGGUGUUGGUGGGGGAGGGAGGUACGGUGGUUACGGCGGCGGCGGUGGGUAUUCAAGCGGCGGCGGCGGCGGCGGCGGCGGCGGCGGCAGGGGAUGUUACAACUGUGGAGAGGUUGGGCAUUUUGCAAGGGACUGCCCUAACGGGAACUAAGAAUAAUAGUAUCGUGCCUCUUCUAAAUGAUAUAGUUUUGUGAUAUUCAUCUCUUUCUCUUCCUUUUUUAACCCUUGUGAUUGUCUAUUUUGUAUCUGGUGGAUAAUACUAUAUUUUCAAGGUGAUGGUCUUAUUUUGGGUUUCUGAUGAGCUUCUACUACAUGUUUAUCUUUCGAUAUAGUGAUGAAAUGAAUUCUUUUUGGCACUUCAAUUAACUGUUUCUUUUGUCGGCCUUUUGCGUUUCAAAUUUUCUUGUUUCCUUAGUUCAUAAAGCACAUAAGAAAGUGCUUGUGAUUACAAACGAACAGGUGGAUCAGUAGAGCUUCAGUAAUCAUCCAUCAAUUGAUAGGGAAAGCUACUCCUAAUUUAUUUCUGAGGGUUAAUAUGCAGAUUUCUAACAGGAACCUUAAAAUUUUCAAGCUGGUCAAUGGUGUGAUUAGUGAUUACAUGAGUAUGAAGUUUUUCCUUGGGAUGGGGAAACCUUUAUAAUUUUGCAUAGUAAAUCUCUUUGAUCAGGGCCCAUGCACUGGUAAGAUCUCCAUGAUUGUCAUGGUGCGGAUUACUUGGUAUAUUCAUGGAUUGUUGGUAGCACGUACCCAUAUGUACUCCUUGUGCAUUGUUUUAUCUUAUAAAAUCUGCACAUAUACUUUUUAGGGCCCUGUUUAGUAUAAUUUCUGCUAAUUUUCUUUUGUUUUACUUGUAAGCUGAUGCUAAUCGGAACUAAGUGUGGUUUCUUAUAGCUUUAUAGUAUUAGUUUCAUUACCGAAUUGGUUAGUUCAUAAACUUCAAGUAAUUAUCGAUCAGACGGGACAGACCUCUCUGGUAACACUGAUAGCAUUUCUUGUGUAUAUGCCCCUUGUGAUUGCAUUAUUGCUGCAUUUCGUUGGUCCUGGUUCGUUCAACAAUAUGACCACAUUGAUUCUUAAAACCUCUUUUUAUUUGUAUCGUAAUUUUUUGUACGACUUAUUAUAUUUGCGUCAGUUUAGUAUUUAAACUUUUUUUUUAAUCAUUGCUCAGUCCUCUAUUCAAUUCUUUCUUGCUUGUUGAAUGAUAAACCUCCUUUACUAUAUACUAUAGUAGCUCAUGCCAUGAUUUUUGACCCAGUCCUAUUUCACCAAAAAAAAAACCCCACUGGGUCAGUACAUUUCGCUAGUAAUGCUAACAAGGUCCCAUUAUCAUGUAGUCUUGUAAUAAGUUAUUCCAUAAUUUCACGAUAGUGCCAAACUGUUAUGCAGUAUCGGCUAGGUUGCAUUUUACAGUAAAAAGGCCAUGAACUUGUUAUGCAUUAAUGUUUCGCAGCUUAUUUCUAAUGAAACUUGUUAUUUCUGAUAGUAUAGUACAUAAAUUGAAUCUCAGUGAUCUUUGAUCUCACUCAUUUAAAUAUUUUUGUGAGGCGUGCUUCCACGUCUAUGGAGGAAAUAAGGUGGUUUACGAAGAAUUUACAUUUUAGAUAUGAUAACCUGAUUGAAACUCCCCUGCAUGAUUGAAGGCUCCUGUAGAACGAAGUGCUUUUAGUUGGUCAUCUUGUUUCCCUCUUUAUAUUAAAACUUUGAAGGUGAUGCCAUCAUAGUUUGUCGCUGAGCACAGCUUCUACGCUCGGACCGAGGCUAUCAACAUUACUAGCAUCCUCUGUGUCCCCUAUAUAUGUUUAUUAUGGAAAUGCUUGUAAGGGCUUUGCUAAGUAUUUCUUUUCAGGUUAGCUAUAUAUUUUAUGGCAAUUUUGCUAGUUAGUACAUGGUUGGGGCUUAUUAUGUAACAAUGGUACUUGUAGACGUGUUACAAUGGAGCGCCAAGGUGUAGCAUUUAGUCCUUUUGCAGAUGGUAGGACACAAUUGUAAUCCUUUCCUGAUUUUCUUACUGGUUUUUAGGAUUUUCUUGAGUGGUUUUAUUAUUCUCAAACUGUAGUCUAACUGUGUGUAAUUUUAUGCUUUUGGUAUUUCAUUUAUUUUUUACACUUAAUAAUGAUUUCUUAUGUGUUACUCCGGUGUAUUUGUGUUUGUUAUUCUUUUUUUGUAGUAUUCUGCAUGAUGCCUGCACGCGUUAUUGUAAAAGUCAUCAAGCUACUUUAAUUAGUGCUUAAAGAUGCUCUAGGUUCUCCACUUGAUAUAUGCUCUCGUAUAGUCUAUUUGGAACAAAUAUUUUCUGAGAACAUUGUUUUUCUUAGAUAUUUUGGUACAACCUACAAGUUUUAUGACAAAAAAAAUUAAACUUUUGCGUAUUCAUUUAUUGUUUUUCAAAAAUAUCAGGAAUGCCAUCAAGUCAUAAUAGAACUACUUAAUACUGACAGUAAUCGCUUUAAAUCAAUGAAUGGAUUUGUUAUAGCACUGUUGUAAAUAAAUGAAAAAGAACUCACUAUCAUUAAGAACUGAGGUUAUCAAUCUACCUCUUAGAGAUACUGAUGAAAAAGGGUUACAUUAAAGAAAGAUUUAGAGUUGUAUACAUGGAGAUAUCACAUUGUUUUGAUCUCAGAGUAAGCCCAGUAAGGCCCACUAUGUCAAGGCCUGAUGAUAGAGAAAGUGGGCUGAAUAAGAUGGCCGUGGAUACCGGUAAUGGAUACUUGAUGCAGCUAUUCAUGCAGGAUAAGUAAUCGACAGGACAUCAUAAUCAGUAUAGCUUCUUAUCUCUUAUUUAUCUGUAUGAUGUAGAACUUCAGUAGCUCAUUGAACUAGGAAUAAUUCUCUAAUCACCAACAAACUAGGAGUAUUGCUAUACUGUACCUUUGAAAAUACUCCAAAUGUUGCUGAUGAGUUUGCAUAUACAUGUGAUAGCUAGUUGUUGGUUUACUUUUUAAAUUUCAAGUAUGACAUAGAGCAACCUGGUAGGUCCGACAACUUGAUAGUGUUAUGCCCUUCUAUGAUCCCGAUAUACUGAAAUCAAACAAAGAAGUUACCCUUUGCUGAGAUCUAGUAUUUGUACCGCAUGUAUAUGACUCCACCCUUCAGGAAGAACCAUUCUCUUUGUGGGUCCUACCAUGGGCUUCAUAGCGUGGGCAUCUAUGGUGAUUCAGAGCAUCUAUUCAGUGCUUUGAGUAGGGAGGUGAAAGAUUUUUCCUCUUUUGUUUAUUGAUAGAUGCUGUGAGCUGUAUUACUGUAGUAAUAGUUGUUUGAUUCUGCUAUAUAUGCUUUUCAUGCUUAACUUGAUAUUAUUGUCCUCUUGCUUUACAGUGAGCAGCUGCUUAUGAAAAGCAAGGCAAUGUCAGGUGCAGAGAUCUAAUCAGGAGAACACAAACCUGUACUUUUCAAAGACAACAGAAAUUGUACGUCUUCUCUUGUGAUCUUGUUUAACAUUCUAAUCCCUUUUUAAUGGUGCUUUAGUUCUGUAGUCCUGACAAUUUCUAGCAGGAUAGUUGUUUCUACUUGCUACCUCGGGAUGGCCAUGAAUAAAUCAGUUUGAUAUUCAGUUUAUGUUGCACAAUAAAAAAUAAGCACAGCACUAACUGUUUUUCACCUAAUCUCUCAGUAUAUAUGAUAUGUAAAUUGGUAAAUGUGGUUCUGCGGAUAUUGUUAUCCUCUAAUGUAAAAUACUUUGUCUACUAAUAUAUACUUGCAUGGGAAUAGAAUAAUCCACCCAACUAGCUUAUUUGAAGGGUGUGUCAGGCCCGCAUAAUGGAUUGAUCACAAAGUGCUCUUCUAUGUAAAAAAAAAAGGUCAUAACAUUACCCACAUCCUUUACUAUGUAUUUAUGCGAUCUACAAGACAUAUUGGGUAUUCACGUGUAACUAGUAUCGCACAUGUAUACAAGGGUUUUUUACAAACUUAUCCAUAGACUUGGUUAGUCGUCGUGUUCCGAAUCUACAUAGCAUGGUAUUUGUAGGAUGCUCAGAGGCAACAUGGCUACAAGGUACAAGAAAACAAAGAGAUUAUGGCGUGGCUCGAUUGACCUUUAAUUUGAAUAACUAGAGGAAGGGGCUUCCUCUCCUCAUGCAUGUGCCUGGAUUCCAUAGAUGUUUGCAUGUAUAUGUUAAUUUAAUUUAUAUAUUAAUGUAGCUACAAAAGUAUUCAUGGAUACAACGCAAUUUCGUGGGCAUCAACCCCGACAGGAGAGGCCAUGUAUAUUUUGGAACUGCAUGGAUUAUUUUUCUUUAGUAAAUUUUUUGUAGUUCCGAUUCGGUGGAUAAUUUGUGGUCGGCGAAAUUUACAAACCAUCAAAACGAUACCCGUGACAAAUGUUAUUCAGGGUAGGACACGAGCGCUGGAAUCUAUCUAGCAUUUGGGGUGUGGAGUUUUUGAUGUUUUCGCAUAGCAACAACACAUACUUGUAUUGCUCUUUUACAGUUCAAUUCACCAUCUAUGACCAAUCUUUCAUAUUAUGUUUUGCGAAUUGAUUUGCUAAUGCUCUCAUGAAAAUAUUUAGUUUCGUGGCUAAAUAAUGUUGUUUGCAUCAAGAAACAAGGAUUGGAAAGGUGCAAGAUCAUGAAAGAUCUUUUUGGUUACUUUAUUUCGUUCCUUGUGCUUUGAAUCUUUCUGGAGCUUUUGCAACGUUCCAAUAAAUGGAGGGUCCCCAGUCCCCGUUAAAAAGAAGUGGCCAUGGCUACGGACACGAAGAUAAGUUUUCAUUUCCAGAGGCCCAGCCAUUAGCUUUGGCAUCACAUGAUACUGUGGGUAAUAGUUUGAGAUUUGGAACCCACCAAUUGGGUGUUUCCUUUACGUGUCCAUACUCUGGCUAUAUCUUGUUGAUGGUUACUUAUGAAUGAUGAGAUUUUUUUUUCUUUUUCUUUUUCUUUUUCUUAAAAAAUCUAUCUUUCUUAUCCUUCUCAUAUUUUUGGGUGCCUCUCCAUGUACAAAUUCGGAUCAAUCCGACACAAUUUAUUUUAAAAAAAUUAGGACUUAUUUGGCUACGUUGGAAUUUUUCAGAGUACAAAUGCAGAUUUCUCAUAAUGUUGUUCUUAGAAAUUAUUAAUGUGUUCGAGACAUAUGGUAUGGAGGUCUUUGAUUGAUUUCUGCGUAGAGUCUAAAAAGUGUCACGUAUGUUUGUUAAUACGUUUUGUGAUUUAAGAAUAUCAUUCGGGGAGAACUAAAGAAUUUUCUUUUAAAAAAUUAUUAACUUCCUUAUUGUGUUUUAAACCAGCAUUGAGCACAAUUAUUUUCAUGGAAAUAUAUUUUAUAUUUAUUUUAGCUAUUGCAGCACUUAAAGCUUUGAAUUAAAUCUCUUGCACACCCUUUUGGUGUUAAAAAUUUUAUUGGAGCUUCUUUUCCACUUAUAAAGUAUAUAUAGUAUAUAUAUAUAUAUAUUAUAUGAUAUAUAUAUUAUGUAAUAGUAUAUAAUAUAUUAUACUCUCGGUGCUUCUAAGUUUCUAACCUUUGAAUCUACUCCUUAAUUACUAAUAGCCUUUGAUCAAAUAUUAUUUCACUUACCACCAUUUACUAUCAUCAUCUCAACCUCACAUCACUCCAUCAAAUGGCUAAAAAUUCAAAAGCACCACACUCAUGAUACUUUUGAGAGUAUUCUAGUUCAACUCUCUCUCUCUCUCUCUCUCUCUCUCUCUCUAUAUAUAUAUAUAUAUAUAUAGAGUUGUGCUGGUAUGCUUAUGGAAGCACGGAGGCCUCCGUGCUUCUAAGUUGUUUUCGAUGUUCAGACUUUCGAAUCGACGAUCGGUUUCGUUAGAGUUGAUCUAGAGUAUUUGAAGUACCUAGAAAAUAAAUUUUGCGAUUUUUCGAUAUCAUUUGCCUAAUGAUCAAAGGGGCUCAAAAUCAAUAAUUUUAAUAGCCGUGAUGAGCCGGUUGUAAGUUUAACGGUGUAGAAAUAUCCAAAUCACGUGAAAUUUUGAUAAAAAAUUCUUUAUACUAUAUAAAAUAAGAUCAAUAUUUUUGAUCUAAAUUUUUAAUGUCAUAUCAUCACAUUUUGUGAGAUUUUUAUUUUCAGCCGUUGAUUUUGAGCCCCUUCGAUCACUAGGCAAAUAAUAUCGAAAAAUCGCAAAAUUUAUUUUUUAGGUACUUUAAAUACUCUAAAUCAAGUCUAACAGUGUGUGUAUAUAUAUAUAUAUAUAUAUAUAUAUUGUUGAUUACUAAAUUUUAAAUUAAAAAUUUAGUUUCAAAAAUUAUAACAGCUUAAAUGCUGCCAUUUUUCAAUAGCGACAAUGAAAGGACAGUGAGGUACGCAGGGAGUGUGCUGUAAUUUCACAUGCCAUGUAGCAUUCAUAGCCUCGUUAGUCCUAAAAGCGGUGAAAGCUAAUGCUAUUAAAUGUUUGGUACGUAGCUUUCUUUUUCCCUCGCUCCUGUCUAUCUCUAAAUGCAAAUUUUUACUCUUGCAUGUAAAUUUGUUUGCGCAAAAUGGUGAGUGGAUGAGAGCAUCAUAUUAGGUUCUUUUACUUGUGAGCUGUUUAGUUUUAAAAUGAGAAUUAACACCUUAUCAAAAUAUGCGCCUUUCAUUGUCAAAGUUUAAAAAAGAAAGACCAAGUCUUAUUAAAUUCAAUUCUAGCUAGAUAAGAAAUAUCUGUUCUGAAAACAUCAAUAAAAAGCUGCAGCAAUAGUAAAAUAUUCCCUUUGGAAUGGAUUCAUUUGUAUGUUCUAGAAAAGUUAGUGACACCUGAAUUAUACGUCUAUACACAAGGAAUGAUGCUUUCUUGUGCCACUACACCAAAAACGGUUUAUGGCGACACUUUUAAAUAUAGAUACAUGUCAAAAAAAUGCUGCUAGCUAAAAUUACCGACACUUUUAAAAAAUGUUGCUAUAUGUGGGGUCGCUGGGUAUAUAGUGACAGUUAAAGAGUGUCGCUAUAAUCUAAAAGAGUGCUGCUAAUUUACCAACACUUAUUUAAGCAUUUAGCAACCGCCAAAACUCUAUCUCGUUGGCUGUGGUGGCAGAGGAGGACGACAGUAAAGGCUCUUCGUCUAGAAUUUCAGUGGAUUAAGUGAAGAGAGAAGAAAAGAUGGUAAUUGAUUUUUUUUUUUUCUUUUCUGUUUGUAAUCAGGCCAAAUGGACUGGGUGUGGUGGGUUGAGUAGAGUAAUCUUUUAUUUUUGAUUGGAUUGGGCUUUAUAUUUAGGCAUUAGUAGAUGUGUUUUUAAGUUUUAGCAUAAAUGGGACACUUACUCAAAAAUGUUCCAAACAUGUGUCCUUAUAAUCUAAUUCUGUUGUAGUGUGCCUUCACCAAGAAUGAGCCAUGGAUACACAAUGAGAAAUCAAAUGACCACUGAAGGGAACAAUACUCCACUUUGUGCAACU